AUUAUAUAAAAUAGGACAUAUAUGUAAAUAAGAAAAAGUAAUAAAGAUAUUUAAGAGCUUUUUUUCCUAGCACCAAAUGAAUAGUGUUACACCAUAUUUGGUGCAAUACUAUUCACAACACCAUUUUGUUGUUGGUUUUGGUGUUACAUUGGAGAAGCAUUUUACACCAAAAAUAGUGUAAAAGGUGGUUUGGUGUUAGUUUUGGUGUCACAUUGGAGAUGGCCUGGAAAAGCACUUGAAAACUUUGGAUUUUUGGUUCGUCCAGUUACGGUGUUAUGCUAACGGGGUUAAAGGUUCCGAUCCAAUGAGUUAGGAUCCGAAGGUUACUGAAGUUUACUAUCAAGAGUUUCAAAACAGUGAAAAAGAUGAUAUAGUUGAUGACAAAAACCUGAGUUAUCCAUAGCGACAAGUAACAUACUGUUUAUUACAGAGAAACAAACGACAACAUGAUACUAGUAGUAGUUAUUCUUUUCAUCCGAUAUAUUACAUGGUAAUAUCACUACUCGUUCCACUAGUUUCAUGUACACUGUCGACCAGCAACAUGAUAAUUUCGUGCCAGUUCAUUUUGGUUUGUUGGAAAAAGCAGUGUAUUUCUUAGAACUUGAAAAUAAUAAAAAUAUUUUAAAAUAUAAAUUGCAUAUUUGUUUAUUACCAUUCUUUGGUCUAUUUCUUCUGUAGACUUUUCAGAAUCUGUAGGACGUUAGUUUAUAACUUUGGGAUUUUGUAGCCCUAAUUUUUUUUUUUGGCAUUUUAUUUUGCUGCUUUAUCUAUGUGCAUGUUAACUAAAUUAAGCUAAUCUAGAAUUAAUAGAGAGGGAUAUUUAUCUAUUUUGUUUAACCUUUACCACUCUAGGCAUUGUACUACAUGUGAGCUUGUGAUGCUUGCAUUUUAUUGAUGUUGAUGAUUCGUUGAAUGUUUUAUUUUUUGAUUUUUUAAGUUUUCCAGAGUCAUGUUUGUGUCUACGAAGAAAUUGUAAAGGCUGUGCACGAAGCACUUGUCAUUCUUUAGACUUUAUUGAUUAUAUUUUUGUCAGAUUUGCGUGUAUAUUCACAUAUGUUUUAUUUUUUCAUUUUGUAGGACAUUUUUACAUGCCAUAUUAUCACGACUCUUCUGUGUCUGAAUAAGAAGAAAGCAUAAUGCGACCCUCCAACAGCUUAAUCUAUGGAAUUAUCGUGUUUUGUAAGUUCUGGUCCAAUGGCGUUUUGGCACAUCAUAUGAUAGACCACUAUAUUGCGUUGCUUUACAAAAGAUUAAUAUUUUUAAAAUUAUUAACUCAUGAUAUGAUAGUCCAGGUUUUCGAGGACCACUAUAUUGUAUGGAUUUAAAAAAAAUUAAUAUUUUUUAAUAUUAAUAUUCUAAAUUAUAUUCAGUUAAAAUAUUAAAUAUUAAAUACAUUCUUAACAUUAAUAUUCUUAGAUGAAAUUCUUUUGCUGACUUAAGAAUAAAGUAUUAAAUAAUUUUAUUUUUCUUUUAUUUUGUAACGUGGACCCAAAAAAAAAAGGAAAUGAAUUUAAUAAAACCUUCAUUCCGCCAACAUGCAUGUUAAUUGUUUCCAAAUUCCAACCUCCGUACUCUCUUGAGGAGUUUCCCAUUCAUCAAUUAUUAUUUUUUAUAAUCCAUACCAUCCUGAUAUAAUUAAACACCAUUAAUAAUGUACCAGCCUUUAAAUAGUAAUUAAUUUAUUUAUCUAAUUCACCAAAUGUUUUUUUCCGGUACAUAUCUCCAUUGGUAUCAAGAAGAAGCAGAACCCAAAGAAAUGUUUCUUGCAUCUUCAUAUUUGUGCGAAUUCAUCCUUUCAUUGAGAAUAACCAUUUCCAGGCAGCAGUUGGCAAUCAAUUCAUGCGCAUGUCGAUGCUACUCAUAGAUAUUAAAGACAAUGAUGAACCAAAGGUAAUAAAUCAUAAAUGCAUAAUUACCAAACCUCCAUCCUUCUCUCAUUAUGACUUGAUUUUAAAUGAAUUAUUGCUUGGUAACAUUAUUUCCAACCAUUGCAAGAUUUUUUUUUGGAGAAAUUUCAAUUGAAAGUAAAACCUUUAGACAUUUACCUAAUGAAGUUAGUUAAUCGGGAGGGUGGAAAAAAAAAAGUUGACGCAAGUCAAUACACAAUAAUUAAUUAAAUCCGGAGUCACUAAAACAGAGCCACGACUUUUUCAAAAAUAUCUGCAUUCAUCACUUUCUCCAGCAACUAGUCAGCUACACACGAAUCAAUUUCUCUCCUCGUUUGUCAUCCAAAAUUAUUCACCAAUACCAUGGCUGAUGCAAUCGUUUCCCCGCUCUUGGAGCAGCUGAUUUCCUUCGCUGCUGAAGAGAUAAAACAACAGGUGAUCGAAGUUACACCCCUCAUAUUACAAAUACUUCCAAUGAUUUUAAUUGGUUUUGUUUUUAUCAAAAACAUUAUAUAUUUUUGCUUUUUUUUAUUUAUCUGAUAAUUUUAUAUUUUGAAAUUUGAAUUGAAUUUAAUUAAAAGGUGAUGUAGUAACCACUUAUUUUUAUUUUAUUUCAUUUAUAUUCUCAAUAACUACUCAUAUUUUGGUAACUUACUAUAACUUCCAUAUCUAAGAAAUGAUCCAAACCCACAAUUUUAACUAUGUAUAAAUAUUCAACGUUGAGCUAAGGUUUUGCAGAACAUUCAAGUUUAUCAAAUAGUCAUUAAUUUAAUGUUUUAGUAAAACCUCAACUCAUCACUGAAUCCCAUAGCUAUUACUUAGACACUAUGAAAAAUUUCAUAGUUUUCUUACAUUCUUUCAGUUUGGUAAGUGAUUUCAUAUAAUUUCUUUUCAAGUUAAAUUUUAAUUUGGUUUCUGAUAUAGUCUCUUUGCCGAAUUGUAUCUUUUAUGAUUCUUGGAUUUUGGGCUCCAACUUUUUAGGAUUUGAUAGUCACAUUUUAUGCCAUGCUCAGAUUGAUUUUCAUGAUUUUUAGUACCCGUUAAGUGACGUACAAUUUGACAAAAGUUUGAAAGGAAAUAUGUUUCAGAAUUCUGUUUUAAUUGACCUUUUAGUGGAAUUAGGAUGCUUAUAACUUAAUGUGGAUGGUUCGUAAAAUCAUGAAAUUUGGAUAGGAUUCACUAGCAAUAUGUACAAGACUCCCCAUAAAGUUUCAUAAUUUUUCAUUCGGUCUGGGGUGGUACAGGUGAAACUUGUGGUUGGUGUUGAAAAAGAAGUGAAAAGCCUUACCAGCCAUCUUCAAGCCAUUCAAGUUGUGCUCGAUGAUGCAGAGGAAAAGCAAGUGAAGGAAAAAGCUGUUAGUCUUUGGCUGGGUAGGCUCAAGUAUGCAUCCUACGACAUUGAAGAUGUGUUGGAUGAGUGGAUAACAACAAGACGCAAAUUGCAAAUUGAGGGUGGCGUUGAUGAAAAUGCUCUUGUUGUUCCUCAUAAGAAAAAGAAGGUAUGUCUCUGCUUUCCCGGCUCUUGUUUUGGAUUCAAACAAGAAGAAUUUGGUUUCAAACAGGUCUUUCUCCGUCAUGACAUUGCCGACAAGAUCAAAGAAAUCAAUGAAGAGCUACAUGAUAUUGCCGCUCAAAAAGACAUGUUUGAUCUUGUUAAGAGUGGCAAUAAAAGUAGUGAAAGACCAAGGCGUGUACAGAGUACCUCCUUGAUUGAUGAGGAAGAGAUUUGUGGCAGAGUUGGUGAGAGGAAUGAACUCUUAAGCAAGCUGUUGUGUGAGAGUAGCGAGCAACAAAAAGGCCUUCAUAUCAUCUCAAUCGUUGGUAUGGGAGGCAUAGGGAAAACAACUCUUGCACAACUAGCUUGUAAUCAUGACGAGGUGAAGAGAAAGUUCGACAAAAUUCUGUGGGUGUGUGUAUCAGAAACUUUUGAGGAGUUUAGGGUUGCCAAAGCGAUCGUUGAAGUUUUGGAUGGUCGUGAAUCUCAUUUAGCUGAAUUCCAUUCUCUUCUUCAACAUAUUUAUGAAUCCAUUGCAGGGAAGAGCUUUCUUCUUGUCUUAGAUGACGUGUGGGAUGGAAAUUACUUGAAAUGGGAACCAUUCUACCAUUGUCUAAAGAAUGGUCUCCAUGGAAGUAAAAUUUUAGUUACCACACGUAAAGGGUCAGUCGCAUCCAUGAUGGGAUCCAUAGAUAUUAUCUCCGUUAAGGAGUUAGCUGAAGAGGAAUGUUGGUUGUUGUUUAACAAGAUAGCAUUUUUUGAUCGGUCCAUCGAGGAACGUGAAAAAUUAGAACAAAUUGGGCAAAGAAUUGCAGGCAAGUGCAAAGGUUUACCUCUUGCAGCAAAGACAAUAGGGAGUCUCAUGCGUUCUAAACAAACUGAAGAAGAGUGGAAAAGAAUUUUAAAUAGUGAUUUAUGGAAAGUAGAAGAGAUUGAGAAAGAUGUUUUGUCCUCUUUAUUGUUGAGUUAUAAUGAUUUGCCAUCUAGAGUAAAAAGAUGUUUUUCAUAUUGUGCUGUCUUUCCAAAAGACUACAAUAUAGAAAAAGACAAACUAAUCACGUUAUGGAUGGCUCAAGGUUAUCUUAGUGCAGAAGAAGAUGAAGAGAUGGAGACAGUAGGUGAAGAGUAUUUUGGCAUCUUAGCUUCUCGCUCAUUUUUUCAAGAGUUUAAGAAAAGUUAUGAUAAUCGGAUUAUAGAGUGUAAGAUGCAUGAUAUGGUACAUGAUUUUGCCCGAUUUGUAAGUCAAAAUGAAUGUUUUUCGAUGGCAAUUAAUGGUAGUGAAGAACCAAACGCCACAAACUCUCUUGAUGAGAAGGUCCGUCAUUUAAUGUUAAUCUUUAGUAUAGAGGCUUCAUUACCUGUUUCCACUUGUAGAGUUAAAAGAAUUCGUAGCCUCUUAAUUAACGAUAGUAGAUCUGAUCAUUCAUUAUUAAAUGGUGAGAUCCUAGAAGAAUUAUUUAGGGAAUUGACAAGUUUAAGGGCAUUAGAUUUUUGCAAAUCGUAUAACGCAAGCUGGUCUUCGACUCUGGAGAUUCCGAGAAACAUAGAAAAGCUGGUACAUUUAAGAUACCUUAAUUUGUCUUAUCAGGGAAUAAAGAAACUACCGGAGACAUUAUGCGAGUUGUAUAAUCUAGAAAAGUUAGAUAUUAGUUAUUGUUAUAAGCUAGAAGAAGUACCUGAAGGGAUUGGGAAGUUAAUAAACAUGAAGCAUUUACGAAAUAGAGGUACUAGUUCUUUAAGGUACAUGCCGGUAGGGAUUGGGAGAUUAACGGGUCUUAGGACCUUGGGUGAGUUCCACGUGAGUGCAGGAGGAGGUGUUGAUGGUAGGAAAGCAUGUAGGCUUGAAUCUCUUUAAAACUUGGAACACCUUCAAGUAUGUGGUAUAUGUAGACUGGGUGAUGUAUCAGAUGUGGGCGAGGCUAAGCGAUUAGAACUUGACAAAAAGAAAUACCUCUUCAGUUUGACCCUUGAGUUUGAUAAGACGGAAAGAGGAGGAGAAAGGAGGAAGAACGAGGACGAUCAACUUCUUCUUGAAGCCUUGCGACCACCCCUGGAUUUAAAGGAAUUAGAGAUACGGUACUACCGAGGCAACACUGUUUUCCCCAGCUGGAUGGCGUCAUUAACCAACUUAAAGAGUUUACAUCUCCAUAGGUGCGAAAAUUGCGAGCAGCUGCCUCCUUUGGGAAAAUUGCCGUCCCUUGAAAAUCUCUACAUAUGGCGCAUGGAGAGUGUGAAGAGAGUGGGUGAUGAAUUUUUGGGGAUAGAAAGUGAUCAUCAUGACUCAUCGUCAUCUUCAUCAGUUACUAUUGCCUUCCCCAAAUUGAAAUCACUCACAAUUUAUUCGAUGCUGGAAUUGGAGGAGUGGGAUUAUGAGAUUACAAGAACAGGAAACACCGUCAUCAACAUCAUGCCACGUCUUUCUUCCUUGACAAUUGUUGAUUGCACCAAAUUAAAGGCACUGCCCGACCACAUUCAUCAAACGACAACGUUGAAGGAAUUGAGCAUUUUUAUGUGUUGGCUUCUGAACAAACGUUACCGCAAGGGGAAAGGAGAAGACUGGCCUAAAAUAUCACACAUUCCCAACCUCCAUAUUGGGCUUUGACAAGUAAUUUCUUCUCUCACUCUGAUUUGCUUUGUUGUUGUUUUUGUUGAAAAGUUAAAAAGUUUGGUUGGAAAAGAAAAGUGAGCCACAUGCAUUGCUUUUGUUUUUCAAAGUCGGCACCAAAUUGCAAACUGUAUUUGGCAUUUGACAAUCCUGCACCAAAUGAAGAAAAAUGCAAAAGUUAGCAAAAUUUGUCAAAUUGACAGAGAUGGAGAUUGAUAAAUUGCAGAGGGAUUAGGUGGAAUAGUGCAUGCUUGAAGCCUAUAAAUUGAAGCCAUUUCUUCAUUCUAAAUAAUCCCAAAAUUGUUAAACUUAUAAGUUUCUAAGCUUUUGAGAGAAGUGAGAGAAGUGUGUCUGUGGAAUUUAUUUUUCCUGCAGAGUGUGAGAGUACUUGGUAUAUUUGGGUUUCUGGGAAGUGAGAUUCGUUACUCAAAUAUUGUAUUCUAUUAAUUGUUAAAUAAACAAUUAUUCUUUCUUACCUCCGUGGAUGUAGGUUUAAUUACCGAACCACGUAAAAUCUUGUGUCCUUUAUUUUUCAGUAAUUAUUUGGUGCGCUUGAUUCCGCAUUCCGCGCACAACAGUUUUUAAUCUAAUUAAGAAGCGAAAAUAGCAUUUUGAAUCAAACUCUAUAUCAGAAAUCUGCAAUACUUACUUUCUAAUAUUCUGAUUUUCAUAUCCUAUGAAUAUACGAUUUUUAAUUUGUGAGAUGGGUAACGUUACUGUAAAAGAUUAUUAAUGCAAUAUGAGUAAUUCUUUUGCAGGACAAGUGACCUACAUUUAGUUUGGCUUUGGAGUUGAAUAAUAACCUUUCGAGGUCCCGACAACCAAAAAACAAAGCUUAAUUUGCCACAGAUUGAACGUAUUGCCAUUAUUGACAAUUUUCUGCACAAGUGUGACUGAACUUAGGUUGAUGUCAAAAGAGGUAAAUUAUUGGCAUGCCUCACUAUUUUGACCAUUACAUGAUUCAUAAGUUUACAUUAAUUUUGAUUUUGAGUUGAGUGAUUAGUUUUCUAGGUUUGCUUACUUUAACUGGGUGACCAAUUUCUUGUAACUAAAUGUAUGAUGUGAUGCAGGAAGCAGGGCAGGAUAUGAAAAGAGAAGCUUAUUAGAGGAAGGAUUGCCAGUAACAGAAUCCAAAGAAAAAGAAACCAUUUCGAGGCAGCUGUUGGCAGUUGGCAGUGAAUGGAGCCCCUUGAAAAAAUUCCCAAGCCGUUGCACUGCAAUUACGAUCAUCCUCGGCCUCAGGUAAUUUCUUCUCCUGCAUUUUUGUUAUUUGCUAUCAAGUGACUAUUUUAAGUAUGAUUGCAUUAAGCUGCUGCUGGGAAAUUUGAGGUUUUGAUGACUGCCCAUGCUAUUGUCAGAAGCUGCGGUUCUUUUCAUCAGCCUGAACCUGGACCUGCCGCUAUGGAUAACUCAGGUUUUUUUUUUUUUUUAAUCAACUGCCAUCUUUUCCACUGUUUAGAAACUCUUAAGAUUAAACUUUAGUAAAGUUGUUUUAGUUAUCCAUGUAAUCAGGCUGAGGAUACUUAGCUGCCUAUUUAAGCAAAUGUCAGAAUUUAGUUUGUUCGCUGGGAACUGGUGUGGACUGGCAAAGGAUGAUGAGAUAGUUUUUUGAGUGAGUAAAUUUUGGGAGCUUGAGUGUAUUGGGAUUUGCAAUUACAAUCAUCGUCUGCCUCAGGUGAUUUCUUCUCCUGCUCUAUCAUUGUUUGUUCUCUAAUUCAAAAGCAUAAAAUAUUUCAAUCAAUUUUUAUGCCAGGAAUAUGCAAAAGUUUCUAAUAUUUUAUUUCCAUCUGUUACAAGAUCAAACUGAAGUAGAACUCAAACAAAAGUAUGCUACUUCUUGCGGAAAUCUUGCCUUUGUUCAGAUUAUGAAACCAUUUCCAUGCAGCAAAUUCAUCCAAAAGUUUGAAUAAGUUUCAUGGUUGGACACUGUUGGCUUCUUUUUCUUCUGGGGUGCAUUUAGGUGCUAUCAAGUGACAGCUGUAAGUAUGAUUGCACUAAGCUGCCGCUGGGAAAUUUGAGGUUUUGAUGGCUGCCCAUGUUAUUUUCAAGAAACUAUUGAUGUAAGAAGCUGUGGUUCUUUUCAUCAGCUUGAACCUGAAACUGUCGCUAUGGAUAACUCAGGUUUUUGUUAUCAACUAUAUCAUCUUUUUCACUAUUUUGAAACUCUUAAGAUUAAACUUUAGUAAAGUUGUUUCAGCUAUUCAAAUGAAAAACUCAUUGAUUUGAGACUUCCUUCAUUAUUGUUUCUAAUUACAAUGCUAACGAUCUAGAUAAAAUAAUAUUUAAUCGGCGCAGGUGUCCCUUGGAAGUACAUCCAACUUUUUCUUUUAUUAUAUAAAUUCUUGCAAUGAGCUUAGUGAAGCUGUUGUGCUAAUCAUGCCACUGCAUAAUUUGGCCCCUAAUGUGGGUACUCUGUUACAUUGUUCUGCAAAUUCUCCAGAAGUUAAAAUCAAUAAAUUUUCUAUUAGCUCUAGUGCUUUGACCUAAAUGCUAUUCUAUAUUUUGAUUACAAUGUUUUAACCUUUAAAUUAACUACCCCUAGAUGUUGGAUUUUCUAGAACUUCAAAAUGAUUAAUGGAGAAAGAUCCCAUUAUCGUUAUUGCUAUAAGAAAUUGAUUUAUGCAUCCAAAGAUACAUUAUAUAUUUCUGUGUCUCUAUUUGUAGAUGACAUUUAAGCAUCCAUAAACCGUCAGACAGAGGAAGGGUGAUGGGUGUCGAAGCCAACAAAAAUAAAUUCCUACUCUAAAUAAAUUGUGUAUAGUGAUUGAGCAGGGUCGUGUCCACAGAGAUCGGUAAUUAAUUAAAUCCUUUUGAAACGUAAAACAUAAAAUGGGGGAAUUGUUGACAAUAAUAAAAAUCAAAUUAAAAUAACAAGAAUGCAAAUUAAAGUUGUAAUUCAAAUUAGAGAAAGCUCUGGUUGAAGGAAUUAACUCAGCUUGAUUCGACUACUGAUCAUUGAUUCAAAUAUAGAUUAUUAUUACUCAUGAAUAGACCGGUUAUAGCUACUGAGACCCUCUAAUAGCCAAUCUCUCCUUAACUAGUCGAUAACCAAGGUACGACCAUUGGUUAUUUCCCUAAUCAAUAGACAACCCUAGAUACGAUCAUAGAAUUUAAUCAAUUGACAGCCUGAAAAACCAGAGAGACCCAAAUCCUAAUCAACACAUAUGAUGAUUCAUUUAAAUUAGAUUGUUUAUUCUCACAACACAACUCUCUGCUAUGUUAUUUGUCACAAACAUUAAAUUCUUCAUACGAUGAAUCCUUUAAUUGACAAUAGAUUAAGUUGAUAAUUAAAUAGUGGCCAAUUACCUAAUUAACAAACAUAAUCAUGAAAAUAAUUCAGAGAAUAAACAAAUACCCAAAAAGUAAUAAAACAAUUAAAGCACAAGAAAGAUCUCACAGUAGUGAUGAAUCAAAGCUUCAUUAACCUUCAACCAGAAAAAUAGGUUUAGCUCUUCAUAGAGAGAAGAGAAAAAUUAGAUCUAGGGUUUCUUUCUUUUUCUCCAAUCCAAAAAUCCCCCUUUUUCACAAUAGAUUCCUCCCUUAAAUACUUUCUCUCUCUUCUCUUUUAGAAUUCUAUUUAAAAUAAAAUCCUAAUAUCUGAAAUAUUAAAUUCGUAAUUACAAAAAUAACCAAAAAUACAAAACACGUUAAACUAAAAACUGCAGGUCCGCAGUUGACAGCACGCGCCCACGCCUUAUCAACAAAGUUCUUCUGACGCUCAUAAUUUCUCCAAGAGAACAAUCAUCCUUAAACAUCAUCUUAUAGCUCAAUUUUAUCAUCAAUCAAUAGAAUUGCACCUACAAAAGUAAAACACAAGUAAAUCACUAUUAUUAAGUGCAAAACAUUGAUAUUAAGGGAAGUAAAUAAUGCAAAACUAGUGCAUAAAUUGCACUCUAACAAAGGGGGUUCAGUGCAAAGAUUCUGUUGACCUAGGGUUGACUGCAUAAUGUCACUUGUUCGCAAUCUAUUAUUUAUUUUAUAUUUUGAAGAAUUUAAUGGGUAAUCCUAAUUGUUUGUUUUGGCAGGUAUGUGUUGUUAUCUCCUUCUAUCUAACAGUCGUACCUAAAUAGCAUAGUUUCAUCUGUGUUACCAUGUGAUGUACAUAAUUUCACAUUUGCCUCAGAUUAAGCUUAAUUUCCCACAAAAUAGAGCUGUCGCGACUGGACUUAGGUUGAUGUCCAAAGAGGUAAAUUAUUGGCAUGCCUAGAUAAUUUGGCCAUUUCCUAAUUCAUAAGUCUACAUUAUUUUUGAUUUUGAGUUGACUGAUUUCUUUUCAAGGUCUGCUUCCUUAACGGAGUGACCAAUGUUUUUCAACUAAAUUUAUCAUAUGAUGCAGGAAGCAGGGCAGGAUAUGAAAUGAGAUCUCAUUGGUGGAAGUAUUGCCAGUAGCAGAACCCAAUGAAAAUGAAACUAUUUCAAGGCAGCAGUUGGCAGUUGCAAGUAAAUGGAGGCCCUUGACAAAAUUCUCAAGCGGUUGCAAUGCAAUUACGAUCAUCCUCAGCCUCAGGUAAUUUCUUCUCCUGCUUUGUAUUUAUUUGUUAUCUAAUUAGGAAGCGUAAAGUAUCUUGAAUCAUUUUCUGUAUCUGGAAUAUAUGCAAGAGUUUCUAAAAUUUUGAUAUGAGUGUAAUGAUGGUAAUUUCUGUUUUCUGUCUGUCAUCAAAUGUUAGAAAACUUUCAUUGAGACCCUUGAACCGAGUCAUUUUUGACAAGUGAAGGACAAUUGCUGAAGAGUGGGAAUGGUGCUAGAUUGGGGAAUAAAGACAAAGGAGGUAAAUUAUUUGCAGUUUAUUCAGCAUUAUUUGCUUUGGACCACCGCCUGAUUCACAAGUCUCCAUAAUUUGGCUUUUGAGCAGUUGUUAAUAAAUUUUUAAUUCCAUUGGUGCUAAAUGUGCACGUGAAGCAGGCAGAGCAGGACUGUGGAAAUGAGAAGGUUUUUAGUGAAAGCUUAAACUCAGGUAAUUCUAAAAAGUACAUGUUUUUGCUGAUUUAUCUAAAUCAGGAAGUUUUAUUUCCAUCUGUUACAAGAUAAAACAGAAACAGAACACAAAGAAAAAUAUUCUACUUCUUCUGGCAAUCUUGCCUUCAUUCAGACAAUGAAACCAUUUCCUUUCACCAAUUUCUUCCAAAAGUUUGAAUAAGUUUCAUGGUUGGACAUAGUUAGCUUCUUUUUCUUUUGGUGCAUUUAGGUCCUAUCAAGUGACAGCCAUAAGUAUGAUUGCAUUAUUGGGAAAUUUUAGGUUUGGAUGGCUCCCCAUGUUAUUGCCAAGAAAGUCCUCAUGUCAGAAGCUGCGGUUCUUUUCAUCAGCCUGAACCCGAACCUGUCGUUAUGGAUAACUCAGGUUUUUGUCAUCAACUAUAUCAUCUUUUUUACUGUUUUGAAACUCUUAAGAUUAAACUUCAGUAAAGUUGUUUCAGUUAUCCAUGUAAGCAGGCUAAGGAUAUUUAGCAGCUUAUUUAGGCAACUGCCAGAAUUGAGUUUGUUUGCUCGAAACUUGUAUGGUGACAAGGAUACUGGCAAGGAUAGUGAGAUAGUUUUUUGUGUGAGUGAAAUUUGAAAGCUUGGGUGUUCUGGGAUUUGCAAUUGCAAUCAUCCUCUGAGUCAGGUGAUUUCUUCUCCUGCUCUGUCUUGAUUUUCUCUCUAAUUGAAAGCAUAAAGUAUUUCAAUCAAAUUCUGUACCAGGAAUACGUAAAAGUUACUAAUAUUUUAUUUCCAUCUGUUCGCAUUGAUAACUCGGCGGCAUAUGUGUUGUGCGCGGAAUGCGGAAUCAAGCGCGCCAAAUAAUUAUAGAAAAAUAAAGGACACAAGAAUUACGUGGUUCGGUAAUUAAACCUACAUCCACGGAGGCAAGAAAGAAUAAUUGUUUAUUUAACAACUAAUAGAGUACAAUAUUUGAGUAACGAAUCUCACUUCCCAGAAACCCAAAUAUACCAAGUACUCUCACACUCUGCAGGAAAUAUAAAUUCCCCAGACACACUUCUCUCACUUCUCUCAAAAGCUUAGAAACUUAUAAGCUUAACAAUUUUGGGAUUAUUUCAAAUGAACAAUUUCCCUUCUAUAUAUAGGAACCGUAGCUCACCUACCACUUCCAAUUUGGCUACAACUUGCCGAAUUGAUAAAUUGAAUUUAGAAUGGAAAAUCAAUUUGGUGAGCAACAAAAUCAACAAGUUUGAAAAAUCAAUUGGCUUCUAGAAAAACAUCACAUUUUUCCUCCAUACAAUUUCAACAAAAUCGUCCCACCAACCAUGUCUUUUGAAAUUUGCAUGCCAUUCUUUGACUUGUUGUGCGCGGAAUGCGGAAUCAAGCUCACCAAAAAUUACUGCAAAAAUAAAGGACACAAGAAUUUACGUGGUUCGGUAAUUAAACCUACAUCCACGGAGGCAAGAAAGAAUAAUUGUUUAUUUAACAAUUAAUAGAAUACAAUAUUUGAGUAACGAAUCUCACUUCCCAGAAACCCAAAUAUACCCAGUACUCUCACACUCUGCAGGAAAGAUAAAUUCCCCAGACACACUUCUCUCACUUCUCUCAAAAGCUUAGAAACUUAUAAGCUUAACAAUUUUGCGAUUAUUUCAAAUGAACAAUUUCCCUUCUAUAUAUAGGAACCGUAGCUCACCUACCACUUCCAAUUUGGCUACAACUUGCCGAAUUGAUAAAUUGAAUUUAGAAUGGAAAAUCAAUUUGGUGAGCAACAAAAUCAACAAGUUUGAAAAAUCAAUUGGCUUCUAGAAAAACAUCACAUUUUUCCUCCAUACAAUUUCAACAAAAUCGUCCCACCAACCAUGUCUUUUGAAAUUUGCAUGCCAUUCUUUGACUUUUCAACAAUUCUCCACCUCGGCGAAAAUUUUCCAAAUCUGAGCCGACUACCAACUAACCAUCCCCAAAGUGAUCCUUCAAUAAGGAUCCAGAAUGGCUGUGUCGAUUCGACUGCCUACGUACCCAAACUGUCUUGAUUUUCUCUCUAAUUGAAAGCAUAAAGUAUUUCAAUCAAAUUCUGUACCAGGAAUACGUAAAAGUUACUAAUAUUUUAUUUCCAUCUGUUCGCAUUGAUAACUCGGCGGCAUAUGUGUUGUGCGCGGAAUGCGGAAUCAAGCGCGCCAAAUAAUUAUAGAAAAAUAAAGGACACAAGAAUUACGUGGUUCGGGAAGCAGUUGGCAGCAAAUUCAUAUGGAGUGUAGACAAUGAUGAGCAAAAAGGUGAUUCUCAAUUUCUUUUUUUUUUAAAGUGAAAUUAUUUGUUAGAUUGAAGCUGAUAUUGUAAGAAGGCCAUUGAGCUAACCUAUGUCGCCACUUGCCUAGAUUGCAGGGGGUCAAGACUCAAAAGAAGCACUGAAAUUUAAAAAGCAUGCAAUAGUUCUUUUGCCAUGUAUCAAUUAAUGCAAGUUUGAAUAAAAUUAACAUAUAUCAAGACACAACUAGAAACAUCAUACUUUCGUGUAAGUUCAUUUCAGAAUAUUUCUUAGAGUUUGUAUAAAAUGAAAAGAUUUUAAAAUAUAAAUUUAAUAUUUGUUUAUUACCGUUGUUUGGUCUAAUUUCCUCGGGAGAAUUUUCAGAAUUUAUAGGACAUUAGUUUAUAAUUUUGAAAUUUUGUAACCUAAAUGUUUUUUUUUUUCGGUUACCAUUUUGUUUUCCUGCUUUAUCUACGUGUAUGUUGACUAAAACUAAUCUAUUUUGUUAAACCUUUACCACUUUAGACAUUGCACUAAAUAUGAGUUCGUGAUGCUUGCAUUUUAUUGAUGCUGAUGAUUCGUUGAAUGUUUUAUGUUUUUGAUUUUUAAGUAUUCCGGAUCGAAGUUUGUGUCUACGCGGAAAUUGUAAAGGCAGCAUAUAAAGUACUCGUCGUUCUUUAGAUUUUAUUGAGUACACUUUUUUCACAUUUAGCGUAUGCUAUACACUACUGAUUUGCGCAUUGACAUAUAACUUAUUUUAUCAUUUUGAAUGAAUUGCACGGCGAGGCUUAUCAACUUUGGAUGAAUCCUCCAAUUGUCACAGUCCAAGACUGGCUGCAGUGAGUGAAAAUUUACCCAUAUAUAUGCUGGCUAUUUUUAUUGGCGACGAAUUCGUUGUAGUUGGUCCAUCUUGCUAUUCUCGGACAAUAUUAGAGAAAAUAAUCAUAUUAUUUCGCGUGAUGUGACCUUCCAUAACUUAUCAAUUGAAUUACUGUAAAAUUAUUGUGUAAGUUUAGGCCCAAUGGCACUUUAGUUCAUCACAUGAUAGCCUGGAUUUAAAUGGAAAACUAUAUUGCAUUGCUUCAAAAAAAUAAAUUAAUGUUUUUAAUAUGAAUAUUUUUAACUAUAUUCAGUUAAAAUAAUAUAUUCUUAAUAUUAAUAUUCAUAGAUGAAAUUCUUUUGCGGAUUUAAGAAUAAAAUAUCAAAUAGUUUUAUUUUUCUUUUGUUGUGUAACUUGGACCGAAAAAGAAAAUGAGCUUAACAUGACCCUCCUUCCGGCACUAUGCAUGUUUUUCUUGUAUUGAUGACAGUGCUCUUGGUGCUUCUCAUCUGCUUCUUGCUUUGGUUUCAAACAAGUCUUUCUCCGUCAAGACAUUUAUUGUAAUUUCAUUUGGAGACAUCUGUCGUUCAAAUAUAUUUCAUAUUCAAGCUGUUGAUAAUUCUGCUUGAGAAAGCCUACAAAGCAGCUGUGUGAUGUAAUGGAAGACUAUAUAUGCAAGCGGUCAUCAGUUUCUCUUGAAUUCUUUCUUGAGUUUCUUUGAAUUAUUUGUGAAUGAGUUCUUAAUCGGCUGCUGCUCUUCAGGAAAAGGAAAGUUUUGCAAACUGGUGAAGCUGAUCGAUAAAAGCAAUGUACCAUCUUUGCUGGCAUGGAUCGAUGCCAGUGAGUAGCUCAUUGGUGGAAGUAUUGCCAGUAACAGAACCCAAAGCAAAUGAAACUAUUUCAAGGCAGCAGUUGGCGCUUGCAAGUGAAUGGAGGCCAUUGACAAAAUUCUCAAGUGGUUGCGAUGCAAUUACGAUCAUCCUCAGCCUCAUGUAAAUUCUUCUCCUGCUUUGUUUUUAUUUGUUAUCUAAUUAAGAAGCACAAAGUAUCUUCAAUCAUUUUCUGUAUCUGGAAUAUAUGCAACAGUUUCUAAAAUUUUGAAACGAGUGUAAGGAUGGUAAUUUCUGUUUUCUGCCUGUCAUCCAAUGUUAGACAACUUUCAUUGAGACUCUUGAACAGAGUCAUCUUUGCUGGCAUGGAUCGAUGCCAGUGAGUUUUUUUAUUUGUCAACCUUUUUAAUAAUGCAUAUGUGUUUCUUCAACUUGAAGCGGCAUAUAAGACGAAAGAAGUGAUCUUUAUCCAAUUGCUCCAAAUUAUUUGCAAAUUACUGAACACGAAUGCUGAUGAAUAAACUGAUGGCUCUAUGUAUGUAUGCACAUGCAUGGAGAAAUUUUAAGUCAGACAUUGACUCGUGGUACCAAAUCAUUAAAUAAUCUUGAAAUCAAAGUAAUAAUUAAAUACAAAUAAAUUGCUCGAAUUGUACAUAUAUCUGAAUCAUGUAGUGAAGAAAAUACAACAACAACAGCCAAUGGCUCAAAUUCCCUAUCAACUUCUAGUCUCAACACUUUUGAGUGUCAGAAGCAUUACUCUGCUACUAGUUAACAAACAUAUAAUUAGUAAUUUGCCAUUCACUUCCCUUUUAGGCCUAACACAUUUUCUAUAAAAGAGCCACAGAGUGAACUCAGCAGGAAACACUCAAUUUCAACCUACGUAGGACCAGGAAUUUCAACCAAAAAAAAAGUGUGCAAUUGCUUAUCCUAUCCUAUUGCUACUAGAAAGAAAGUGAACAAUUAAUUUCAGUGAAUAAAUUAAAAAAAAAAUUACUUCUGCAGAUACUCAAGCUAAGAACACAUUAACCCAUUAAAGACUCCAAAUUGCAUCAAACAAAUUGUUGUUAAACAAGUAAAACAAAGAAAGAGAGUUAAGGAAGCUGACCAAGUAGUAGGGGAGCUGAAGAAAGACUGCCAGUGAAUGUAAGAGAAAAUAAAAUGCAAGAAAUGGUGAAGUGCAGCUUUUCAUGUCAACUUGAAAUUGAGUUUUCUGUUUUUUUUUUUUUUUUUAAUCUUUUGGAUUUUUCAAACAAAGAAAAUGAGGAGCAACCAGGGAGAUAAAAAGGGCGCCAAGGCAACUGUGUGUUGGGUUUAGAGCCAAAAAAAAAAAGAAUAAGACAUCGUGUUCUUGUGGAGACCAGACCUAUUACGUAACGUCCCCUUCAAUACCACUAGUUCCGUAUCUGGUUUUUUCUUCGUCUUUUACAUAGUUUGCAAUUUUAUUCAUUUGAGCCCUACAGAUGAUAUAAGGGACAAGAGCGCAAAACAGAAACUCUGUCCACUACUGAUGAUAUAACAACGAACCGGGGUUUUUAAUUAAAUACCCUUUAAUAGUUUCAAAAUUAUUUAAAUACCUCCUCCCUUUUUAGUUUUCAUGGAUACCCUAACAAAAUUAUUUAAAAAUGGUUCAAUUUUAUUCUACUCUCAGGAAUUAAGUGUUGGAUAGACUAGAAAAUUCUGAGUACAAAGCAUCGCUUGUUUUCGUUGGUUUUUUUUUUGCAUUCCAGUAGAAAGGUUGUGUACAAUUGAAUCUGAUAACUAUGGCAGGAGGUAAGUUUUCUAACUUGCGCAUGAUGAAUAUAGUCUUUUAUUUCUUCCAUUGUAAUUUUUGUUUAAUAGAAAAUCUAUUUGAGAUUUUGUGAGAAGAAACUCAACAAUAAAGUUUGAUAGACUUUGUGGAUAUUAAGAGUUUGACAAGUAAUUGAAAUCUGAAGUUUACUGAAGUUUACGAGCAAACAAACUGAAAUCCGAAGUUUACUGAAGUUUACUAUCAAGAGUUUCAAAACAGUGAAAAAGAUGAUAUGGUUGAUGACAAAAACCUGAGUUAUCCAUAGCGACAAGUAACAUACUGAAGUAAGCCGUGGGGAGCUGGCCUGUUCAUGGGCUAUUUUUCUCUGAUGAUCUGCAUUUUUCUUCCUUUUAAGUGAACCUUGACUCGUAUCAAACCUGUCAAAAGAACAGUUCAUCAACUGAGCUGAGAUUUGCUUUCCUUUUUCAAAACCCACCUGAGAUAUUGUAAUUCCCAAAUUUCUCUCUCUCAGCUACACGAGCAAGCAGCCGCUUUUUCACUUCAUCGACGAAGGUAAGCGAUAAUAUCUAUUUCGUCCGAUUGAUUUCUUGUUUCCUUUUCAGUGUUCGGGUAAAUUAUUGGCAUGCCUGACUUUUUGACCAUUACAUGAUUCAUAAAUUUAUAUUAAUUUUGAUUUUGAGUUGACCGGUUACUUUUAUUGGUUUGCUUACUUUGACUAGGUGACCGAUUUCUUGUAACUAAAUUUAUGACGUGAUGCAGGAAGCUGGGCAGGAUAUGAAAUGAGAAUCUUAUUAGUGGAAGGAUUGCCAGUAACAGAACCCAAAGAAAAUGAAACCAUUUCAAGGCAGCAGUUGGCAGUUGGGAGUGAAUGGAGGCCCCUGACAAAACUUCAGUAAACUUCAGAUUUCAGUUUGUUUGCUCGAAACUUGCAUGGUGACAAGGAUACUGGCAAGGAUAAUGAGAUAGUUUUUGUGUGAAUGAAAUUACGAUCAUCCUCAGACUCAGGUAAUUUCUUCUCCUGCUUAGUUGUUAUUUGUUACCUAAUUAAGAAGCAUAAAGUAUCUUGAAUCAUUUUCGUUGUCUGGAAUAUAUGCAACAGUUUUUAAAAUUUUGAUAUCAGUGUAAUGAUUGUAAUUUCUGUUUUCUGUCUGUCAUCGAAUGUAAGACAACUUUAUUAAGAUUCUUGAACCGAGUCAUUUUUGACAAUUGAAGAACAAGUGCUGAAGAGUGGGAAUGCAAAAAGUUUUGUUGUUUUUAGCCUUGUUUUCUUUGAACCAGCGCCUGAUUCACAAGAGUUCAUUAAUUUGGCUUUUGAUCAGCUGAUUGAUAAAUGUUCAAUUUCUUUGGUGAUAAAUGUAUAUGUGAAGCAGGCAGCAGGGCAUGACUGUGGAAAAGAGAAGAUUUUAGUGAAAGCUGAGACUCAGAUAAUUCUACGCGUUUUGGCUGAUUUAUAUAAUUCGUGAAAUUUUAUUUCCAUCUGUUACAAGAUCAAACUGCAAUUAGCAAUUUAACAUUCCCUUAAAACCACUAGCUACAUUUCAUCUUUGCACAAUUACACUUAAAAUUCCACUAAAAGAAACUCUUGAGUUGCUCGCAAGCUAUAUGUCAUUAUCCAUUGAAUUCUUACCACAUACAUCUCACCUUUCAAUCAAUCACAUAAUAAUCAAUAUACAUAUUGUAAGAAUUCAACAAAUGGAGAACAUAAUAUACUAUAAAAGCAUCCAAAAUUUUUCCAUCUCAAAUUAUUACUAAACUUCUUGAACAAGUUGAAGAUUGGGGGGAAAAAGUGCAAGAAGGAAAAGCAUUAUUCUACUAGUUUCUAGGUUUCUCAUUUGAACAGAAAGAUUAAAUAAGAUAUUUGUGUAUGGCUGUAGUACUACACGGUAUCUGCUAGAAAGCAAAAUACCUUCUGCUGAUUGCACAUUGGAAUGGGAAUAAGUUGGUAAAUAUAUAAGUUACAUAAAUUAUUUUGGAUAAUUCUGCUGGUGAAUUAAUUAUCUUAAAAUCACCCUUUUAUUUUUUAAAAAAUCUUAAGUUAUUUUUCAUAUAUCUUAGGAAGACAAACAAACUUUCAUCAACUCUCCUUUUUUAGCUUUUCCCUUCAAUAAUGUUAGAAAUUCUAACAUUUGAGUCCUGCUUGAGCUUAAUACUAUUUAUCACUCAUUUAUUAGAUGAUGAAUUUUUUAAAUUAUAAAGUUAUUUGACUACCAUUCAAUGAAUGAAUGUCACAUCAUUUAAAACUCAAAGAAAAGUAUUCUACUUCUUGCGGCAAUCAUGCCUUCAUUCAGACUAUGAACCAUUUCCUUUCACCAAAUUCUUCAUAAACAUUGAAUAAGUUUCAUGGUUGGACAUAGUUAGCUUCUGUUUCUUUUGGUGCAUUUAGGUGCUAUCAAGUGACGGCCGUAAGUAUGAUUGCAUUAUUGGGAAUUUUACGAUUUGAUGGUUCCCCACGUUAUUGCCAAGAAAGUUCUCAUGUCGGAAGCAGCGGUUCUUUUCAUCAGCCUGAACCCGAACCUGUCGCUAUGGAUAACUCAGGUUUUUGUCAUCAACUAUAUCAUCUUUUUCACUGUUUUGAAACUCUUAAUAUUAAACUUACAGUAAACUUCAGAUUUCAGUUUGUUUGCUCGAAACUUGUAUGGUGACAAGGAUACUGGCAAGGAUAAUAAGGUAGUUUUUUGUGUGAGUGGAUUUUGAGAGCUUGUGUGUAUAGGGAUUUGCAAUUACAAUCAUCCUCUGCCUCAGGUGAUUUCUUCUCCUGCUCUGUCUUUAUUUGCUCUCUAAUUGAAAAGCAUAAAGUAUUUCAAUCAAAUUCUGUACCAGGAAUAUGUAAAAGUUCCUAAUAUUUUAUUUUCAUUUGUUUGCAUUGAUAACUUGACGGCAUAUGUACUAGUUAAAGAACAAACAGAAUCAGAGCUCAAGAAAAAGUUUUUUCUGCCAUCAUAUUUGAAAAUGAAGUCAUUUGCAGGAAGCGGUUGGCAGCAAAUUCAUACAAAGUGUAGACAAUGAUGAGCAAAAAAGGUGAUUCACAGUUUGAUUUUUUUUUAAUAAUGAAAAUAAUUUGGUAGGUUGAAGCUGAUAUUGUAAGAGGGCCAUUGAGCUAACCUAUGUCGCUACUUGCCAAGAUUGCAGGGCGUUAAGACUCAAAAGAAGCACUGAAUUUUAAAAGGCAUGCAAUAGUUCUUGUGCCAUAUGUCAAUUCAUGCAAGUUGGAAUAAGUUUAUUGGUUUGAACGCUGUUAGCUCCUUUUCCUUUCGUGCAUUUUGGUAUGCUAUCAAGUGACAGCCGUAUGUAUGGUUUGCAUAUAGCUGCUGCUGGGAAAUGUGAGGAUUUCAUGGCUGGCCGUGUUAUUGUUUUAAAUUAGAUGUGAUAAGCUGUUGCUUGGAGAUUCUGUUGCCAAGACUUUGCUCACAUCAGAAGCUGUGGAACCUCAACCCUUCUCUAGAUAUCAUCUUUUUCAUUGUUUUAAAACUCUCAGGAUUAAACUUGAGUAAAUUUGUUCGGUUGUCUAUAUAAUCAUGUAUUGAGUAAACUCUCAGGAUACCGAGCAGGCAAAUGCCAUAACUCGGUUUGUUCUUCAAAAACUUGUUUAAGAUUCUUGACAAAGCUGCAUGAAGUGAAUCUUGGGAGCUUUGAGGGUGAGAGAAAUUAGAGGGUGUAUAGGGAUUUGGGUUUAUUAGUAAGUUAUAUAUGUAUUUCGUCACUUAUCAUUAUCAUUUUUAUUUUCACAGAAAACCUUCUGAUGGUGCUAAAUUUUCAAACACCGGUCCGAUUCAAAACUUCAUAUUCCAAUUAUAUUCAUAAGACAAAUGGAACACUUUGAACGGCUAGUGUCCGAGCAUUGUAGUUUGAUUUAUUUUGAUGAAAGUACCUUUUGACAUUGAGAUUCUUUCAUGAUUUAAACAUUCUUUUUUAAACCAAAUUAUUAAAAAAAGUAACUAACAUAUAUUAUUUUAUUAGUGCUUUUUAAAUCAAAUAUACAUAGGAGAACUGUAAUUCUUAGCAAUCAAUUUUUCACUAAAUACACCUGCAAUAAACUAUUAAUAACAAAGUGAUAGAAAAUACCUGAUUUUUCAUACUUUCUAAUUUCUUGUGGUCCUAAAAUAUGGGCAUUUGUGUAAUAAUUAGCCCAUGUGGAUCUCUAUGCCAUGAGUUUGAUAAAUAGCUAUCAAGGAUCACUUAUUAAGCUGAAAAUAUUUGGAGGACAAAAUUGUAAAACUAAAAGGGUAGAGCAAAUAUGGCUAUCUAGGAUUAAAUAGUAAGUCAACUAUAUUUAAAGGAUAAAAUGUUAAAACUUGAACUGUGAUAUUAAAAAUAUCUCAACUAUUACAUUAUUAAACCAUAUGUUCUAAUAGUUUUUUUUUAAGCUUCAAAAUGUUCAGGAUUUUAGAUUGAAACAUUUUCAUUUGAAAUUAUUUGGUGCAGUCACAAGUUAAGAAAGAAAAAGUUGUCCCAUUGGUCAUUUCACAAAAAUGAAAGCCCUGUAUAACAUGGACUUGAAUGGAAGCCCAAUUGUUUGUGUUUGAUUAAUUGAUUUCAAGCUUUAUCGGAUCUUUGGACCUGGAUACUUUACCGCGGCCUCUAAGCGCUAUAAUUUUUUUUUUUUUGGGAUAAACGGCGCUUCAAUGAGGGCAUUUCCAAUACUUAACACUAUUUUGGUGUAACACCAACACUAAAAAUGUACAUUUUUCACACUAAAUUACUAUUUAAUCUCCAACCCAUUUGAUCUACCAUGAUUGUGACUCCCACUGGGGCCACGUUCUGUUGAUCACCCUCUCGUCACCGAUAGCGCCUCCGCUUGUGGCGAACUUGCUUGUCUAUUUUCCCUAUUUUUCCGCUUACUCUCCUCAUUUAAUACGGAGGCUGCAACAUCAUCGAAAACUAGACUGUCCACUGAAUUGUAGUUUGUCAGGUUGACGAUGAGUUGUUCAUACGAAUCUUAUAGACUUUGAAGUAGAAGCUCUGCAUGUACAUUAUCCUCUAUAUUAUGACCCAACGUUGUGAGUUGUGAAAAUAGAGUCUUCAAGGUGUUGAUGUGGUCGGUCACCAUUGUAGAUUCCACCAUUCGAAGAGUAUAAAGUCUCCUCUUCAAAAAGAUUUUGUUGUGUAGUGACUUGGCCUCGUACAAUUUUGUAAGAGUAUCUCAUAUUUCCUUUGCUGUAUUUUUCUCUGCCACACUGGAUAAUACUCCAUCCGCAAGUGCCAAGUGUAGAUCAGAAAUAGCGUUGCCAUCUAUCUCAUUCCACUUGUCAUCAGUUAUCUCCAUGGGCCUUUCUCCAAUUGCUGCCAAACAAUUAUUUUUCCUCAAUACAACUUUCAUCUUCAUUUUCCACAAUGAAAAAUUAUUUCCGUUAAACUUCUCAAUUUCAUAUUUUGCUGCCAUUUUUUUGAUAAAUACCGCACACAAGUUAGUGUAUCACCUUGAAUAGUUGUCGGUAUGUGUGAGAAUGCACACCAGGAAAGUUCCCAGGAAAGACUGGAGGGGUCACACUGGUCCACUUAAAACUCAGACUCCUUAAGCACUUAUCGCGUUUGUAACAGAACUUUCCUAGACAUGUACAAAACCACACAGUUGCUUUUACUUACACCACUAUUUCCUACUUUGCAGUGCAAAAGUUCUUGGAUCGCUCCCAUCGUUUCUCGUGAACAGUACCAUAUACGUGAACAGUGCCACAUACAUGAAUAGUACCGUAUACGUGAACAGUACCGUAUACGUGAAUACUACCCUUUACGUGAACAGUACUUGACUCCAAAAAAUUCAACCAAUAGCUUUGAUACCACUGUUAGGAAAUUGGUAGGUGAAGCAGACACGCAGCUAAAAUAAAAUUGGAAGAAAAUAAAGAACAAGUACAAAGUGGACACCAAGAAAUUACGUGGUUCGGCUUUUAGCCUACGUUCACGGGCGAAGAUAGAAGGAAAAUAUUAUACUAGUGAUAUGAAGAUUACAAGUAUUGUAAUAUUUUGGCUCACUAUCCAAAACCCCAAUACACUCAAUCUCUCACUCAAUAAACUCUCAGGAGCUUUAUUAUUUUAAGCUCUUAAAAUCUCUCAAGCUUUCUCCUUAUUAUUCUCUCACAAAUUGUAUGCUAAAAUUAGGGUGGGAAGCCCUCUUUAUAUAUCCAAGAUUUUGGCUCUUUUUUUUUUAUAUAACAAGUCAACACGGCACCAUUAAGAAUGGCGAGCCAUGUUGAAUGGCAUGGCACCGCCCAUCUAGAUGGCCGGUGCCAACCAUGACUUUAACAUUCUAUCACUUGGAGAUUUGAUUGAGAAUCAAUCAAUCUCCACAUCAUCCUUUCUACUUCGCCAUAAUCAUGUUGCCUACGUUUUUACUAGGCCACAAGAGGAUCUACUCCAGUUAAACUUAUCAAUAUUGAUUGGCUUAGUCAAAACAUCUGCUAGGUUCUCCUUCGUAUGGAUUUUUGCAAAUUGACACUUCCAUCUUCCACUACUUCUCGAACGAAGUGAUACUGAACUCCUAUGUGCUUUGUCUUGGAAUGAAAGGCUGGAUUCCUUGCAAUGUGCAAGGCACUCUGACUGUCACAAAACACAGGAAUUUUCUGUUGUUUGUGCCCGAGCUCCUCCAAUAAUCUUUGUAUCCAAAUAGCUUCCUUGCAAGCUUGUAUAGCUGCCAUGUAUUCUGCUUCUGUUGUAGAUAAAGCCAGAACGGUCUGCAGUUUCCAAACCCAACUUACAACUCCUCAUGCAAAUGUAAACACAUAACUAGUAGUGGAUUUCCUUUUAUCAAGGUCUCCUGCAAAAUCUGAAUCCACAUAGCCCCUGACAGUAAACUCUGAUCCUCAAUAACAUAAUACAACAUCUGAGGUUCCUCUUAUGUAUCUCAGAAUCCUCUUCACAGCUAUCCAAUGCUGUCCACCAGGAUUCACCAUGUAUCGACUGAUUGCUCCCACUGCUUGUGCAAUGUCUGAUCUUGUACAUAUCAUAGCGAACAUCAAACUUCCCACUGCUGAUGCAUACGGUACUUGAGACAUCUCCUUCCUCUCUGCUUCAUUGCUAGGACACAUACUUGAGGAUAAUUUGAAAUUAACAGGAAGUGGGGUAGAAAUUGACUUACAAUCUUGCAUGUUGAAGCGCCACAAGAUUUUCUUCAAGUAGUUAUUCUCAGAAAGCCAAAUCUUUCUGUUAUUUCUGUCUCAGUGAAUUUGCAUCCCUAGAAUCUUGUUUGCUGGUCCCAAGUCCUUCAUUUCAAACUCCCUAGCCAACAGUGCCUUCACUUCUUGGAUUCGAUCUUUGUCGGGGCCUGCUACCAACAUGUCAUCCACAUAUAACAACAAAAUAAUGAAAUCAUUAUCUUCAAACCUUUUGUAAUAUGCACAAUGGUCUGAACUGAGUCUGUUAUAUCCAAGACUCAUGAUGAAGGAAUCAAAUCUCUUAUACCAACACCUCGGCGCCUGUUUGACACCGUAUAGAGAUUUGUUCAACCUACAAACCAAGUUUUCCUUUUCUGUUUCUGCAAAACCUUCUGGUUUGAGCAUAUAAAUUUUCUCUUCAAGUUCUCCAUGAAGAAAUACAGUUUUCACAUCUAACUGCUCUAGAUGUAGGUCAAAUAUAGCACACAUUGCCAAGACUACUCUGACUGUUGUGAGUCGAACCACCGGAGAAAAUAUCUCGUUGAAGUCAAUACCUUCUUUCUGAGCAUAUCCUUUCACCACCAAUCUUGCACGAUACCGCUCCACUUGAUCAUUGCCAUCACGUUUGAUCUUGUAGACCCAUUUGUUUCCAAUGACUUUUCUUCCAUGUGGUAGUGGUACAAGUUCCCAUGUCUUAUUUUUAUGUAGAGCUUCAAUUUCUUCCUGCAUUGCUGUCAUCCACAAAGCAACAUUUGAACUUUCUAAAGCUUCAUGGAAAGUUGAUGGCUCUCCAUCCUCUGUUAGAAGACAGUAUGCAACAUGGAUCUCUGUGACAUACUCCGAGUGCCACGCUGGCGAUCGUCUCUCACCAAUUGACCAAAGAACUUCUGGAGUCUCAGACUCGACUGGUUCUUGUUCCUCGUGCUCUGGUGCUGCUUUAGAAGAAUCUGAAUCUUCUAGAUUAUUUCCACAUAUACCGGCACAGUUUCUGACUUUUCUUUUACAGUGUCAUCAUCUCCAUCUUUCCUUUACAGUUGAUCUUCUACAAAAAUAACAUCUCUGUUGAUGACGAUCUUGUGGGCAGUGGGGUCCCACAAACGAUACCCCUUUACUCCAUUAGCAUAUCCCAAGAAGAUACAUCUUCUAGAUUUUGGAUCCAGCUUUGUUCUUUCUUACGGAUUGUACAUCACAUACACAGGACAUCCAAAUGCAUGUAAGUAGGAAUAAUCAGCUGGCUUUCCAGUCCACAUCUCCACGUUGUCUUCAGCCCAAUAGCUGUAGAUGACGACUGAUUUACUAUAUAACAAGCAGUUUUGGCUGCUUCUUCCCAAAAUGAAUUGGGUAGACCAGCAGUCCUCAACAUAGCUCUUAUUCUUUUGUAAGAGUUUUGUUCAUCUACUCCGCCACUCCAUUUUGUUGAGGAGUGUAUGCUACCGUGAACUGUCUAUGAAUACCUUCUUACUUACAGAAAGCAAGAAACUCACCGUCUGUAUACUCUCCACCAUUAUCUGUCCUCAAGCACUUGACCCUUUUACCAGAUUCAAGUUCCACCCGCGCUUUGUAUUCUUUAAAUACUGGAAAUAUAAUUGACUUUUUCAUAAUUGGAUACACCCAACAUCUCCUGGAAUAAUCAUCAAUGAAAGUCACCAUAUACUUUGCACCUCCCAUGGAUAUAUCCAGUGAUUCCCAAACAUCAGAAUGAAUCAAGUCUAAAAUGCAUUUACUUCUAGCAAUAGAUUUACUGAAUUUUAAUCUAUGCUGCUUACUUGUAACACAAUGCUCGCAAAAUGGUAAACUUACCGAUUUAAGCCCCGGAAGUAAUUUUCACUCAGAGAGAAUCUUCAAACAUUCUGACAUGUGACCAAAUUUGAGAUGCCACAUCAUCGUUGACUCUUCUCCAUUUGAUACGAGACACGCAUUAGCCUCCUAUAGUGUUUCUCCUUUAAGCAUGAAUAGAUUAGCACCGAUCUUUUCUGCCUUCAUCAAUACAAGCGCUCUUUUAACAAUUUUCGUAAUUUCAUUCUCCAUAUGAGUUUUAUACCCAUGACUAUCCAUUUGUCCCAAAGACAAUAGAUUUUUAUUCAGGUCAUUGACAUGUCGUACCUCCCCAAUUGUGCGAAUUGUACCAUCAAAAUUUUUAUUUUGAUAGUGUCAAUACCAGCGAUCUCCAAGGUAUGAUCAUUACCCAUAUAUAUAGAUCCUCCUGAGAUAUGUUCAUAUGUGUGGAACCAUUCUCUCCGAGAGGUCAUGUGCCAGGUAGCUCCUGAGUCUAUAAUCCAGACAUCAGAUAGUCGUUUUCUACCUUCUAAAACAGUUGUUGCCUCGCUUUAGAGAAUUUCACCAUUAUCUGAAGUACUUGCUACACACCCUUGAGCAUUUGAUGACUCAGGUUAUUUGCCCUCUCUUCUCUUCUGGUUACUCCAACACUUUUUCUUGACGUGCCCUUUCUUGCCACAGUUGUAGCAUUUAACAUUCUUCUUACUUCUGGAUUUUGAUCUACCAUGAUUAUGACUUCUACUGGGGUCACGUUCUGUUGAUCUCCCUCUCGUCACCAAUAGCGUCUCCGCUUGCUGCGAACUUGCUUGUCUGCUUUCAUUAUUUUUCCGCUUACUCUCCUCAUUUAAUACGGAGGUUGCAACAUCGUCGAAAACUAGACCGUCCGCUGGAUUGUUGUUUGUUAGGUUGAUGAUGAGUUGAUCAUACGAAUCUGGUAGACUUUGAAGUAGAAGCUCUGCAUGUACAUUAUCCUCUAUAUUAUGAUCCAACGUUGUGAGUUGCGAAAAUAGAGUCUUCAAGGUGUUGAUGUGGUCGGUCACCAUUGUAGAUUCCACCAUUCGAAGAGUAUAAAGUCUCUUCUUCAAGAAGAUUUUGUUGUGUAGUGACUUGGCCUCGUACAAUUUUGUAAGAGUAUCUCAUAUUUCCUUCGCUGUAUUUUUUUCUGCCAUACUGGAUAAUACUCCAUCCGCAAGUGCCAAGUGUAGAUAAAAAAUAGCGUUGCCAUCUAUCUCAUUCCAUUUGUCAUCAGUUAUCUCCAUGGGCUUUUCUCCAAUUGCUGCAAAACAAUUAUUUUUCCUCAAUACAGCUUUCAUCUUCAUUUUCCACAACAAAAAAUUAUUUCCGUUAAACUUUUCAAUUCCAUACUUUGCCGUCAUUUUGUUCAUAAAUACCGCACACAAGUUAGUGUACCACCUUGAAUAGUUGUCAGUAUGUGUGAGAAUGCACACUAGGAAAGUUCUCAGGAAAGACUGGAGGGGUCACACUGGUCCCACUUAAAACCCAAACUCCUUAAGCUCUUAUCGCCUUUGUGACAGAACUUUCCUAGACAUGUACAGAAUCACACAGUUGCUUUACUCACACCACUAUUCCCUGCUUUGCACCGCAAAAUUCUUGGAUCGCUUCCACCGUUUCUCGUGAACAGUAUCGUAUACGUGAACAAUGUCGUACAUGUGAAUAGUAUCAUACAUGUGAAUAGUAUCGUAUACGUGAACAGUACCGUAUACAUGAAUACUACCCUUUACGUUAAGAAAUUGGUGGGUGAAGCAGACACGCAGCUAAAAUAAAAUUGGAAGAAAAUAAAGAACAAGCACAAAGUGGACACCAAGAAAUUACGUGGUUCGACUUUUAACCUACGUCCACGGGCGAAGACGGAAGAAAAAUAUGAUACUAGUGAUAUGAAUAUUACAAGUAUUGUAAUAUUUUAAUUUACUACCCAGAACCCCAAUACACUCAAUCUCUCACUCACUAGACUCUCAGGAGCUUUAUUAUUUUAAGCUCUUAAAAUCUCUCAAGCUCUCCUUAUUAUUCUCUCACAAAUUGGAUGCUAAAAUGAGGUGGGAAGCCCUCUUUAUAUAGCCAAAAUUUUGGCUCCUUUUUUUUUUUUAUAACAAGUCAACACGGCACCACCAAGAAUGGUGGGCCGUGUUGAAUGGCAUGGCACCGCCCAUCUAGAUGGCCGGUGCCAACCAUGACUUUAACAUUAUAGUCCAAGUUUUCGAGGACCACUAUAUUGUAUUGAUUUAAAAAAAACUAAUAUUUUUAAUAUUAAUAUUCUAAAUUAUAUUCAGUUAAAAUAUUAAAUAUUAAAAACAUUCUUAAUAUUAAUAUUCUUAGAUGAAAUUAUUUUGCUGACUUAAGAAUAAAAUAUUAAAUAAUUUUAUUUUUCUUUUAUUGUGUAACGUGGACCAAAAAAAAGGAAAUGAAUUUAAUAAAACCUUCAUUCAAAACCUUCAUUCCGCCACCAUGCAUGCAUGUUAAUUGUUUCCAAAUUCCAACCUCCGUACUCUCUUGAGGAGUUUCCCAUUCAUCAAUUAUUAUUUUUUAUAAUCCAUACCAUCCUGAUAUAAUUAAACACCAUUAAUAAUGUACCAGCCUUUAAAUAGUAAUUAAUUUAUUUAGUUGGCCACCUAAAAGAAUCCUGCAGGAAAUAGAGGUUAAAAAUUUUAUUAAAUUUGCUUACCGCUGUAUCAUUAUAUAUAUAAAGAGUGAAAUCUAAAUGAAAUUUUUUAUCAUCCAUUCAGCAAACACUUAUAAUUCACAAAUAGUGAAUCUAUGCAUUGACAAUGUGGAUUAAGAAUUAUAACACAUGAAUUCAAACAUACCCUUGUGAAGUUAAGAAUAAGUUCAUACUUCAAAUGAUUUUUUAGCUAAUAAAGCAAUCAGUUUCAUUAAACGACAGCGUUGAAGGAAUUGUGCAAUUUUUUACGUUCUUUUCUAGACAGACGUUACAGAAAUGGGGUAAGUAGAGGGCUGGCCUCAGAUAUCUCACAAUUGUUAGUGAGAUAAAAUGUUAUUGUAAAAGGCGUUUAAUAGAAUAAUAUUAAUUCUUUUGCAUUGUUAUAAAAAUAUUUUUUUCUUUUGACAGUUCUGCAGGACAAGUGAUCAGAGCUCAAUGAAUAUAGCCGUGGAGGCACAGCAGAGCAGGAUUAUGAAAAAGAGAAGCUUAUUACAGGUCAUUCAAGUUUACUUGCUUUUAUAUAAUAAGUGUUUUGGCCGAUUUAUCUAAUUCACCAAAUGUUUUUUCCGGUACAUAUCUCCAUUGGUAUCAAGAAGAGGCAGAACCCAAAGAAACGUUUCUUGCAUCUUCAUAUUUGUGCGCAUUCAUCCUUUCAUUGAGAAUAACCAUUUCCAGGCAGCAGUUGCCAAUCAAUUCGCACGUCGAUGCUAUUCAUAGAUAUUAAAGACAAUGAUGAACCAAAGGUGAUAAAUCAUAAAUGCAUAAUUACCAAACCUCCAUCCUUCUCUCAUUAUGAUUUGAUUUUAAAUGAAUUAUUGCUUGGUAACAUUAUUUCCAACCAUUGCAAGACCUUUUUUUUUUUUUGGGAGAAAUUUCAAUUGAAAGUGAAACCUUUAGACAUUUACCUAAUGAAGUUAGUUAAUCGGGAGGGUGGAAAAAAAAAAGUUGACGCAAGUCAAUACACAAUAAUGAUUAAUUAAAUCCGGAGUGACUAAAACAGAGCCACUACUUUUUCAAAAAUAUCUGCAUUCAUCACUUUCUCCAGCAGCUAGUCAGCUACACACGAAUCAAUUUCUCUCCUCGUUUGUCAUCCAAAAUUAUUCACCAAUACCAUGGCUGAUGCAAUCGUUUCCACUAUCUUGGAGCAGCUGAUUUCCUUCGCUGCUGAAGAGAUAAAACAACAGGUGAUCGAAGUUACACCCCUCAUAUUACAAAUACUUCCAAUGAUUUUAAUUGGUUUUGUUUUUAUCAAAAACAUUAUAUAUUUUUGCUUUUUUUUAUUUAUCUGAUAAUUUUAUAUUUUGAAAUUUGAAUUGAAUUUAAUUAAAAGGUGAUGUAGUAACCACUCAUUUUUAUUUUAUUUCAUUUAUAUUCUCGAUAACUAACCAUAUUUUGGUAACUUAAUAUAACUCUCGUACAUAAGAAAUGAUCCAAACCCACAAUUUUAACUCUGUAUAAAUAUUCAACGUUGAGUCAUUAAUUCUCAACUCAGCACUGAAUCCCAUAGCUAUUACUUAGACUCUAUGAAAAAUUUCAUAGUUUUCUUACAUUCUUUGAGUUUGGUAAGUGAUUUCGUAUAAUUUCUUUUCAAGUUAAAUUUUAAUUUGGUUUAUGAUAUAGUCUCUGUGCCGAAUUGUAUCUUUUAUGAUUCUUGGAUUUUGGGCUCCAACUUUUUAGGAUUUGAUAGUCACAUUUUAUGCCAUGCUCAGAUUGAUUUUCAUGAUUUUAACUACCCGUUAAGUGGCUUACAAUUUGACAAAAGUUUGAAAGGAAAUAUGUUUCAGGAUUCUGUUUUAAUUGACCUUUAAGUAGAAAUAGGAUGCUUAUAACUUAAUGUGGAUGGUUUGUAAAAUCAUGAAAUUCGGAUAGGAUUCACUAGAAAUAUGUACAAGACUCUCCAUAAAGUUUCAUAAUUUUUCAUUCGGUAUGGGGUGGUACAGGUGAAACUUGUGGUUGGUGUUGAAAAAGAAGUGAAAAGCAAGUUGUGCUCGAUGAUGCAGAGGAAAAGCAAGUGAAGGACAAAGCUGUUAGUCUUUGGCUGGGUAGACUCAAGUACGCAUCCUACGACAUUGAAGAUGUGUUGGAUGAGUGGAUCACAGCAAGACGCAAAUUGCAAAUUGAGGGUGGCGUUGAUGAAAAUGCUCUUGUUGUUCCUCAUAAGAAAAAGAAGGUAUGUCUCUACUUUCCCGGCUCUUGUUUUGGAUUCAAACAAGAAGAAUUUGGUUUCAAACAAGUCUUUCUCCGUCAUGACAUUGCCGACAAGAUCAAAGAAAUCAAUGAAGAGCUACAUGAUAUUGCCGCUCAAAAAGACAUGUUUGAUCUUGUUAAGAGUGGCAAUAAAAGUAGUGAAAGACCAAGGCGUGUACAGAGUACCUCCUUGAUUGAUGAAGAAGAGAUUUGUGGCAGAGUUGGUGAGAGGAAUGAACUCUUAAGCAAGCUGUUGUGUGAGAGUAGCGAGCAACAAAAAGGCCUUCAUAUCAUCUCAAUCGUUGGUAUGGGAGGCAUAGGGAAAACAACUCUUGCACAACUAGCUUGUAAUCAUGACGAGGUGAAGAGAAAGUUCGACAAAAUUCUGUGGGUGUGUGUAUCAGAAACUUUUGAGGAGUUUAGGGUUGCCAAAGCGAUCGUUGAAGUUUUGGAUGGUCGUGAAUCUCAUUUAGCUGAAUUCCAUUCUCUUCUUAUAAGUAUUGAUAAAUCUAUUGCGGGAAAGAGAUUUCUUCUUGUCUUAGAUGACGUAUGGGACGGAGAUUACAUUAAGUGGGAACCGUUCUACCGUUCCCUAAAGAAUGGUCUCCAAGGAAGUAAAAUUUUGGUUACUACACGUAAGGAGUCAAUUGCGUUUAUGAUGGGAUCCAUUGAUAUUAUCUCUAUCAAGGGAUUGGCCGAAGAAGAAUGUUGGUCGUUGUUUAAGCGGUUAGCAUUUUUCGGUCGAUCCAUUGAGGAAUGUGGAAGAUUGGAACAAAUUGGACAAAGAAUUGCAGGAAAGUGUAAAGGCUUACCUCUUGCAGCAAAGGUAAUAGGGAGUCUCAUGCGUUCUAAAAAAACUGAAGAAGAGUGGCAAAGAAUCUUAAAUAGUGAGCUAUGGAAAAUAGAAGAGAUCGAGAAAGGUGUUCUAACUCCUUUGUGGUUGAGUUAUAACGAUUUGUCAUCUCGAGUAAAAAGAUGUUUUUUAUAUUGUGCUGUCUUUCCAAAAGACUACAAUAUAAAAAAAGACAAACUAAUUACAUUAUGGAUGGCUCAAGGUUAUCUUAAUGCAGAACAAAAUGAAGAGAUGAAGACAAUAGGUGAAGAGUAUUUUGGCAUCUUAGCUUCUCGCUCUUUCUUUCAGGAGUUUACGAAAAGUUAUGAUAAUCGUAUUAUAUGGUGCAAGAUGCAUGAUAUGGUGCAUGAUUUUGCCCGAUUUGUAAGUCAAAAUGAAUGUUUUUCGAUGGAAAUUAACGGCAGUGAGGAACCAAACGCCACAAACUCUCCUCAUGGGAAGCUUCGUCAUUUAAUGUUAAUCAUUGGUGAAGGGGCUUCAUUUCCUGUCUCCACUUGUAGAGUCAAAAGAAUGCGAAGCCUCUUAAUUGAUAGUAGCAGAUUUGAUUAUCAGUCGUUAAAUGGUGAGAUCCUAGAAGAAUUAUUGAGGGAAUUGACAAGUUUAAGGGCAUUCGAUUUUUGCAGAUCGGACCACACACGAUUGGGUUUCACUCUAGAGAUUCCAAGAAAUAUAAAAAAGCUGAUACAUUUAAGAUACCUUAAUUUGUCUGGUCAGAAAAUAGAGAAGCUACCGGAGGCAUUGUGCGAGCUAUAUAAUCUAGAGAAGUUAGAUAUUUGUGGUUGUUGGUGUCUUAAAGAAUUACCUGAAGGGAUUGGGAAGUUAAUAAACAUGAAGCAUUUACUAAAUAGAAAUACCGAUUCUGUAAGGUACAUGCCAGUAGGGAUUGCGAGAUUAAAGAGUCUUCAGACAUUGGAAGAGGUCAGUGUGAGUGGAAGAGGAUGUCUUGAUGGUAGGAAAGCAUGUAGGCUCGAAUCUCUUAAAAACUUGGAACACCUUCAAAUAUGCGGUAUACGUGGACUGGGUGAUGUAUCAGACGUGGGCGAGGCUAAGCGAUUAGAACUUGACAAAAAUAAAUACCUCUUCAGUUUGACCCUUUGGUUUGAUAAGAAGGAGGAAGAAGGAGAAAGGAGGAAGAACGAGGACGAUCAACUUCUUCUUGAAGCCCUGCAACCACCUCUGGAUUUAAAGAAAUUAACGAUAUGGUCAUACAGAGGCAACACUGUUUUCCCCAGCUGGAUGAUGUCAUUAACCAAUUUAAGGAGUUUAGGUCUCUGUUACUGCAAAAAUUGUGAGCAGCUGCCUCCUUUGGGAAAAUUGCCAUCCCUUGAAACGCUCCACAUAUUGGGCAUGAAUAGUGUGAAAAGAGCGGGUAAUGAAUUUUGGGGUAUAGAAAGUAAUCACCAUGACUCAUCUUCAUCUUCAUUUUCAUCAGUUAUUAUUGCCUACCCCAAAUUAAUAUCACUUUCAAUUCAUUGUCUGACGGAAUUGGAGGAGUGGGAUUAUGGGAUUACUAGAACGGGAAACACGUUCAUCAACAUCAUGCCACGUCUUUCUUCCUUGCGAAUUACUAUGUGCCCCAAACUAAAGGCACUGCCCGACCACAUUCAUCAAACGACAACACUGAAGGACUUGACCGUUGGGUGGAACUCUGAUCUUCUGCAAGAACGUUACAGCGAGGGUAUAGGAGAAGACUGGCCUAAGAUAUCUCACAUUCCCAACGUCAGGAUUUGGCAAGACGUAAUUUCUUCUCCUACUCUGAUUUGCUUUGUUGUUGUUUUUAAUCUAAUUAAGACGCAUAAAUAGCAUUUUGAUUUUGAGUUGACAAUUUUCUGGACCAGUGAUCAAGGGUGAGAAUGGCGCUAGGAUAUUGAAUAAGGCACUGAACUUAGGCUGAUGUCAAAAGAGGUAAAUUAUUGACAUGUGUAGCUAAUUUGACCGUUUCCUGAUUCAUAAGUCUACAUUAAUUUUGAUUUUGAGUUGAGUGAUUACAUUUUAAGGUUUGCUUACUUAACAGGGCCAGGACAUGAAAUGAGAAGCUUAUUAGUGGCAGUUGGCAGUGAAUGGAGGACCUUGACUAAAUUCUCAAGCGGUUGCACUGCAGUUACGCUCAUCCUAAGCCUCCUGUAAUUUCUUCUCCUGCAUUUUUGUAAUUUGCUAUCUAAUUAAGGAGCGUAAACUAUUUUGAAUCGACUUCUAUAUCAGGAAUAUAUGCAACAUUUUCUAAAAGUUUGAUAUGAGUGUAAUGAUGGUAAUUUCUCUUUUUUGUCUGUCAUCGAAAUGUAAGAUAACAUUCAUUAAGACUCUUGAGAGUCGUUUUUGGCAAUUGCAGGACAAGUGAUGAAGAGUGAGAAUGGUGCUAGAUUGGGGAUUAAAGCAAAAGGAGGUAAAUUAUUGGCAGAGAAUUGUGAGAGCUUGAGUGUACUGGGAUUUGCAAUUACAAUCAUCCUCUGCUUCAGGUGAUUUCUUCUCCUGCUCUGUCGUUGUUUGUAUCUCAAUCAAAUUCUAUAACUGGAAUAUGCAAAAGUUUCGAAUUUUUUAUUUCUAUCUGCUUGCAUUGAUAACAUCACGGCAUAUGCACUAGUUAAAGAACAAACAGAAACAGAGCUCCGGAAAAAGUUUCUUCUGCCAUCACAUUUGAAAAUUCAUGUAAAAUGUAGACAGUAAUCAGCAAAAAGGUGAUUCACAAUUUCAUUUUUUUUAUGAAAUUGAUUGUUAGGUUGGAGUUGCUAAAAGGCCAUUGGGCUAACCUAUGUCGUUACUUACCUAGAUCAAGACUCAAAACAAGCAUUGAAUUUUAAAAGGCAUGCAAUAAUUUUUGUGGCCAUAUGUCAAGUCAGGUAAGUUUGAAUAUAAUUAUUGUUGAAGGGGUUUUAUUUUCGGUGUCCAAAUAGAGAUACUGAUUCUUUAAGGUAAUGCCAGUAGGAAUUGCAAGAUUAACAAGUCUUCGGACAUUGCGAGAGUUCCAUUGAGUGGUGGAUGAGGUGUUGAUGGUAGCAAAGCAUGUGGUAUGCGUAGACUGGAAAACAUGUAAGAUGUGGGCGAGGCUAAGAGAUUAGAGAUUGACCAAAUGAAAUACCUCUUUAGUUUGAGGCUUAAAUUUGAUGGUGAAGAAGAAGGAAGGAGGAAGAAUGAGGAUGAUCAACAUCAGCUUGUUCUUGAAACCUUGCAACCACCUCUGACUUUGAAGGAAUUAGAGAUAUGGUCAUACAGAGGCAACACUGUUUCUGCAAGUAGUCCUCUCUUUUCUUUUUAUUAUAUUUUAUUUAGUUAUUAUUUAUUAUUUAUUUUUUGGUUUACUCUGCUUCUUCUUUUUACGUUUCUCAAAUUUUGAAUUUCAUUACUUUUGAACAUACGACAGUCUGUUAUGUGGCGACCCUGGUUUUUAAUUAAGGUUGUAAAAUAUUAUUGUAAAAGAUGAUUUAUUCAAUUUGAGUAAUUCGUUUGCUUUGAUAAUGAUAGCAAUUUUUUAUUUUGACAAUUUGCAAGGUGAGAAUGGUGCUGAUUGGUGAUUCAGGAUAUGGUUCAAACACCAUUGAAUAAAGCUAUGGACAUGGUGGCUCAACUUAGCUAGAUUGGUAUCAAAAUUGGUAAGUUGGCUUGUCAAUGUACCGAUGCUUUUGUUUUCUCUCAACCCUAAUUACCUUAACUUCAUUUAGUUUGGCUUUGGAGUUGAGUAAUAACUUAUUGUUCAAAUGUUAUUUCCUUAUUGUUCUAAUUCAUCAAAUGUUAUUUCCUUAUUGUUCCAUUGAUAUAUUUGUUGCAUAUCAAGCAGAAACAGAACCCAAAGAAAAUGAAACCAUUUCCAGGCAGCAGUUGGCAGUGAAUUCAUGCAAAUGUUGAUGCCAUUCAUAGAUGUUGAAGACAAUGUUGAGCCAAAGGCGAUAAAUCAUUAAUGCAUAAUUCCCAAAACCUCCAUCCUUCUCUCAUUGUAAUUUGAUUUGAAAUGAAUAAUUGCUAGGUAAUUGAAGCCAAUGUUGUUAAAGACCGUGUUGAGCUACCCAAGCUAAGAAGUUACUUGCCAAAAAAUGCAGGGGAUCAAAAGAAGCAUUGCAUUUGAAAAGGCAUGAGAUUCUGGUGGCUACAUGUCAACUCAUAUAUGUUUGAAUAAGUUUGAUCGUUCAAGAUUGUUAGCUUCUGUUUAAAUUUGUGCUACUGCGGUGCUACAAUGCUGCUACUGGGAAAUUUGAAUCCCAUAUUAGACUUUCCUCACAUCAGAAGCUGUGGAUCUUCGGACAUCAGGUUUUUUCACAGUUCUGAAACACUCAGGAUUAAACUCUAUUAAAGUGUUGUAGUUAUCUUGUUGUCAGAAUUCCCAUAUUAUUAUCUUUUUCAUGUAAAAUUAUCUUGUUGUCUUCGCCCAUGAAUCUAAGCUAAAAUUUGAACCAAUUGUUUGCCAUUAUAAAUUUCAUUGUUAAAUGUUAAUUAUGAUGUUGGCGUUGAGUUUCUUUUAAAGUCAUAGAAGCCUGACGAUUGAGUUCCAUGGGAUUCUGAGAAGCAGUAAUAUUUGAACAAGUGAAGGUUCUUCUCUUUUAAUUAUGUUCUGCACUUUUACAGUUUGGCUUUGGAGUUGAGUAAUAACCUUUCGAGGUCGCGGCUAUAAAAAGGCGAUGCUCAAUUUGCCACAGAUUACAUGUAUUGCCAUCAUUGACAAUUUUCUGGAUAAGUGAUGAAGGGUGAGAGUGGUGCUAGACUUCAGCCCUCCAGAAUAUUGAAUAAAGCUGUCAAAAGAGGUAAAUUAUUGGCAUGCCUGUUAGUGAAUUGGAUAAAGCUGGAGCAGAGCAUGAUGUUGCUGUAUAGCUGGAGCAGAGCAUGUUGUUGCUGUGUAGCUGGUUGUAGCAGAUCAACUCACUGAGCUGACCUGUCAAAGCUGGAGCAGAGCAGAGCAGAGCGGAUAAAGCUGGAGCAGAGCAGAGCGGAUAAAGCUGGAGCAGAGCAGAGCAUGAUGUUGCUGUAUAGCUGGAGCAGAGCAUGCUGUUGCUGUGUAGCUGGAGCAGAGCAUGCUGUUGCUGUGUAGCUGGUUGUAGCAGAUCAACUCACUGAGCUGACCUGUCAAAGUUAGUUAGCUGGUUGAGCUGAUGUGUAAAGUUAGUUAUGCAGCAAAUGGUUAUGUGAUGUAACAAACUCGUGUGUGUAGUGAAGAUUGUAGCUUAGUAUAAAUGUCAAUCAGUAUUCAUUAAGUUGAAAUAUCUGAGGAUAAUAAAAAGGUUCUUUAGAGUUCUCUUUCAUUUUCUUUUACUUUCUUGCUUGCCAAACAAUAUAGAACUAAGUUUCUUUCAUGGUAUCAGAGCCAUAAAUGGCAAAUACAGUUCAAAACAACAACUCUUUUAGUUUUGUUACGCCUGUAAAGCUAGAUCAAAACAACUAUAUUUUGUGGCGCACACAAAUUCUAGCUUCGAUCAAAGGAAAUGGUUUGGAAGGUUUUAUCAAUGGUGAUCGAGAAUGUCCUGAGCAGUUUCUUUCUUCUGGCAACAACAAUGGAGCUGAAAUCUUAACUGAAUCUGGAUCCAGAUCUGUUACUGAAUCUGGAUCCAGAUCUGUUACUGAAUCUGGAUCCAGAUCUGUUAAUCCAGAGUUCGUAGCUUGGAUGAAGGCUGAUCAACUUCUGCUGAGUUGGAUGAUGUCAUCGAUACAACAAAAUCUGCUUGCUACUAUGAUUGACUCAACAACCUCAAAACAGCUUUGGGAGACUCUUGCUAGUAUGUUUAUCUCUCAAUCACAGGCUAGAAUUCAAACACUUAGAAUGCAGAUUCAAACUAUUAAGAAAGGUGCAAUGCAUAUGUCUGAUUACUUUGUAAAAGUAAAACGUAUAGCUGAUACUUUAGCUCUAGCUGGAAAACCUGUUGAGUUAAAUGAUCUUGUGAUGCAUGUAUUAACUGGUCUUGAUUCAUCAGAUUAUGAAUCUUUAGUCACUGCUGUGUUAGCUCGAGGUGAAAAGAUAACAUUAGAUGAACUAUAUUCUUUGCUGUUAAAUCAUGAAAAUAGAGUUGAGCAAAAGAAAGGAAAAAUUGCUGGUGAUGUGAUGCAUAACAUGACAGCAAAUAUUGUUCAGAAGAACUCAUAUGCUAGAAAGAAUAAUGGAAAUUUUCAGAAACAGUAUGGAAAUAACUCUGGAGGUGGUAAUAAUUCUGGAUAUGGAUAUGGUCAGUUUAAUAAUAAUAGUAAUUUCUCUGAAGUUGUUUGCCAAAUUUGCUUCAUACCUGGUCAUGCAGCCUAUAAAUGCAGAAAUAGGUACAACUCAUCUUUUGUUCCACAUAGGAACCAUGGUAGAGGUAAUAUGAAUGGUGGCGGAGGUUUUAAUCAAGGGCAAUAUGGUCGAGGAAGAGCCUUUAAUGGUAAUAGUGGAAGAGGUUUUGGAGGUUUUGGUUCAAAUGCUGGUUUUGGACAAAAUGUUGGUUUUGGUAAUGCCCCCAGGGGUUUUGGCUAUCAAGGAAAUAUAGUAUAUCCAGAGAGCAACCCAUCUGCUUAUUUCUCAUUCAACCCUGGAUCAUCUAAUUUUGUUUCUGGUCUAGGACAUAAUAAUCUGGAACAGUCAAGUGCUUCCUCCUCCUCUGCUAUGUCUUCUUCACUUCCACCUGAACACAUUGAAGAUCCUUCCUGGUAUAUUGAUAGUGGAGCAACAAAUCAUAUUACCAACGAUCUAGGUAAGCUUCUGGAUUCAAAAGUUUACACUGGUACUGAAAGGUUAUUUGUUGGAGAUGGAAAUGCAUUAGCUAUUACACAUGUAGGGUCAGUUGUGCUAAAUACUUCAGCUUCUCAAUCCUUAUUUCUUAACCAUGUUCUUCAUGUCCCUUUUAUUACUAAGAAUUUGCUUAGCAUCUCAAAAUUGUUGGCUGACAAUCCAGUUACUGUUGAAUUUCUUGGUGAUUUGUGUUUUAUAAAGGCCAAGAACACAGGGAAAAUUUUACUUGAAGGUGUUGCUAAAGGUGGGCUUGUAUAGAGUCUCUUCUCAUGCUGCUGUUCAUUCAGUCUUUCUCAGUUCAGUUGGUCAAAACAAAAUUCAGUCUCUUUUUGCUUGUUCUCCUGUUUUUAAUUCUGCUCAGCUCUCUACUGUUAGCUCUUAUGAGUUGAAUAAAACGUCAUGUCUGUCAGUUGUUGCAAAGGGUUCUAUUGAUGUAAAUCUUCUUCAUAGAAGAUUAGGACACCCAGCAUCUUAUACUCUCAAAACCAUUCUCAAAGCUUGUAACAACUCUACUGCUUUUAAUAAAGUUGACAGUUUGAAAUUUUGUUCAGCAUGCCAAUAUGGUAAAAAUCACAUGCUGCAUUUUGAUUCAGUAGAAACAAAAACUUCAGCACCUUUACAACUGAUAUAUGCAGAUCUUUGGGACCCUUCUCAUGUUUGUUCUACCCAAGGAUAUAAUUACUACUUGUCAAUCCUAGAUGAUUACAGUAGGUUUACCUGGAUUUUUCCCUUAUCAGCAAAAUCUGAUGCUCUUGAAGUUUUUACCAAUUUCAAAAUAUUCAUUGAGAAGCAUCUUCAACUUUCCAUCAAAACUGUACAAACUGACUGGGGAGGGGAGUUCAGAACAUUUUCAUCGUUACUCACUACUUCUGGCAUCCAUUUUCGACAUCCUUGCCCCCACAUUCAUCAUCAAAAUGGAAAAAUUGAGAGGAAACAUAGACACAUAGUUGAUGUAGGACUGACUUUAUUAGCUCAAGCACAUUUACCACUCAAAUUUUGGUGGAAUACAUUCCAUACAGCUGUCUACUUGAUAAACAGACUUCCAACUCCAGUUCUAAACAGCAUUUCUCCUUUUCAAAAGUUGUUUAAUUCCCAACCAGAUUAUUCAACACUUAAAAUUUUCGGCUGUGCUUGUUAUCCAACACUCAGACCAUACAAUAGACAUAAGUUUGAUUUCAGAACAGCUAGAUGUAUAUUCAUUGGCUACAGUUCACGACACAAGGGAUAUCAGUGUCUUCACUCUUCUGGGAGGGUCUAUAUUUCAAAUCAUGUAACCUUUGAUGAAAGUUCUUUUCCUUAUGAGUCAGGAACAGAUUUUUCUUCAGUUUCUUCAAACUGUCAGUCAUCAACUCAUUCUGAGUCUUCUUUUAAUUCUUCUACUCCUUUUGUUACUCAGUUACAAGCACCUUUAGCAGCAUCAUCAGAAUAUCAUCUUAAUGAUUCUCAGUCACAUGCUUCUAUUUCCUUCCCAAAUUCUACUCCAGUUUACUUUUCUGAUAAUUUCAAUUCCACUUCUUCUUCUCCUUCUUCACCAUCCCAUCAUUCACCUCCACAUACCUUGUCACAACCUGCAUCAUCUGGUCAUCCAAUGAUAACCAGGUCAAAAGCAGGUAUCUUCAAGCCCAAGAUCUACUUGUCAGCUUUACUAGCUCAGAAAUCAGAACCAACCUCUGUUUCCAAAGCACUUUCUGAUCCUAUGUGGUAUAAAGCUAUGCAAGAAGAGUAUCUAGCUCUUAAAACCAAUCACACCUGGGAUUUAGUCUUACCUGCUACUCCAGUGAAGAUAGUUGGCAACAAGUGGGUAUUUCGAGUAAAGUAUAACUCAGAUGGUUCAGUUUCAAGGUAUAAAGCCAGGCUUGUGGCUAAAGGGUUUCAUCAGACACAUGGGAUUGACUACACAGAAACCUUCAGUCCAGUGGUUAAGUCCUCCACUGUUAGAGUUAUUCUUAGCUUAGCAGUAUUGAGUCACUGGGUUGUAAGGCAGGUGGAUGUUAACAAUGCCUUUCUAAAUGGCAUUUUAAUUGAAGAUGUGUACAUGGCUCAACCUCAAGGUUUUGUUGAUUCAACUAAACCUAAUCAUAUCUGCAAGCUAAAUAAGGCUUUGUAUGGCUUAAAACAGGCUCCUAGAGCCUGGUUUGAUAGGUUUAAGGAUGCAAUGAUCUCCAAGUGGCAUUUUUAGCAUUCCAGGUCUGAUAACUCUCUCUUUUAUGCCUGGAACAGUGGUCAUCUAACUGUUGUUUUGGUCUAUGUUGAUGAUAUUAUCAUCACUGGUUCCAGUCCAUCCAUAAUUCAACAAGUUAUCCAGAAUAUGCAUCAAGCUUUUGCUUUAAAAGACCUGGGGGAACUUCACUAUUUUCUGGGGAUUGAAGUCAGCAAAUCUUCACAAGGGGUUUCCUUGACACAAGCAAAGUACAUUGCUGAUAUUCUGGAUAAACAUGGCAUGACAGACUGCAGUCCUGUGCCAACUCCAAUGUCUACAGGCUUUUAUCUCACCAAAGACUCAGGAGAGCCACUUGAUAAUGUUUCUCAAUAUCGAAGUGUUAUAGGAGCUCUUCAAUAUGUUACUCUUACCAGACCUGACAUUGCCUUCUCUGUAAACAAGUUAAGUCAGUUCCUUUCCAGUCCUAGAACUCAACAUUGGGAAGCAUGUAAAAGGUUAUUGAGGUACUUAAAAGGCAUUAUCCAUCUGGGGCUGCAUUUCUACAAUCAAGGAGCUCUGCAAUUACAUUGUUUUUCAGAUUCUGAUUGGGCUUGUGAUCAUGAUGAUAGGAAGUCAGUGGCUGGCUUUGCUGUUUAUCUAGGUCCUAAUCUUGUUUCCUGGUCGUCAAAGAAACAAGCUGUUGUUUCCAGAUCCAGCACAGAAGCUGAGUAUAGAUCUCUUGCUCAUGCUGCUUCAGAAGUUACCUGGAUUAAAUCCUUACUUGGUGAACUUAGUAUCACAUUAAGCUCCACUCCUAUGAUGUGGUGUGAUAAUCAAGGAGCAAUUGCUUUAGCUUAUAAUCCAGUUUAUCAUGCUAAGACUAAGCAUGUUGAAUUGGAUAUACAUUUUAUCCGAGAUAAGGUCACUGCUAAAGAGGUUGCAGUAUGCUAUGUGCCUAGUCCAGAUCAAACAGCAGAUGUGUUGACUAAGGCUCUUACUUUCAAACAAUUCAGUUACUUCAGAAGCAAGCUGAAUGUUCAUCCUAAACAUUUCAGCUUGAGGGGGGAUGUUAGUGAAUUGGAUAAAGCUGGAGCAGAGCAUGAUGUUGCUGUAUAGCUGGAGCAGAGCAUGUUGUUGCUGUGUAGCUGGUUGUAGCCAAAGCUGGAGCAGAGCAGAGCAGAGCGGAUAAAGCUGGAGCAGAGCAGAGCGGAUAAAGCUGGAGCAGAGCAGAGCAUGAUGUUGCUGUAUAGCUGGAGCAGAGCAUGCUGUUGCUGUGUAGCUGGUUGUAGCAGAUCAACUCACUGAGCUGACCUGUCAAAGUUAGUUAGCUGGUUGAGCUGAUGUGUAAAGUUAGUUAUGCAGCAAAUGGUUAUGUGAUGUAACAAACUCGUGUGUGUAGUGAAGAUUGUAGCUUAGUAUAAAUGUCAAUCAGUAUUCAUUAAGUUGAAAUAUCUGAGGAUAAUAAAAAGGUUCUUUAGAGUUCUCUUUCAUUUUCUUUUACUUUCUUGCUUGCCAAACAAUAUAGAACUAAGUUUCUUUCAAUGCCUAGCUAAUUUGACCACUACCUGAUUCAUAAGCCUACAUCAAUUUUGAUUUUGAGUUAAGUGAUUAAUUUUCAAGGUUUGCUUACUUAACCGGCGACUAAUUUCUUGUAACUAAAUGUAUCAUAUGAUGCAGGAAGCAGGGCAAGAUAUGAAAUGAGAAGCUUAUUAGUGGAAGGAUUGCCAGAAACAGAACCCAAAGAAAAUGAAAACAUUUCAAGGCAGCAGUUGGCAGCUGGCAAUGAAUGGAGGCCCUUGAAAAAAUUCCCAAGCCGUUGCACUGCAAUUACGAUCAUCCUCGGCCUCAGGUAAUUUCUUCUCCUGCAUUUUUGUUAUUUGCUAUCAAGUGACAUUCGUAAGUAUGAUUGCAUUAAGCUGCUGCUGGGAAAUUUGAGGUUUUGAUGGCUGCCCAUGCUAUUGUCAGAAGCUGCAGUUCUUUUCAUCAGCCUGAACCUGGACCUGUCGCCAUGGAUAACUCAGGUUUUUUUUUUUUUUAAUCAACUACGGCAUCUUUUCCACUGUUUUGAAACUCUUAAGAUUAAACUUUAGUAAUGUUGUUUUAGUUAUCCAUGUAAUCAGGCUGAGGAUACUUAGCAGCCUAUUUAGGCAAAUGUCAGAAUUUAGUUUGUUCGCUGGGAAUUGGUGUGGACUGGCAAAGGAUGAUGAGAUAGUUUUUUGAGUGAGUAAAUUUUGGGAGCUUGAGUGUAUUGGGAUUUGCAAUUACAAUCAUCGUCUGCCUCAGGUGAUUUCUUCUCCUGCUCUGUCAUUGUUUGUUCUCUAAUUCAAAAGCAUAAAAUAUUUCAAUCAAAUUGUAUGCCAGGAAUAUGCAAAAGUUUCUAAUAUUUUAUUUCCAUCUGUUUGCCUUGAUAACUUUGCUGCAUAUGUACUAGUUAAAGAACAAAUCGAAACAGAGCUCAGUUAAAAGUUUCUUCUGCCGUCAUAUUUGAAAAAUGAAACCAUUUCCAGGAAGCAAUGGGCAGCAAAUUCAUAUAAAGCAUAGACAAUGAUGAGCAAAAAGGUGAUUCACAAUUUCACUUUUUUUAAUGAAAUUAAUUGUUUGGUUGGAGCGGAUAUUGUUAGAAGGCCAUUGAGCUAACCUAUGUCACUACUUGCCUAGAUUACAGGGGGUCAAAUAAGGCAUCCAAUAAUUCUUGUGGCCAUAUAUCAAUUCAUGUAAGUUCGAAUGUAAUUAUUGGUGAAGGGGUUUCACUUCCCGUCUCUAAAUAAAAAUACUGAUUCUUUAAGGUACAUGCCACUAGGGAUUGCGAGAUUAACGAGUCUUUGGACAUUGGAAGAGCUCCUUGUAGUGGAGGAGGAGGUGUUGAUGGUAGCAAAGCAUGUGGGCAGUGGGCUUGAAUCUCUUAAAAACUUGGAACUCCUCCAAGCGUAAGUAUACGUAUACUGGGAAAUGUGUUAGAUGUGGAUGAGGCUAAGAGAUUAGAGCUUGACAAAAUGAAAUAACUCUUUCAUUGAGACUUAAAUUUGAUGGGGAAGAAGAAAAAGAAGAGGGAAGGAGGAAGAAUGAGGAUAAUCAACUUGUUCUUGAAGCCUUGCAACCACCUCUGAAUUUGAAGGAAUUAGAGAUUUGGUCAUACGGAGGCAACAUUGUUUCCCCCCGGAUGAUGCAAAAAUUGAAGGAAUUUACCAAUCUAAGGAGUUUGACACUCUUUAAAACUGCAAAAAUUGAGAAAAGUUGCCUCCUUUGGGAAAAUUGUGAUCCUUUGAAAAUCUCAGCAUAUUGUACAUGGAGAGUGUGAAAACAGUGGGUAAUGAAUUUCUGGGAAUAGAAAGUGAUCUUCAUGACUCAUCUUCAUCUUCAUCAGUGAUUAUUGCCUUCCCCAAAUUGAAAUCACUUUCAGUUGAGGGAUUGAUGGAAUUGGAGGAGUGGGAUUAUGGGAUUAAAAGAACAGGAAACACCUCCACCAACAUUAUGCCACGUCUUUCUUCCUUGGAAAUUAGUGUGGGGUUAUGGGAUCGCACAACGACGUUGAAGGUAUUGCAGAUUGUGGCAUGUGGUACUCUAAGAAGACGUUACAGACAGGGGAGAGCAGAAGACUGGCCUAAGAUCUCUCACAUUCCAGACAUCAUGAUUGUGUGAAAAGAUGCCCGUGACAAAAUUCUCUAGGCGGCUACAUGGAGUACAAUCAUAAAAUGCUAAUGUGGCCACCCUGGUUCUUAAUUAAGGUUGUGAAAUAUUAUUGUAAAAGAUGAUUAAUUCAAUUUGAGUUAUUCGUUUGCUUUGAUAAUGAUAGUAAUUUUAUAUUUUGACAAUUUGCAGGGUGAGAAUGGUGCUGAUUGGUGAUACAGGAUAUGGUUCAAACACCAUUGAAUAAAGCUACGGACAUGGUGGCUCAACUUAGCUAGAUUGCUGUCAAAAUUGGUAAGUUGGCUUGUCAAUGUAUUGAUGCUUUUGUUUUCUCUCAACCCUAAUUACCUUAACUUCAUUUAGUUUGGCUUUGGAGUUGAGUAAAUUCUGGCCUCUUCCGAAAAAAAAAGCUUAAUUUGCUACUGAUCACGUGUUACCAAUUAUUUAAGGUAAUUCUCGCUUACUUGCUUCUGCACUAUAGAGUACGUGUUCUGGCUGGUUUAUCUAAUUCAUCAAAUGUUAUUUCCUUAUUGUUCCAUUGAUAUAUUUGUUAGAAAGUGAAACCAUUUCCAGGCAGCAGUUGGCAGUGAAUUCAUGCAAAUGUUGGUGCCAUUCAUAGAUAUUGAAGACAAUGAUGAGCCAAAGGUGAUAAAUCAUUAAUGCAUAGUUACCAAAACCUCCAUCCUUCUCUCAUUGUAAUUUGAUUUUAAAUGAAUAAUUGCUAGGUAAUUGAAGCCAAUAUUGUUAGAAACGGUGUUGAGCUACCCAAGCUAAGAAGUUAGCUGCCAAAAAAUGCAGGGGAUUAAAAGAAGCAUUGCAUUUGAAAAGGAAUGAGAUUCUGGUUGCUACAUGUCAAUUCGUAGAAGUUUCAAUAAAUUUAAUGGUUCAAGAUUGUUAGUUUCUGUUUAAAUUUGUGCUACUGCAGUGCUACAACGCUGCUACUGGGAAAUUUGAAUCCCAUAUUAGACUUUCCUCACAUCAGAAGCUGUGGAUCUUGAGACAUCAGGUUUUUUCACAGUUCUGAAACUCUCAGGAUUAAACUCUAUUAAAGUUGUUGUAGUUGUCUACGUUCUCAGGUCAAGGAUUCUAAGCUGCCGAUUAAGCAUUGCGCAUUUUCAUUUGUCCGAUUCAAGAGGAACGUCACAGAAAGGGGUAAAGAAAAGAGUAGCCUAAGAUAUUAAAGACAAUGUUGAGCCAAAGGAAACAUAAAUCCCAACCAUUGCAUGUGAACAUGAUCACAAUAAGGUCAAGAACCUACCAAACCAUUUUUUUGAGAAUUUUCAAUUGAAAGUGAAACCUUUUGAUAUUUACCUAAUAAAGUUAGUUAAACGAGAGAAAUAAAGGGGGAAAGAAAAGUUGACUCUAAGUCAAUACAGAAUAAUUAGUUCAAUACAGAAUAAUUGCUGUAAAAUAUUAAAUAGUUUUAUUUUUCUUUUAUCGUUUAACUUGGACCAAAAAAGGAAAUGAGUUUAACACGACCCUCAUUCUGCUUCUUGCUUUGGUUUCAAACAAGUCUUUCUCCUUUAUGACAUUUAUUGUAAUUUCAUUUGGAGACAUAUGUCUGUCGUUCAAAUAUAUUUCAUACGCAAGCUGUUAAUAAUUCUGCUUGCAGAAAGCCUACAAAGCAGCUGUGUGAUGUAAUAGAAGACCAUAGAUAGUCUCGUCAAUUUUUCAACAUUAGAUAUUCAGGUCAUCAGCUUCUCAUGAAUUCUUUCCUGAGUUUCUUUGAAUUAUUUGUGAUGUAAUAACUUGUGCAUUUGAGAAACUGUUCUCUUGAAUUCUUUCUUGAGUUUCUUUGAAUUAUUUGUGAAUAAGUUGUUAAUCGGCUGCUUCUCUUCAGGAUAAGGAAAGUGUUGCAAACUGGUGAAGCAGCUGAUAGAUAAAAGCAAUGGGUACAUCUUUGCUGGCAUGGAUCGAUGCCAGUGCGGCUGAAUUCAGCAAGACUGCCGUUCGUGAUGUUGUUGAUUGGGAUUACAUUAAGGAUGAUGACAACAUUGAUUAAAAUGGGACGUGAAGAUAUAUGGUGUGCAAAUUAACCCAACCCAACCAAACCCGUACAUUUUAUCAACCCAACCCAACCUGUAAAAAAUCACACGGGUUAGGUUAGUUUCACGGAUUGGGAGGUUGGUGCCCACCCCUAAAUAUAACCUCCAUUUCAGCACAAUGCAUGUUAAUUGUUCCCCAAGGACUUCUCCUGAUUCCCAUUCCCAACCUCCAUGCUCUUGAGAGGAAUUUAGCACCCAUCAAUUUUUAUUUUUGAAAACUCGUAAUGGUCUGAUAAAAUUAAACAACAUCAAUAAUGUUACCAGUCUUUAAAUAGUAAUUAAUUUAUUUAAUUUGCCACCUAAAAGAAUCCUGCUGGAAAUAGAGGUUAAAAAUUUUAUUAGAUCUGCUUACCUUUGUUCAUUCAGCAAAAACACUUACAAUUCACAGCUAGAGAAUCUAUCCAUUGACAAUUGUGGAUUAAAAUUAUAACACCUGAAUUCCAACAUAUCCUUAUGAAGUUAUGAAUUUGUUCAUACUUCAAAUGAUUUUUUUUUCCCAAGCUAAUAAAGCUACCACUUUGAUCAAACGACGACGUUGAAGGAAUUGCGUAUUUUCAAUGUCCUUUUCCAGACAGACGUUCGAGAGAGAGAAAGGAGAAGACUGGCCUAAUUAAGAUAUCUCACAAAGAUUAUUAUUGAGUUAAAAUGUUAUUGUAAAAGAUGUAUAAUACAAUAAUAGUAAUUCUUUUGCAUUGUUAUAAUGAGGCUGGUGGGUUUCCUCAGAGGAUGGAUCUUGCUCGCUAGUAUGCAUUUGGGAAGCUGCUAAUUAUUGGCCAUAAAAAGUCAGGGGGUUGUGGCUCUUCCGUCGCCCAGAAAUUCCUCAACUCAUAUCUCAAACUUCAGAUGAACUUGGGCAUUAUGUAAAUAUGUAUUUUGAGAAUUAAACUAGUGCCUUAGAAAAAAUUUGAGCCAUUGUAAUCAUUUUAUUUUGCUAAGGGAAAAUUUUACUUUGUGUUUCGCUUUGACUUUUUUUUUUUUGCCUUGUGAUAAUAAGAUUCAUACGAAAGUGAUUACACGCCUAUCAUGCAUCUAUUUUCAUUUGCUUGUCAUGAGAGAUCAACAUGCUCGAAAUAAUUACUUAGGUUGGAAAUAUUUGAAUCCACUAAAAUACUAUACAAACCCAUUUUAAAAUUAAAAAAAUGAUUAUCAUAAUACUUGUGAAGAUAACACGAUAUCAUACAUAAAAUAAAAUAUUUCGCAAAAAAGAUACGAUACAAAUCUUGAGUAAACAGGUACAAAAAAUAUUUUUUUUUGGUUAAACCACGAGGUACAAAAAAUAUUUUAGUGGGUUAAGUAGCACUAAUGCCCCCUUAUCAAAAAAUAUAGAAAAAUAACUAGUUUGAUUGGGUAUACCGUUUAUAUAUAUGUACAUAUUCUUGAUAAUGUGUAAUGUAUAUUAUAGACAAAGAUUUUGAAAGCAAUAUUUUUUGGUAUUAUUAUAUAAUAUUUUUUAAAAAGUUGAGAGAAUAGGCAAAGUCCAAAUCAACUUUCUAAUCCCUACCUCCUUUAUGAUUUAAACUUUAGCGUUUAGUGUCGCGAGCCACUCAAAUUUUCUAAUCAAAGAGACUAAAUUGCACGAAAUUGUGCUAGCUUAUUUGAUUCUAGAAAUUUCCAGUACACUGUAACACACUCUCAGGCUUGUACAUACCUCGAAAUUCUCUAGAAUUAAUUUACUAGAGUAGUGUUGCAUGUAGCUUGUACAUAGGUUUUUCUGGAACACUUCAGGUAUUACUAAGCAUGAGAGCUUUGAGAACUCUCUAGCCAUAAAACAUUCUAGGGUAUGUCUACCCUAAAAAUUGGGCAUGAUGCUUGCCACUUGAGCAUACAACAAGUAAGAACAAAUCAAGCAUACUUGUAAGCUCUCAAACUCUCUUAUACACACUUUUAUGAAUAAUAUACUUUCUCUUUGGCUAUAUUGCUCUCUCUUCUCUCUAGUUUUUUCGCAAGCAUCAUACCUUAGUUAGUCGAAAAGUUCAAGGCUUACUUUAUAGCUAUCUCACAAAAGUUGUUUAAGUACCACAUGGAUUUGCUGUGUAAAAUACUCAUCACAUGACAUUAGCUAAAUAGAUUUGUUUGAAAGCCACUUACCCAAACUAUUAAACGAAUAUUAACUUUUGUCUUAAUUUUCUAUCACCUAUGAUAAAAUUUAUAAUUAAAAAUUGAAAAAAUUAAUAACUAUUAGAUAGAGCAUUCUUUACUGUUAAAAGAAAUCUAUAUAGAUAGAUAGAUGGUAAUAUAAAAACUUACUUAUUGUAGUAUAAUGUUUUUAGUUUUUUGAAACAUAGAUUCUUACUUUUUUAAGAUAAAAUUCAAAGAAAACAAGUUAAAUGUUGUGGAAAAUCUUCCAGCCAUACAAGAAAUUGUGAUAGCUAAAUGCAAACCUAACUAAAGUAUUAGUUGUUUUAUUACAAUCUCCAAAAAGAUGAGCAAUUCCAAAAUAUUUUUUUGUAACAAUAAACACUAUAGGUCAGCAAUUAUCCAAGUCAAAAGCAAGCUACUCUAUUAAAAAAAAAAAAAACUUGUAGUGAAUCUGAAGAUAAACCAAUUUUACUAGCAAGUUGGAUACCAAAGAGUAGGGCUUCAGCCUCAAUUACUCAAUGUACCAACAACACAGUCUCGGUGAGUUAAAAUCAACUUCUACCACUCUUUUACUUGCUGAUAGAUCGAUUAAGGUACCAAAAGGAAUAAUCGAAGAUGUAUUAGUUCGAGUUGAUAAAUUCAUAUAUCCUGUGGAUUUUAUUGUUUUGGAAACUGAACCAAUUGCUAAUGAAUGCAAACAAAUUCCUGUUACAUUGGGUCGUCCAUUUUUAGCUACUGCUAAUGCAUUGAUUAAUUGCUGGAAUGGAGUAAUGAGUUUAUCUUUCGGCAACAUGACAUUGGAACUCAAUGUGUUCAACAUAUGUAAACAACCUCACCACCAGGAAGAUGAUGAUAAUGAGAAUGAGGAGAUUGAUUUCAUCGAGCCAAUCAUUGAUGAACACAUUCAGAAUAAGAAUUUUACAAACUCAGUGGAAAUUUAUUCUGCUCGUUCUUUUGAAUCGAGUAAGAAAUUAGAUUACGAUACUGAUAACAUAUACCCUACACUUGAUUCUAUGCAGGUACUUGCUGACGGUGACCAAUCAAACUUUAAAAAUACAGAACAAUCUAAAGAACCAAACGAAGAGGAAGUACCAGAGCUCGAAUUAAAGCCCUUACCGGAAGAAUUGAAGUAUGCCUAUCUUGGAGAAUAACAAACUUAUCCGGUGGUAAUUUCUUCCCAACUCACGCAUGAUCAAGAAGGUAAGUUGUUGUCUGUACUAAAAAGGCAUAAAACUGCAUUUGGUUGGACCUUAAAAGACAUAAAAAGUAUUAAUCCUUUAAUCUGCACACACCGAAUACACUUAAAGGAAAAUACCAGAACAACCCGUUAACAUCGACAUUAUCAGUGUAAACAUUAAAUACCAAAAUCAACCCCAAAAACUAUAACUAAACUAUCAUGACUAAAAUAAAGUUUUUUUUUUUUAGAUAUUCGUUGUAGUAUCUCUUUAGAUGACAAACAAGAGAUAAAAUACAUAAAUAUUUGCUGUGUAAAUAAAAAUAAAUAAUUUUUUUGAACUGAAAAAUAUUCUCAAAAACUAAAUAGUUCAAACUUUUUUUAACAUUAUCGGUUCUGGACCUGAACCGAACCGUGAACCGUAAACUGCCCACCCUUACGUAGUUGUUUCCGUUAACCGAUGUUGUAUUGCUGGUAUAAAAUUGUUCAAAUGUUCAAAUCACAGUCUCCCGCUCUCAGCUCAGUCAGAGUUUCAGGUCCAGAGACUUCCCGCUGACUGAGAGCUUUUUUGUAGCAGUUCUACAAAUAAUGGAGUAGAGCUGAUUUUAUGAUUAAUUUAUUUCCUUUUUCAAUUUCUUAUGAUUGCGAUUUAAUCUGGAAAGUUAAACGUGAAUUGUUUAGUGCGGAUUAAAUGUUCGACGAAUUUCCCGCAAGAGUAUUAAGUUAAAGAGAAAAAAGAAAACAAUUGAGCGUGAGCGUGAGCGUGAGCGAGAAUGGUGUUUGGGCAAGUGGUGAUUGGUCCGCCCGGCUCGGGAAAGACCACUUACUGCAAUGGCAUAACUCAGUUUCUCAGCCUUGUUGGCAGGUAACUUCGUUUCUUGAUUUCAAGCAGCUUUAUCUUUGAUGACCAAAAAAAUUGAUUUGGGCUUUGCCCAUUAAAUGAAUGUAAGAGCGGUAGGGAAUAACUGAGUUAUAGGAUUAGCUUUAAGUGAACAUUGAUGGUAACAUGCGCGUGAAGGUUGUAUGUGUUCAGUGGCAAGCUGUAUGCCAAUUUGGUCUAUAUGGUUGCUUAGGUAGUAACUUAUUAAUUUUUACGCAGGAAGGUUGCAGUCAUCAAUUUAGAUCCUGCUAAUGAUAGUUUGCCGCAUACUUUGUCAUUGAACUUUCUUACAAAUGCUGUGGUUUGUUGUAGUAUAAUUAGUUCAAUUGGAAACUUCCUUGAUGUUAAUAUAGAAAUGAGUGUGCUGUGAAUAUUGAGGACCUCAUUAGACUAAGUGAUGUGAUGAUGGAGUAUUCACUUGGUCCCAAUGGAGGUUAGUCAGCCUAUUGUUGUUUACUCUUUCUUGCUUUAUCACGCAAUGAUAUUCCUUUGCUUUACAACAAAUUUCGUGAAAUUAACUUCAAUCAAGUGGCAAUGUUCAUAUGCUGUUGAGAUUUUAUGGACAAUGAUUGGUAGACUUUAUAUGCCGUCUUCUUUCUUUUUGCAGUGAUAUGCUUGUAUUCAAUGAGCAUGUACUUAUUCUAUGGUUUCUAAAGUAGGUGUUUUUAUGAUAAACUAGGUCUUGUGUAUUGUAUGGACUAUCUAGAGAAGAAUAUUGACUGGCUGCAGUCGAAAUUAGAACCACUUUUGAAAGGUAAGAAGAGGCCAUUUUCCUUCAUUCUAAUGCCAAUAAUGCUGUCAUGAGACUCAUAAAAAUGUUAAAACGUUAAUGUUUUUGGUAUUUUGCAGAUCAUUAUCUUCUGUUUGAUUUUCCUGGCCAAGUUGAAUUAUUUUUUCUUCAUUCCAAUGCCAAGACUGUUAUAAUGAGACUCAUAAAGAAGUUAAAUCUCAGGGUAUUGUUACAUCUUACAUCUAUGAAGGGACUCAAAGAGUUGAGAUGAAUUCAUCUUUGUUAUUUUGAUGCCAGAAUUGUGCAAUUCUCAGUUGGUUCCUUGCACAUGCAGUUGACUGCAGUGCAUCUAGUUGAUGUGCAUCUUUGCAGUGACCCCGGGAAGUAUGUUAGUGCUUUGCUUCUCUCAUUGUCUACGAUGCUACAUCUGGAACUUCCCCAUGUCAAUGUCUUGUCUAAUCGAUCUGAUUGAGAAUCAUGGAAAGCUAGGUGUGGUUUUAAGUGUAUCUCUCCUACUUGUUUGUUUAGUUUGAAAUAUCAGAUAUUGUCACAAGCUCCUAUUUGCUACAUUUCCUCACCAAUCAAUUACUUUGGGUAUGUUGCAGCUUUUAAUCUCGAGUACUAUACAGAUGUGCAAGAUUUGUCAUAUUUACAGCAUGCUCUCGGUCAGGACCCUCAUUCUGCUAAGUACAGGUUUGAAUUCUAGCUGAAUCAAUGAUGCAAAUUAUGUUCAUUGCUAUUUCUGCUGUUGUUUCUAUCAUUUUCAAUUGUUACCUCCCCUUGCCAUCUACUGCCACACUGCAAUGCCUACACAAAUGUUAUGAAAUUUGUCAAUGGCAAUGCCAUCCUGUUUGUCCAGAGACAGCUCUUAGAUGCAAGUGAACAAUUUUUGGCUUUGGCCGUAGUACAGCCUUAGAUUUCAACUUGCCAUAUCUUGUCUCGGAAGUCAAAAGAAAGCGUAUAUGUUAGCCAAAUUUUAUUUGAAUUUAUUAAGUAACAAUGAAUGGGUCAGAAAAACAGUUCCUCUUUUGUUUUGAUCAGACUCAAUGAAUAAGUGUUUAAAAUGUGCCUGUCCUAAAAAUAUAGAUGUGUGGUUUCACAAAAUUUUCUUGAUCUUAAGAAAGAGUUAUCUUGAAAAGAAGAUAACAUGGAGAAUUCAGCAACUAUACAGUCAUAUUGAUGUCUGUCAACUUGGGUCAGAUGGUGUCGUUUGGAUGGAGAUGUUAGGUCCCAGAUGGUAUGCUUGUUAUCAAAUUCCAGUCUAAUUCAUUCAUGCUUUGAUGACAUAUGCGGUGCAGCUUCUUAUCUAAGACCUGUAUAUGUUCAGUCAUCAUUCAGUUCUGUAUUUGGCUGUCAUUCUUUCAAUGAAUUCAAACCACUUUCUGAAUACUUGCAAGGGAAAUUAUCAUUCGUAUACCCUAUAUUUACUCUGUUAUCAAAAAUACUACAACACUUUGAGGGUGUAUCAAUCGUCCACCAUAAGUUGACAAAAUGUAUCAACCGACCACCAAACCGUUAAUUGUCGUUUGAAAGUUAACGGAAUUACAGUGAAUUGACGAUUUUACCCUUGAAAAUUAUCACUUGUAUACCCAUAAAAUUCUCUUUUUAGCACUUGUAUACCCUUAAAUUAUCACUUGUAUCAUAUGAAAAGACCAAAUUACCCUUCUGAUGUUAUCAUAUUUAAACGGCAACUAACGGUUUGGUGGUCGGCUGAUACAUUUUGUCAACUUAGGGUGGACGAUUGAUACACCCUCAAAGUGUUGUAGUAUUUUUGAUAAUUGAGUAAACUAAGGGUAUACAAGUGAUAAUUUCCCUACUUGCAAAUUCAUCCAGUGUUGUCAUUGAGAUGCCAAUAUGUAAAGGAGCAAUAGUUGCCCUUGAUAGUAUGCUUAUUGAUUGCCUCUUGCCUCACUCAGCCUAAGGAAUCUGGUUGUAUGGUGUUCUUGUAAUUUCAUUUGGAGAUAAGUAAUAUCUGUUGUUCAAAUGUAUUUUAUAUACAACCAGUUCAUAAUUCUGCUUGCAGAAAGCUUACAAAGGAGCUGUGUGAUGUAAUAGAAGACUACAGUCUGGUCAAUUUUUCAACUUUAGAUAUUCAGGUCAUCAGUUUCUCUUGAAUUCUUUCUUGAGUUUCUUUGAAUUAUUUGUGAAUAAGAUCUUAGUUGGCUGCUCCUCUUCAGGAUAAGGAAAGUGUGGCAAAACUCGUGAAGCUGAUAGAUGAAAGCAAUGGGUACAUCUAUGCUGGCAUGGAUGCCAGGGCAGUUGAAUUCAGCAAGAUUGCCGUUCGCGAUGUUGAUUGGGAUUAUUUCGGAUAUCCUUCUUUUCACCUAUUUUCAAUCUUGUUAUUCUCAUAUUCAUAAAACAUUUUGGUUAUUUAAUUAUGGUUCAUCAUAUGCAUCUGCAUCUUCUAACUUGUUCGUUUGAGAAACUAAUUUUGCCGUUAGGUAGGCUUCAAGCUUGAUUCAUGCUUUUUUCAAAAAUGUACCAAAAUCAUGGAAACUUCUUUUUCCCAGAUAUUGUAUCCACACUUUUCCCAUAUAAUUGGGUCAGACAAGUUUUGCUUAACAAAGAUAUCUACAGUAGCCGAAGUGCAGGAGAAGUACAUUAAGGAUGAUGACGAUGUUAACUAAAAUGGGACGUGAAGAUAUGUGGUGUGCAAACCGUAAGCCUGCCUCUUAUUUUUGUGCAUGUUUACUUGCUUGUGAUUCACGUUUGUUAAUCUAUUUUGCUCUCUUGCAGGAGUUAUAAAGUUUUCAAUCAAUCAAACAUUUAACUCAAGUCCUUAGCUCUUCACGGCUUGAAUGGGUCAGAUAGGACAAGCGCCGAAGAGGUGGUUUUAAUCAAACCCCUCCUAAUUAUGAUGUAUGGUCCAAAUCUCGGACUUUCUGUACAAUAUCGAGCGAUUCGGACCUUUCAAGUCGAAUAUUGAUUUUUCUCCAGUAUUGUUUGUAAUUACAAGAAACGAAGUAAUGAAAUUUAUCACUGCGUUCAUAGUUAUGCUUAAGCUCAAAGAUUACCGUCAAGAUCAUUUUGGGCCCUCAAAGAAACAUGAUGUUGACACAUGUAAAAUUAUGAAGCUUGUGAUUAAAAUACUUUUGACAUAUAUAUGUUAAGUACUAUUAAUAAUUAAACAUAUGAAUAAAUAUGGUCAAUGAGGAGAGGAUAAAAUAAAAUGGUUUCAUUUUUUGAAUUACUCAACCGCUUCAAACUUCUAAGAAGUAGAUAUACAAUGAGUGGAAUACUGAAUUGAGUGCGAGCUGCGGAUAACUUAUAAAAUUGGGAUGCAAGCUUCAAGGAAAGUGUAUUGCUAUUCAAAUGUAGAUUUCAAAUUAGGAAGAUAUGCCAGCAAAUUGUAUAAAAAUGUAUAAAUUGAUCAGUAACAUUAAUUCCAAAUGAUGAAAUGAGUUAUCUUGAUCAAAAGGUCAAGAACCUACCUUACUUCUCUUAGAGAUAACUUGCAUCAACCGUUGUGGUAUUCAUACUUGUCUUCAGCUAGUAAAAGUGAAAGUUUCACAAUUGAAAUAAAGCUAAGGGAAGAUGCUAUGCUGCAUUUAUUAUUAUUAUUAUUGAUGUGGUCGAGAAGUAAAGCCAUGCAUAUGAUGAAGUAUAAAUAAGAAUGCAAUAGCCCGGAAUUCAUUUUCACAAACACUUCAAUAUCCUUUUGAUCACUUUUGCAAACAUCAAUUUGUCUCCUCUUGUAUUCACCAUGGUUGAUGCCGUCAUUUCCCCUCUCGUGGAGCAGCUGACUUCCUUCGCUGCUAAAGAGAUAAUACAACAGGUGAUCGAAGUUAAACCCCCCAUAUUAUAAAUACUUCUAAUGAUUUUAAUUGGUUUUGUUUUUAUCGAAAACAUUAACUUUGCUUUAUUUUACUUAUUUAGGCAUUUUAAAUUUUGAAAUUUGAAUUGAAUUUAAUUAAAAUGUGAUGUAGUUAGUAACCACUUUUUUUUAUUUCAUUUAAAUUCUCAAUAACUACCUAUAUUUUGGUAACUUACUGUAACCCCCGUAUCUAAGAAAUGAUCAAAACCCACAAUUUUAACUCCACAUAAAUAUUCCAUGUUGAGCUAAGUUCGAUGUUGAGGUAAGUUUUUGCAUAACAUUCAAGUUUGUCAAAUAGUCAUUAAUUAAAUGUUUAGUAAAAACUUAUCUCUGAAAAAUUUCAUAAUUUUCUUACAUUCUUUGAGUUUGGUAAGUGACUUCAUAUAAUUUCCUUUCAAUUUAAAUUUUAAUUUGGUUUCUGAUAUAGUCUCUUUACUGAAUUUAUAUCUUUUAUGAUUCUUGGAUUUGGGGCUCCAACUUUUUAGGAUUUGAUAGUCACAUUUUAUGGCAUGCUUAGAUUGAUUUUCAUGAUUUUUAGUACUCGUUAAGUGACUGAGAAUUUGACAAAAGUUUGAAAGGAAAUCCGUUUCACGAUUCUUAUGUGGAAGGUUCAUAAAAUCAUUAAAUUUGGAUAGGAUUCAUUAGCAAUAUGUACAAGACUCUCCAUGAAGUUUCGUAAUUUUUCAUUCGGUCUGGGGUGGUACAGGUAAAGCUUGUGGUUGGUGUUGAAAAAGAAGUGAAAAGCCUUACCAGCCACCUUCAAGCCAUUCAAGCUGUUAGCGAUGAUGCAGAGGAAAAGCAAGUGAAGGACAAAGCUAUUAGACUUUGGCUGGGUAGGCUCAAGUACGCAUCCUACGACAUUGAAGAUGUGUUGGAUGAAUGGAUCACGGCAAGAGGCAAAUUGCAAAUUAAGGGUGGCGCUGAUAAGAAAAAGAAGGUUUGUUUCUGCUUUCCCGCCUCUUGUUUUGGAUUCAAACAAGUCUUUCUACGUCAUGACAUUGCCAACAAGAUCAAAGAAGUCAGUGAAGAGCUACAUGAUAUUGCCACCCAAAAAGACAUGUUUAAAUUUGAGAGUAGCAGUAAAAGUAGUGAAAGACCAAGGCGUGUGCAGAGUACCUCCUUGAUUGAUGAGGAAGAGAUUUGUGGUAGAGUUGGUGAGAGGAAUGCACUCUUAAGCAUGCUGUUGUGUGAGAGCAGUGAGCAACAAAAAGGCCUUCAUAUCAUCUCAAUUGUUGGUAUGGGAGGCAUCGGGAAAACAACUCUUGCACAACUAGCAUGUAAUCAUGUUGAGGUAAAGAGAGAGUUUGACAAAAUUUUAUGGGUGUGUGUAUCAGAAACUUUUGACGAGUUUAGGAUUGCCAAAGCGAUGCUUGAAGCUUUGACUGGUUCAACUUCUAAUUUAGAUGCAUUGCAAUCUCUUCUUAUAAGUAUUGAUGAAUCUAUUGCGGGAAAGAGAUUUCUUCUUGUCUUAGAUGACGUGUGGGACGGAGAUUACAUUAAAUGGGAACCAUUCUACCGUUGCCUAAAGAAAGGUCUCCAUGGAAGUAAAAUUUUAAUUACGACACGUAAGGAGUCAAUUGUGAGCAUGAUGAGAUCCACAGAUAUUAUCUCUAUCAAGGAAUUGGCUGAAGAAGAAUGUUGGGCAUUGUUUAAGCGGUUAGCAUUUUUCGGUCGUUCCACUGAGGAGUGUGAAAAAUUGGAACAAACUGGUCAAAGAAUUGCAAGAAAGUGUAAAGGUUUACCUCUUGCUGCAAAGACAAUGGGAAGUCUCAUGAGCUCUAAAAAAAUUGAAGAAGAGUGGAAAAGAAUUUUAAAUAGUGAUUUAUGGAAGGUAGAAGAGAUCGAGAAAGGUGUUCUAACCCCUUUGUGGUUGAGUUAUAACGAUUUGCCAUCUAGAGUAAAAAGAUGUUUCUCGUAUUGUGCUGUCUUUCCAAAAGACUACAAUAUAGAAAAAGACAAACUAAUUACUUUGUGGAUGGCUCAAGGUUAUCUUAGUGCAGAAGCAGCAGAACAAGAUGAGGAGUUGGAGACUAUAGGUGAAGAGUAUUUUGGCAUCUUAGCUUCUCGCUCUUUCUUUCAAGAGUUUGAGAAACGUUAUGAUAAUCGUAUUAUAGCGUGCAAGAUGCAUGAUAUGGUACAUGAUUUUGCCCAAUUUGUUAGUCAAAAUGAAUGUUUUUCGUUGGAAGUUAAUGGUAGUGAGGAACUAAACGUCACAAACUCUACAAACUCUCUUGAUGAGAAGGUCCGUCAUUUAAUGUUAAUCUUUAGUAAAGGGGCUUCAUUACCGGUUUCCACUCUUAGAGUUAAAAGAAUGCGUACCCUCUUAAUUAACGAUAGUAGAUCUGAUCAUUCAUUAUUAAAUGGUGAGAUCCUAGAAGAAUUAUUUAGGGAGUUGACAAGUUUAAGGGCAUUAGAUUUUGGCAAAUCGUAUAACUCAAGUUGGUAUUCGACUCUGGAGAUUCCGAGAAACAUAGAAAAGCUGGUACAUUUAAGAUACCUUAAUUUGUUUUAUCAGGGAAUAAAGAAACUACCGGAGACAUUAUGCGAGUUGUAUAAUCUAGAAAAGUUAGAUAUUAGUUUAUGUUUUAAUCUUAAAGAAUUACCUGAAGGGAUUGGGAAGUUAAUAAACAUGAAGCAUUUACGAAAUAGAGGUACUAGUUCUUUAAGGUACAUGCCAGUAGGGAUUGGGAGAUUAACGGGUCUCAGGACCUUGGAUGAGUUCCACGUGAGUGGAGGAGGAGGUGUUGAUUGUAGGAAAGCAUGUAGGCUUGAAUCUCUCAAAAACUUGGAAAACCUUCGAGUGUGUGGUAUAUGUAGACUGGGUGAUGUAUCAGAAGUGGGCGAGGCUAAGCGAUUAGAACUUGACAAAAAGAAAUACCUCUCUUGUUUGAGACUUCGGUUUGAUAAGAAGAAAGAAGAAGGAGAAAGGAGGAAGAACGAGUACGAUCAACUUCUUCUUGAAGCCCUACAACCACCUCUCAAUUUAAAGGAAUUAGAGAUAGAGUACUACCGAGGCAACACUGUUUUCCCCAGCUGGAUGACGUCAUUAACCAACUUAAAGAGUUUAGAUCUCUCUUCCUGUGAAAAUUGCGAGCAGCUGCCUCCUUUGGGAAAAUUGCCAUCCCUUGAAAAUCUCCACAUAUAUCGCAUGGAGAGUGUGAAAAGAGUGGGUGAUGAAUUUUUGGGGAUAGAAAGUGAUCAUCAUGGCUCAUCUUCAUCGGUUAUUAUUGCCUUCCCCAAAUUGAAAUCACUCACAAUUUCUUUGAUGCUGGAAUUGGAGGAGUGGGAUUAUGGGAUUACAAGAACGGGAAACACCGUCAUCAUCAUCAUGCCACGUCUUUCUUCCUUGACAAUUGGGAAUAGUCCCAAAUUAAAGGCACUGCCCAACCACAUUCAUCAAACGACAACAUUGAAGACAUUGCGCAUUUGGAGGUGUGACCUUCUGGAAGAACGUUACCGCAAGGGGGAAGGAGAAGACUGGCCUAAGAUAUCACACAUUCCCAAUCUCCAUUUUGGGCUUUGACAAGUAAUUUCUUCUCUUACUCUGAUUUGCUUUGUUGUUGUUUUUAAUCUAAUUAAGAAGCGUAAAUAGCAUUUUGAAUCAAACUCUAUAUCAGAAAUCUGCAAUACUUACUUUCUAAUAUUCUGAUUUUCAUAUCCUAUGAAUAUACGAUUUUUAAUUUGUGGGAUGGGUAACGUUACUGUAAAAGAUUAUUAAUGCAAUAUGAGUAAUUCUUUUGCAGGACAAGUGGCCUACAUUUAGUUUGGCUUUGGAGUUGAAUAAUAACCUUUCGAGGUCCCGACAACCAAAAAACGAAACUUAAUUUGCCACAGAUUGCACGUAUUGCCAUUAUUGACAAUUUUCUGCACAAGCUUAGGUUGAUGUCAAAAGAGGUAAAUUAUUGGCAUGCCUGACUAUUUUGACCAUUACAUGAUUCAUAAGUUUACAUUAAUUUUGAUUUUGAGUUGAGUGAUUAAUUUUCUAGGUUUGCUUACUUUAACUGGGUGACCAAUUUCUUGUAACCAAAUGUAUGAUGUGAUGCAGGAAGCAGGGCAGGACAUGAAAAGAGAAGCUUAUUAGAGGAAGGAUUGCCAGUAACAGAAUCCAAAGAAAAAGAAACCAUUUCGAGGCAGCAGUUGGCAGUUGGCAGUGAAUGGAGCCCCUUGAAAAAACCCCCAAGCGGUUGCACUGCAAUUACGAUCAUCCUCGGCCUCAGGUAAUUUCUUCUCCUGCAUUUUUGUUAUUUGCUAUCAAGUGACUAUUUUAAGUAUGAUUGCAUUAAGCUGCUGCUGGGAAAUUUGAGGUUUUGAUGACUGCCCAUGCUAUUGUAAGAAGCUGCGGUUCUUUUCAUCAGCCUGAACCUGGACCUGCCGCUAUGGAUAACUCAGUUUUUCUUUUUUUUAAUCAACUGCCAUCUUUUCCACUGUUUAGAAACUCUUUAAGAUUAAACUUUAGUAAAGUUGUUUUAGUUAUUCAUGUAAUCAGGCUGAGGAUACUUAGCUGCCUAUUUAGGCAAAUGUCAGAAUUUAGUUUGUUCGCUGGGUACUGGUGGGGACUGGCAAAGGAUGAUGAGAUAGUUUUUUGAGUGAGUAAAUUUUGGGAGCUUGAGUGUAUUGGGAUUUGCAAUUACAAUCAUCGUCUGCCUCAGGUGAUUCUUUUUCCUGCUCUGUCAUUGUUUGUUCUCUAAUUCAAAAGCAUAAAAUAUUUCAAUCAAUUUUUAUGCCAGGAAUAUGCAAAAGUUUCUAAUAUUUUAUUUCCAUCUGUUACAAGAUCAAACUGAAGCAGAACUCAAACAAAAGUAUGCUACUUCUUGCGGAAAUCUUGCCUUUGUUCAGAUUAUGAAACCAUUUCCAUGCAGCAAAUUCAUCCAAAAGUUUGAAUAAGUUUCACGGUUGGACACUGUUGGCUUCUUUUUCUUCUGGGGUGCAUUUAGGUGCUAUCAAGUGACAGCUGUAAGUAUGAUUGCACUAAGCUGCUGCUGGGAAAUUUGAGGUUUUGAUGGCUGCCCAUGUUAUUUUCAAUAAACUAUUGAUGUAAGAAGCUGUGGUUCUUUUCAUCAGCUUGAACCUGAAACUGUCGCUAUGGAUAACUCAGGUUUUUGUUAUCAACUAUAUCAUCUUUUUCACUAUUUUGAAACUCUUAAGAUUAAACUUUAGUAAAGUUGUUUCAGCUAUUCAAAUGAAAAACUCAUUGAUUUGAGAAUUCCUUCAUUAUUGUUUCUAAUUACAAUGCUAACGAUCCAGAUAAAAUAAUAUUUAAUCGGCGAAGGUGUCCCUUGGAAGUACAUCCUUCUUUUUCUUUUAUUAUAUCAAUUCUUGCAAUGAGCUUAGUGAAGCUGUUGUGCUAAUCAUGCCACUGCAUAAUUUGGCCCCUAAUGUGGGUACUCUGUUACAUUGUUCUGCAAAUUCUCCAGAAGUUAAAAUCAAUAAAUUUUCUAUUAGCUCUAGUGCUUUGACCUAAAUGCUAUUCUAUAUUCUGAUUACAAUGUUUUAACCUUUAAAUUAACUACCCCUAGAUGUUGGAUUUUCUAGAACUUCAAAAUGAUUAAUGGAGAAAGAUCCCAUUAUCGUUAUUGCUAUAAGAAAUUGAUUUAUGCAUCCAAAGAUACAUUAUAUAUUUCUGUGUCUCUAUUUAUAGAUGACAUUUAAGCAUCCAUAAACCGUCAGACAGAGGAAGGGGGUUCAGUGCAAAGAUUCUGUUGACCUAGGGUUGACUGCAUAUGUCACUUGUUCGCAAUCUAUUAUUUAUUUUAUAUUUUGAAGAAUUUAAUGGGUAAUCCUAAUUGUUUGUUUUGGCAGGUAUGUGUUGUUAUCUCCUUCUAUCUAACAGUCGUACCUAAAUAGCAUAGUUUCAUCUGUGUUACCAUGUGAUGUACAUAAUUUCACAUUUGCCUCAGAUUAAGCUUAAUUUCCCACAGAAUAGAGCUGUCGCGACUGGACUUAGGUUGAUGUCCAAAGAGGUAAAUUAUUGGUAUGCCUAGAUAAUUUGGCCAUUUCCUAAUUCAUAAGUCUACAUUAAUUUUGAUUUUGAGUUGACUGAUUUCUUUUCAAGGUCUGCUUCCUUAACGGAGUGACCAAUGUUUUUCAACUAAAUUUAUCAUAUGAUGCAGGAAGCAGGGCAGGAUAUGCAAUGAGAAUCUCAUUGGUGGAAGUAUUGCCAGUAACAGAACCCAAAGAAAAUGAAACUGUUUCAAGGCAGCAGUUGGCAGUUGCAAGUGAAUGGAGGCCCUUGACAAAAUUCUCAAGCGGUUGCAAUGCAAUUACGAUCAUCCUCAGCCUCAGGUAAUUUCUUCUCCUGCUUUGUAUUUAUUUGUUAUCUAAUUAGGAAGCGUAAAGUAUCUUGAAUCAUUUUCUGUAUCUGGAAUAUAUGCAAGAGUUUCUAAAAUUUUGAUAUGAGUGUGAUGAUGGUAAUUUCUGUUUUCUGUCUGUCUUCAAAUGUUAGAAAACUUUCAUUGAGACGCUUGAACCGAGUCAUUUUUGACAAGUGAAGUGCUGAAGAGUGAAGAGUAAGAAUGGUGCUAGAUUGGGGAAUAAAGCAAAAGGAGGUAAAUUAUUGGCAGCUUCUUCAGCCUUAUUUUCUUUGGACCAGUGCCUAACUCACAAGUCUCCAUAAUUCGGCUUUUGACCAGUUGAUAGAUAAAAUUUUAAUUUCAUUGGUGCUAAUGUACCCGUGAAGCAGGCAGAGAAGGACUGUGGAAAAGAGAAGGUUUUUAGUGAAAGCUUAAACUCAGGUAAUUCUAAAAAUUAUAUGUUUUGGCUGAUUUAUCUAAAUCAGGAAAUUUUAUUUCCAUCUGUUACAAUAAAACAGAAACAGAACACAAAGAAAAAUAUUCUACUUCUUGUGGCAAUCUUGCCUUCAUUCAGACUAUGAAACCAUUUCCUUUCACCAAUUUCUUCCAAAAUUUUGAACACGUUUCAUGGUUGGACAUAGUUAUCUUCUUUUUCUUUUGGUGCAUUUAGGUACUAUCAAGUGACAGCCAUAAGUAUGAUUGCAUUGUUGGGAAAUUUUAGGUUUUGAUGGCUCCCCAUGUUAUUGCCAAGAAAUUUUAAGUCCUCAUGUCAGAAGCUGCGUUUCUUUUCAUCAGCCUGAACCCGAACCUGUCACUAUGGAUAACUGAGGUUUUUGUCAUCAACUAUAUCAUCUUUUUCACUGUUUUGAAACUCUUAAGAUUAAACUGUUGAGAAGUCAAUAUUAGCCCAAAUAAGUCCACACCUAAAUUAAUUUGAUGUCAUUGCUUACAUCAAUUUAGUUAGGUGAAUAUUAGCCCAAAUAAGUCCACACCUAAAUUAAUUUGAUGUCAUUGCUUACAUCAAUUUAGUUAGGUGAAAAUUAGGUAUUUUUCCCAUGUUUAAUUUCAAUGGUUUAAAUUAGUUUGUGGUUAUUUUAAUGAGUGGUUUAGAUUGUUUCUUGUAACCUAUAAAUACCUCAUUUGUAUUUGAGUUUUAUUAUUCAACAAUAAAAAGCUUUAUUAUAAGCAUUUGAAAGCUUUCUUAAGAGUUCUUCUCUUUUUGCAAUUUUGUGAGAUUAUUCUAAAGAGAGUUUUUCUUCUUCUUGAUCAAUUAGAGUUUUUACUCUAUUUUGAUUCAACAUUUGGUAUCAGAGCAUUGGUUGUAAAGUCUCUUGAAAUUCCGAGUAUGCUCUGUGGUUGCAGUUUUGACUGAUCUUCCACAUCAGAAAAGAUUUCUUGAGAUUAUUGCUGGGGUUAUCACAAACCUUGAGAGGGAGCUUCUUUGUGUCAAGAGUAGUGUAUUAUUCUGCACGGUAGUCACUCAAGAUUGUUCGGUGUAGUCAAAGUCUUGUCGAUACGAUGGGUGAUCUUCAAGUUGUUGGAGGAAUCAAGAAGCUCAACAACCAAAACUAUAACACGUGGGCAACGUGUAUAGAAUCUUACCUUCAAGGUCAAGACUUGUGGGAGGUUGUCGGUGGUAGUGAAGUUACACAACCGGCAGCGGAAGAUGCUAACGGCGUCUUGCGGAAGUGGAAAAUUAAAGCAGGCAAAGCAAUGUUUGCUUUAAAGACCACAAUAGAAGAAGAAAUGUUGGAGCACAUUCGGGAUGCUAAAUCACCGAAGGAAGCGUGGGACACCUUCGCUACACUCUUUUCGAAGAGGAACGAUACAAAAUUGCAACUUCUCGAGAAUGAACUUCUAUCAAUGGUGCAACGCGACAUGGCGGUUGCCCAAUACUUUCACAAGGUGAAGUCGAUAUGCCGUGAAAUUUCAGAAUUAGAUCCGACAGCUGCUAUUGGGGAAGCCAGGAUAAAAAGAAUAAUUGUCCAUGGCUUGAGACCCGAAUACCGAAGCUUUGUAGCCGCUGUACAAGGAUGGCCGACACAACCAUCACUUGUUGAGUUUGAAAAUUUGCUGACAGGCCAAGAAACUAUGGCCAAGAAAAUGGGAGGAGUCUCACUAAAGGGUGAAGAGGAAGCGCUUUACACCAACCAAAGCAGAGGUGGUUCAAGACAGCACAACAAAGGCGGAUCUAGAAAGACUGGUGAACAGACAAAAAGUCAUCAGGGAGGGAAUGGCUCUCGUCCAGGGGGAGCUUCGAAGAAUCGUGACAGUAAUAGAAAGUUCGAUGGCGAAUGUUACAAUUGCGGGAAGAAGGGCCACAUGAAGAGAGAUUGUUGGUCCAAAAAGAAGUCUACCGAAAGCAAUAUUGCUACUUCUAGUUCUAAAGAAGAUAGUGAAGAUAGCUGGGAUGCCGAAGCAUUACUCGCUAUGGAGGAAGAAGAAUUAGCUCUCACGGUAACAACACCAGAAAAGAUUAACUACGAGAAUGAUUGGAUCGUAGACUCAGGCUGCUCAAAUCACAUGACGGGUGAUAGACAGAAGUUGCAAAACUGUUCUGAGUACAAGGGAAAUCGUGUGGUGGUAACAGCUGACAACUCAAGGUUACCGAUAGCUCACAUCGGUAAAGCGAUCGUUACACCUCGAUAUAGUCCCAACCAAGUGCCACUUCAAGAUGUCUACCAUGUUCCAGGAAUGAAGAAAAAUUUGCUAUCCGUAGCUCAAUUGACAUCAUCAGGCCACUAUGUCUUGUUUGGUCCACAAAAUGUGAAGGUAUUUCGAGACCUGAAGAUCUCAGAAAACCCUACGAUGGAGGGACGACGAUUGGAGUCAGUUUAUGUGAUGUCAGCUGAGUCUGCAUACGUAGACAAGACAAGAAGGAAUGAGACGGCAGAUCUGUGGCACAUGCGGCUAGGUCAUGUUAGUUAUUCCAAGCUAAGUGUGAUGGUGAAGAAGUCGAUGCUUAAGGGACUUCCACAACUUGACGUGAGAACAAAUACUGUUUGCGCGGGAUGUCAAUAUGGUAAAGCACAUCAAUUGCCAUACGAGGAGUCGAAGUUUAAAGCAAAGAAACCAUUAGAGUUAAUUCACUCUGAUGUGUUUGGACCAGUUAAGCAACCAUCAAUUGGCGGAAUGCGGUAUAUGGUUACGUUCAUUGAUGAUUUCUCCAGAUAUGUAUGGGCUUUCUUCAUGAAAGAAAAAUCUGAAGCAUUCUCAAAGUUCAAAGAGUUCAAAGAGAUAGUCGAAGGAGAAGUGGAGCAAAAGAUUCGUUGCUUGCGCACAGACAACGGGGGUGAGUAUAGCUCGAGAGAGUUUUCUCAAUACCUACGGGAAUGCCAAAUACGUCAUCAGUAUACUUGUGCCAAUACGCCACAACAAAAUGGUGUAGCAGAGAGGAAGAAUCGGCACCUUGCUGAAAUUUGCCGGAGUAUGCUACAUGCGAAGAAUGUACCUGGAAGAUUUUGGGCCGAAGGUAUGAGAACUGCAGCUCAUGUCAUCAACAAGCUUCCUCAACCAAGGUUGGAGUUUGUUUCACCCUUUGAGAAAUUGUGGAACAAGAAACCUACAGUUAGCUAUUUUCGAGUAUUCGGUUGUGUAUGCUAUGUAUUUGUUCCUGACCAUCUACGUAGCAAGAUCGAUAAGAAAGCAGUCAGAUGUAUCUUUGUGGGAUACGACAAUCAGCGAAAAGGGUGGAAGUGUUGUGAUCCAGUAGAUGGAAGGUGCUACACAUCACGAGAUGUGGUGUUUGAUGAAGCAUCCUCAUGGUGGACCUCAGAAAAAGAAGUGCUGCCAGACUCGAAAGAAUUCGGAGACAUGCUACAACAAAAGAUGGGGGAGCAUACUGUCCAAAUUCAUCUAAGCUCAGCUGGGGAUCUAUGCGAUAGUGAUAGCGAACGAAGAGUAACUCUAAAUCCUUGGCAAUCUGGGGUGUAUCGACAACCAGAUGAAGAAGGUGUGCCUAGUGAAACAGAAGAAUCAACUCCAUUACGAAGGUCAACAAGAACCCGAAGGCCAAAUCCCAAAUACGCUAAUGCAGCCAUAGUUGAAGAAGCAACUGGAAUAGAACCUGAGACGUUCGAAGAAGCGUCACAGAGUUCUGAGUGGAUGACAGCUAUGAAAGACGAGAUCACUGCACUUGAGCAAAAUCAGACCUGGGAACUCGUGCCAAAGCCAAAAGAUGUGAAACCCAUAUCCUGCAGAUGGGUUUACAAAAUAAAGCACUGUCCAGAUGGGUCAAUCGAGAGGUACAAGGCUCGAUUGGUAGCUCGUGGUUUCUCUCAACAAUAUGGACUAGAUUAUGACGAAACGUUUAGUCCAGUGGCAAAACUUACAACCGUCCGAGUCUUACUUGCACUUGCAGCCAACAAAAGCUGGAACUUGUGGCAGAUGGACGUGAAGAAUGCCUUUCUCCAUGGAGAGCUGGAUAGAGAGAUCUACAUGAUUCAACCGAUGGGUUUUCAGAACCGAGGUCACCCUGAGUAUGUGUGUAAACUGCGAAAGGCUCUCUACGGACUAAAACAAGCACCCAGGGCGUGGUAUGGCAAGAUUGCUGAAUUUCUAACUCAAAGUGGGUAUUCAGUAACAUCUGCAGACUCCAGCUUGUUUGCUAAAGCUAAUGGAGAAAGGAUAGCUAUUGUGCUCGUGUACGUAGAUGAUCUAAUCAUCACUGGAGAUGAUGUUGAAGAAAUUUUCCGAACAAAGGAGAACUUGUCAGUUCGUUUUCAAAUGAAAGAACUUGGACAACUUAAGCAUUUCCUUGGGCUAGAGGUUGAUCAGACGAAAGAAGGGAUAUUUCUUUGUCAACAGAAAUAUGCCAAAGAUUUGUUGAAGAAGUUUGGGAUGCUAGAAUGUAAGCCGAUCUCAACACCGAUGGAACCAAAUGCCAAGAUGUGUGCACAUGAAGGCAAAGACCUGGAAGAUGCAUCGAUGUAUCGACAAUUAGUGGGUAGUCUAAUCUACUUAACCUUGACUCGACCUGACAUUUCUUAUGCAGUUGGCGUGAUGAGUCGAUACAUGCAAAAUCCGAAGAAGUCUCAUUUAGAAGCGGUUCGGCGAGUACUCAGAUAUGUGAAGAGUACAAUAGACUAUGGUCUUUUAUACAAGAAAGGUGGAAAUUGCAAACUAGUUGGCUACUGUGAUGCUGACUAUGCAGGAGAUCACGAUACUCGCAGAUCAACUACUGGGUAUAUGUUUACCCUUGGAUCUGGAACGAUUUCUUGGUGUAGCAAGAGACAACCGACUGUGUCCAUGUCAACUACGGAAGCAGAGUAUCGAGCAGCAGCAAUGGCAGCUCAAGAAAGCACGUGGCUGAUACAACUAAUGAAUGAUCUACAUCAACCACUAGAUUAUACAGUUCUGUUGUACUGUGACAACCAAUCGGCAAUUCGGCUGGCGGAGAAUCCUGUUUUUCAUGCAAGAACUAAACAUGUGGAAGUGCAUUACCACUUUGUUAGGGAAAAAGUUCUGCAAGAAGAGAUUGAGAUGAGGCAAGUCAAGACAGAUGAACAAAUUGCUGACUUGUUUACAAAAAGCUUGAGUGUUGGAAAGUUUGAACAUUUCCGUCGUCAGCUUGGCAUGAUUCAAAGAAUGGGGGCUAACAUUGAGGGGGAGUGUUGAGAAGUCAAUAUUAGCCCAAAUAAGUCCACACCUAAAUUAAUUUGAUGUCAUUGCUUACAUCAAUUUAGUUAGGUGAAUAUUAGCCCAAAUAAGUCCACACCUAAAUUAAUUUGAUGUCAUUGCUUACAUCAAUUUAGUUAGGUGAAAAUUAGGUAUUUUUCCCAUGUUUAAUUUCAAUGGUUUAAAUUAGUUUGUGGUUAUUUUAAUGAGUGGUUUAGAUUGUUUCUUGUAACCUAUAAAUACCUCAUUUGUAUUUGAGUUUUAUUAUUCAACAAUAAAAAGCUUUAUUAUAAGCAUUUGAAAGCUUUCUUAAGAGUUCUUCUCUUUUUGCAAUUUUGUGAGAUUAUUCUAAAGAGAGUUUUUCUUCUUCUUGAUCAAUUAGAGUUUUUACUCUAUUUUGAUUCAACAUAAACUUCAGUAAAGUUGUUUCAGUUAUCUAUGUAAUCAGGCUAAGGAUAUUUAGCAGCUUAUUUAGGCAACUGCCAGAAUUCAGUUUGUUCGCUCGAAACUUGUAUGGUGACAAGGAUACUGGCAAGGAUAGUGAGAUAGUUUUUUGUGCGAGUGAAUUUUGAAAGCUUGGGUGUUCUGGGAUUUGCAAUUGCAAUCAUCCUCUGCUUUAGGUGAUUUCUUCUCCUCUUCUGUCUUUAUUUUCUCUCUAAUUGAAAGCAUAAAGUAUUUCAAUCAAAUUCUGUACCAGGAAUACGAAAAAUUUACUAAUAUUUUAUUUCCAUCUGUUUGCAUUGAUAACUUGGCCGCUUAUGUACUAGUUAAAGAACAAACAGAAGCAGAGUUCAGGAAAAAGUUUCUUCGGCCACCAUAUUUUAAAAUGAAACCAUUUCCAGGAAGCAGUUGGCAGCAAAUUCAUAGAAAGUAUAGACAAUGAUGAGCAAAAAGGUGAUUCGCAAUUUCAUUUUUUUAAAAUGAAAUUAUUUGUUAAGUUGGAGCUGAUAUUGUUAGAAGGCCAUUGAGCUAACCUAUGACACUGCUUGCCUAGAUUGCAGGAGGUCAAGACUCAAAAGAUGCACUGAAUUUUAAAAGGCAUGCAAUAAUUCUUAUGGCCAUUUGUCAAUGGUGGAAUGCUUUUAGCUUCUUUUCCUUUCGUGCAUUUUGGGGUUCUAUCAAGCGACAGCCGUAUGUAUGGACGGAUAUAGCUGCUGCGUUGAUUUCUAAUGCGUUGUAUGAUGUUAUAGCAACUAUCUAUCUGGUCAAUGUUUCAAAAGAAUAAGACACAGGGAAAAAGAGAAAGCAAGUGGCCAAUCAAGUAUUCAUGUCCCAAAGAAAAGAAUGAUUCGACAAUAGCAUUAAGGGUUAAUUGGACACAACAGAAGUGUUUUAACCACUUCAAGGAAUGUAAAUGUAAUUUUCCAUUCUAAAGAAAAAGUAAAUAUAUGCACUGUCAAUUAAUCUUUGGUCAACCAGCAACAUUCAUAAUUUCGUGUAAGUUUCAUUUCUGUUUGUUGGAAAUAGCAGUGUAUUUCUGAGAGUUUGUUCAAAAUGGAAAGAUUUUAAAAUAUAAAUUUCACAUCUGUUUAUUACUGUUGUUUGGUCUAAUUUCUUAUGUAGAAUUUUCAGAAUCUGUCGGACAUUAGUUUAUAAUUUUGAGAUUUUGCAGCCAUAAAUUUUUUUUUUUUUUGGUUGCCAUUUUAUUUUGCUCCUUUAUCUAUGUGCAUGUUGACUGGCUGCAGUGAGUGAAAAUUUACCCAUAUUUGCUGGCUAUUCUUGGACAAUAUUAGAGAAAAUAAUCAUAUUAUUUCGCGUGAAGUGAACUUCCAUAACUUAUCAAUUGAAUUGCUGUAAAAUAUUAAAUAGUUUUAUUUUUCUUUUAUCGUGUAACUUGGACCAAAAAAGGAAAUGAGUUUAACAUGACCCUCAUUCCGGCACUAUGCAUGUUUUUCUUGUAUUGAUGACAGUGCUCUUGGUGCUUCUCAUCUGCUUCUUGCUUUGGUUUCAAACAAGUCUUUCUCCGUCGAGACAUUUAUUGUAAUUUCAUUUGGAGACAUAUAUCUGUCGUUCAAAUAUAUUUCAUAUGCAAGCUGUUAAUAAUUCUGCUUGCAGAAAGCCUACAAAGCAGCUGUGUGAUGUAAUAGAAGACCAUAGUCUGGUCAAUUUUUCAGCAUUAGAUAUUCAGGUCAUCAGCUUCUCAUGAAUUCUUUCCUGAGUUUCUUUGAAUUAUUUGUGAUGUAAUAACUUGUGCAUUUGAGAAACUGUUCUCUUGAAUUCUUUCUUGAGUUUCUUUGAAUUAUUUGUGAAUAAGUUGUUAAUCGGCUGCUUCUCUUCAGGAUAAGGAAAGUGUUGCAAACUGGUGAAGCAGCUGAUAGAUAAAAGCAAUGGGUACAUCUUUGCUGGCAUGGAUCGAUGCCAGUGCGGUUGAAUUCAGCAAGACUGCCGUUCGUGAUGUUGUUGAUUGGGAUUAUUUUCAACCUUAUGAUUCUCAUAUCCAUAGAACCUUUUGGUUAUUUAAUCAUAUUUCAUCGUAUGCAUCCGCAUCUUCAUGUGCGUUUGAGAAACUGUUUUGCGGUUAGGCAGGUUUCAAUCUUGAUUCAUGCGUCUUUCAUAAAUGUACAAAAUUAUGGAAACUUCUUUUUCCCAGAUAUUAUAUCUGCACUUAUUCCCAUGUAAUCGAGUCAGACAAGUUUUGCUUAACAAAGAUGUCUACAGUCGCUGAAGUGCAGGAGGAGUACAUUAAGGGUGAUGACAACAUUGAUUAACCCAACCCAACCUGUAAAAAAUCACACCGGUUAGGUUGGUUUCACGGAUUGGGCGGGUUGGUGCCCACCCAUAAAUAUAACCUCCAUUUCAGUACAAUGCAUGUUAAUUGUUCUCCAAGGACUUCUCUUGUUUCCCAUUCCCAACCUCCAUGCUCUCGAGAGGAAUUUGGCACCCAUCAAUUUUUAUUUUUGAAAACUCGUAAUGGUCUGAUAAAAUUAAACAACAUCAAUAACGUUACCAGUCUUUAAAUAGUAAUUAAUUUAUUUAAUUUGCCACCUAAAAGAAUCCUGCUGGAAAUAGAGGUUAAAAAUUUUAUUAGAUCUGCUUACCUUUGUUCAUUCAGCAAAAACACUUACAAUUCAUAGCUAGAGAAUCUAUCCAUUGACAAUUGUGGAUUAAAAUUAUAACACCUGAAUUCAAACAUAUCCUUAUGAAGUUAUGAAUUUGUUCAUACUUCAAAUGAUUUUUUUUUCCCCAAGCUAAUAAAGCGACCACUUUGAUCAAACAACGAUGUUGAAGGAAUUGCGUAUUUUCAAUGUCCUUUUCCAGACAGACGUUCGAGAGAGGGAAAGGAGAAGACUGGCCUAAUUAAGAUAUCUCACAAAGAUUAUUAUUGAGUUAAAAUGUUAUUGUAAAAGAUGUUUAAUACAAUAAUAGUACUUCUUUUGCAUUGUUAUAAUGAGGCUGGUGGGUUUCCUCAGAGGAUGGAUCUGGCUCGCUAGUAUGCAUUUGGGAAGCUGCUAAUUAUCGGCCAUAAAAAGUCAGGGGGUUGUGGCUGUUCCGUCGCCCAGAAAUUCCUAAACUCAUAUAUCAAAUUUCGGAUGAACUUGGGCAUUAUGUAAAUAUGUAUUUUUGAGAAUUAAACUAGUGCGUUAGAAAAAUUUUGAGCCACUGUAAUCAUUUGAUUUUGCUAAGAGAAAAUUUUACUCUGUGUUUCGCUUUGCCUUUUGUUUUUUCUGUGAUAAUAUGAUUCAUACGAAUGUGAUUACACACUAUCAUGCAUCUAUUUUCAUUUGCUUGUCAUGAAUGAUCAACAUGCUCGAAAUAUUUAUAUAGGUUGGAAAUAUUUAAAUCUAUUAAAAUACUAUACACACCCAUUUUAAAAUAAAAAUAUGAUUAUUAUAAUGAUCGCGAAGGUAACACGAUAUCAUAAAUAAAAUAAAAUAUUUCGCAAAAAAGAUAAGAUACGCUUGAAUACAUUGGUAUAAAAAAUAUUUUAGUGGAUUCAAGUAGCACUAAUGCUCCCUUAUCAAAAAAUAUAUAAAGAUAACUAAUCUGAUUGGGUAUACCGUGUGUGUGUGUGUAAUAUUUUUUGAUAUUAUUAUAUAAUAUUUUUUAAAAAGAAGAGAGAGUGGGCAAAGUUCAAAUCAAUUUUCUAAUCCCUAUCUCCUUUAGGAUUUAAACUUCGGUGUUUAGUGUCACGGGUCGCUCAAAUUUUCUAGUCAAAGAGGCUAAAUUGCACGAAAUUGUGCUAGCUUAUUUGAUUUUAAAAUUUUCCAAUGCACUGUAACACACUCUCAUGCUUGUACAUAGCUCGAAAAUCUCUAGAAUUUACCAGAGUAGUGUAGCAUGUAGCUUGUACAUAGGUUUUUCUGGAACACUCCAAGCAUUACUAAGCAUAAGAGCUUUGAGAACUCUCUAGACAUAAAACAUUCAAGGGUAGGCCUGCCCUAAAAAUAGGGCAUGAUGAUUGCCAUUUGAGCAUACAAGAAGUAAGAACAAAUCAAGUAUAUUUGUAAGCUCCCAAACUCUCUCGUACACACUCCUGUGAAUAUUAUGCUUUCUCUUUGACUAUAUUACUCUCUCUUCUCUCUAGUUUUUUUUCGCAAGUAUCAUAUCUUAGCUAGUCGAAAAGUUCAAGUAAGAAUGAUAAUUUUUCCUGAUGGGAUGGGAUGGGAUGGGAUCCUGUGGGAUCCCAUCUCAUUUAGGACGGGAUUGGGAUACAUUUUUAUCCCAUAAAAAAAUAUAGGGACGGGAGUAGAACUUUUUUUAUCCCACUUGUAUCUAUGGGACAGGACUGAGAUUAACAAAUCCAGUCUCGUCACGUCUCGUCUCAUUGCCAACUAGGGAUGGAAAUUUUUCCAAUUGAGAUGGGCUCUCACAGAAUCCCAUUUUUUUGGGGAUGCGAUUGAGACAUAUUUUUAUCCCAAAAAAAUAUAUCGACAGUGACACUUUUUUUUAUCCCACUUGCAUAUUCGGGACGAGACUGAGAUUAGUAAAUCCCACUCUAUCCCAUCACAUUGCCAACCCUAAGUUCAAGGCUUACUUUGCAACUAUCUCAUAAAAGUUGUUUUAAGUACCACAGGAGUUUGUUGUGCAAAAUACUCAUCCCGUGACAUUAGCUAAAUAAAAUUGUUUGAAAGCCACUUACCCAAACUAUUAAACAAAUAUUAUUCUUUUAAUAUGCAAUCUUUUAAUAUAAACUUUUGUCUUAAUUUUCUAUCUCCUACAAUAAAUUUUAUGAUUUUAAAAAUUGAAAAAAUUAAUAACUUUUAGAUAGAGCAUUCCUUACUGUUAAAAGAAAUAUGAAUGGUAAUAUAAAACUUACUUAUUAUAGUAUAAUGCUUUUAGUUUUUUGAAAUAAGGUUCUUAUUUUUUUCAAGAUAAAAUUCAAAGAAAACAAGUUAAAUGUUGUGGAAAAUCUUACGCCCAUACAAUAAAUUAUGACAGCUAAAUGCAAACCUGGCUGAAGUAUUAGUUGUUUUAUUACAAUCUCCAAAAAGAUGAGCACUUCCAAAAUCUUUCUUUGUAACAAUAAACACUACUGGUCAGCAACUAUCCAAGUCAAAAGUAACUCAAUGUGAGUCUUAGUGCACUUGCAGUGAAUCCCAAGAUAAACUAAUUUCACUAGCAAGUUGGAUACCAAAGAGUAAGGCUUCAGCCUCAAUUAUAUUAAAAUCUGAGUAAACAUUAAAUACCACAAUCAAACUCAGAAAUCAUAAUUAAACUAUCAUGAUUAAAAAUAAAGUUUUUUUUUUAGAUAUCCGUUUGUAGUAUCUCUUUAGAUGACAAAUAGGAGAUAAAAUAAAUAAAUAUUGGUUGCGUAAAUAAAAUAAAUAAUUUUUUUAACUGAAAAAAAUUCCUAAAAACUAAAUAGUUCAAACUUUUUUUAACAUGAAAUAAAUAUUAGAUGCGUAAAUAUAAAAAAAUUAACUGAAAAAAUUUCCCAAGAACUAAAUAGUUCAAACUUUUUGUUUAACAUCAUGGGUUUUGUAUAUUCAAUUGAACCGAACAACUAAAUUAAAUCGAAAUUACCCUGUUCGGUUCAAAUGAAUAGACGAAAACCGAACAGUUCAUAUUUUUUGAACUGAUGGUGCGUUUACUUCAUGAAAUGAAAAUAUGGUGGAAUGAGAAUGGGCUGGAAAUGAGAAUGUGUUGAAAUGAGAAUGAAGAAUGAGAAUGAGAUUCUAAUGUUUACUUAAUAAAAAUAAAGGGAAAUGAGAAUGUGCUGGAAUGUCAUUGAUGUGUUUAUUUGACAAAAUAAAUGGGAAUAAAGAAUGAGAAUGAGAAUUAAUUUACCAAAAUACCCAUAGUAUUAAAUAAUAUAAUUUUUAUUUUACUAGAUACAUGUAUAAAUAUUAUUAUAAAAAUAAUAUUAAUUAAAAUAAUAAAUGUUAAGAAUGAUAAUAUUAAUAAAAAUAAUAAUAACAAUAAUUAAUAAUAACUAAAAUAAUAAAGUUAAUAAAAAUAACAACAACAAUAAUAAUAAUAAUAAUAAAUGUUAAUGAUGAUGAUGAUGAUAAAUGUUAAUAAUGAUAAUAUUAGUAAAAAAAUAAUAACAGUAAUUAAUAAUAACUAAAAUAAUAAAGUUAAUAAUAAUAAUAAUAACAUUUAAAAUAAUAAAAUUAAUUGUGAUUUGAAUCAGAGUAAUUCGAAAAAUAUAAAAAAAUUAAAAUGAUACAAAAAUAAACAUAAAUUUUAUCCCCGUUCCCUCAUUUUCAUUCUCAAUUCCCCAUGAAAAUAGAAUUCCCAUUUCUUAUUUUCAAAUUACGGAAUCCCCAUAUUUUAUUAUCAUUCCCAAAUUAUAUUUUACCAAAUAAAUAUAAAUUUUAUUCAUAUUUUUUCAUUUCCAUUCUUUAAACCUUCAAGUAAACACAAUUUUCUUUUAAUUCGGGUUCUGGGCCUGAACCGAACCGUACCGUAAACUGCCCACCCUUACAGUAGUUUUCGGGGUUUUUAAUUAAAUAUGCCUUAAAAGUAGUGUAUUUAGUUAAAUAUACCCAUGUUUGAAAAUUAUCUAAGUAUGCCUUUUUAUGUGGUACAUUGUCUAAAAUAUCCCUAAAGAAAAAUAUAAAACACACACACAACUCACAACACUCUUUGCUUCUCACGUAUUUAUCAUCUAUACAAAAACUCACACCACACUCAAAAUCACUCACAAACAGCUAAUGCACUGAGUUUGUUUGCAGUUGGGUGUAUUAUUCAUCCCAUGAAUAAGGUAUUUGAAACUUUUUUUAUUUUAUUUUGGGCUAUCUAUUCAAUUUGUUGACAUUAUAUUAUUUUUAGGGUUUUGUUUGGUUUGUGAUAAACACUAAAGCAACUCAUAUUUUCAUUACAUUUGCAUCAUAUGACUGUUAUUUGAUGGAUUUUAUAACUACAUUCGUUAAAAUCUGAAGUUGUUGUCAAAUUUUUUUCUGCACCCGACAUACACGACAGCAGUCGUGUAUGUAUGUAUUUACAUGACUGUAGUCGUGAAAAUGUGCAAAAAAUUUCAAUUAUUAUGACACCUUAUUAUUCUAUUGGUUCAAAAAAUAUAUAUUUUUCACUAUAUAUAUCCUUUUACUAUUACUAUACUAUAGUCGUGUGUGUGAAUAAGUUACACGACUACUAACGUGUACGUAUAAACUUACAUACUAUAAUUGUUAAUAAGUUACACGACUACUAUGAACCUUAUAUACUUGUUAUUUUUUGUUGUUUUAAUUUUUUUAAUAUCUUUCAUAUUUAGUGAUAAAUUUUUACCUUUUUGUUUCGCAGAUGAAUAAACAUGUUUGUGUGACUUUCUAAGAACAAGUAUUGAAGGGAGGCGACCAGAGACUUAUAAAAUAUGGACUGAGUGUUUGGGUUGAAUAUGCCAAAAAUUUAUGAUGAAUGUUAAAUAACUUCUAUUAUAUUACGACUUAUUUACGAUUUCAAUAAUUAUUGGAUUUGUGUUAUUUGAUAGGCAAUCGAACUAUAGUUAGUUUCAUUUAUUUGAAGUUUGAUAUGUUUAAAAUCUAUAUUGAUUGUGUCAUCAAUAUAAUGAAUGAUUGAAAAGAAUUUUUAUUCUGUGCACAUACCCGAGUACAAUCGUGUAUUUUGGCUGUUACAAAACUAGUCAUGUUUAUUUCUAAAUACUCGACUACAGUCGUGUAUCUGUGCAAAUACUCGAUUAUCACAGAGAGUUUGUCAUAUUUAUUUCUAAAUACUCGACCAUAGUCGUGUAUCUAUGCAAAUACUCGACUACAGUCAAGUAUUUUGUCACAGAGAGCUUGUUAUUUUUAUUUGUAAAUACCCGACUACAGUCGUGUAUAUGUGCAAAUACCCAACUGCAGUCGAGUAUUUUGUCACAGAGCUUAUUAUGUUUAUUUCCAAAUACCCGACCGCAGUCGUGUAUCUGUGUAAAUACUCGACUGCAGUCGAGUAUUUUGUCACAGCUUAUUAUGUUUAUUUUUAAAUACCCGACCACAGUCGUGUAUCUGUGCAAAUACCCGACUACAGUCGAGUAUUUUGUCACAGAGCGUAUUAUGUUUAUUUCCAAAUACCCGACCGCAGUCGUGUAUUUGUGCAAAUACCUGACUGCAGUCAUGUAUUCUCUUACAGUGUAUUCCUUGUGUAUAUAUUGUGCAAACUAUCUUAUCUAUCAUUAAUAUAAAUAACAAAGAAAUAAAAUAUAUUAAUGCUGUCAAUUGUCUUUAAUGACAUCAAAUAUCAAUAACAUCCUCAUUACAACUAUUACAUCUCAUAAUCUAAAAAAUGACACUACAAAGUUUUUUUCCAUGACCUAUGCCCAAAUAAUUUUACAACCAAGGCUUGUCGAAAUUAUGUAACAUGAUUUUGUUGGCAUUAUGAAUUGACAUCAAGUCCAUGGACUAGGACCUCCAAGUACCGCAACAAAAAUGCUCCACAUUCACCACUAAAAAAAUUCAUAUAAAUCAAUUGUUAAAAAUCAUCAUUCUUAUUAUUAUGUUCAAAACACAUUAUAUAUAUAGUACAUACCCUGAUUUUUGUUGCGGGAUGUCACGCACUCGCACGAUGGGCCAAGGAAUUUUCGAAAUAACCUCACUACAGUCUGGAUGUGUUUCGUGAUAUGCUAUCUUCUGAAGUACUAGAGGUAUCAUGUCUGCAACAGGCAGCAAUUGUCUCACCAAAACUGAAUCCUUUGUUAAGUCUAUCAUGGAGUCAUAAAUAGAAAUCUUGCCCCCAAGUAUAUCGACCACACCGAGAACCCAAUGAUCAUUCAUGAAUAUUGGCAAAUACACCUACGAAAUACAGACAAUAUUCUUAACAAGUAACGGCAAAUAUAUCUACGAAAUGCUGUAACUGUUUUUAUCUACUUGCAGUUGAUUUAUUAAUAGUAUACUAUCAAUAGUUUUAUGCUAAAACAAAUAGCAAAUUGUUAAUAAAUUAGAAUUGUAAAAUAAAGGUUCUACAACAAAUAAUAGAGAAAACCCAGAUUGUAGCAUAAUGAAUGCAUACGCAGUUGAAGAAAAUUGAUAUAUAAUUCCCAUGGAUGAAGUUCAACUACAAACAAUAAGUAAAAUUAUAUAAAGAUCUAAUGCAUAAACUAGUGUAGCCAUAACCGAAAAUUCAUAAGGAUAAUAUUUAAUUAGGAACUCCCACAACCAUUAUUAAAGAGCUAUUAAUUCACUCUCUUCAAUUUCAAAUUCACAAGUUAAAGAAGCUUCAUUACAUUACCAACAAGAAAGAUUAUCAGUAAAUAAGCAAGAUAAUGACCAAAAUCAUGUGGGUAAUUUGUUUUUUAAAACCCUAUUGCAUAUAACCCUAACAAUUAUGCACCAUAAAUUCUCUUUAUAAAGUAAAAAAUAAGUGUAAAUGUGGUUAAUGACCUUUAGUUCGGUGAAUUUCCAGCCUUUAAUUCGGUGAUUUUGUAGCCUUUAAUGUGGUGGAUGAACUUGCAGCAGCAGGAGCAUGAACUUGCAGCAGCAGGAGCAUGAACUUGCAGCAGCAGGACAAGCGUUGUGUAUGGUAGCUCGUGAAUGCAGAUUUUGAAAUUUGAAGAAUUAAAUUGGGGUAAUUUUAUAAUUGCACAUUGAAAAAGGUAUAUAAAAAAAAUUUUGAAUUAUGGGGGUAUAGUUGGAUAAAUACCUAACCUUUAGGGUAUAGCGGGGACAAAUCCCUGGUAGUUUUCAUUAACCGACGUUGUACUGCUGGUAUGAAGUUGUUCAAAUGUUCAAAUCAGUCUCUCGCUUUCAGCUCAGUCAGAGUUUCCAGGUCCAGAGACUUCCCGCUGACUGAGAGCUUUUUUAGUAGCAGGUCUACAAAUAAAGGAAUAGAGCUGAUUUAAUGAUUAAUUUAUUUCCUUUUUCAAUUUCUUUUGAUUGCCAUUUAAUCUGGAUAAGUUAAACGUGAAUUAUUUAGUGCAGAUUAAAUGUUCGACGAAUUUCCCGCAAGAAUAUUAAGCUAAAGAGAAAAAAAGAAAACAAUUGAGCGUGAGCGGGAAUGGUGUUUGGCCAAGUGGUGAUUGGUCCGCUCGGCUCGGGAAAGACCACUUACUGCAAUGGCAUGUCUCAGUUUCUCCGCCUUGUUGGCAGGUAACUCCGUUUCUUGAUUUCAAGCAGCUUUAUCUUUGAUGGCCAAAAAAAUUGAUUUGGGCUUUGCCCAUUAAAUGAAUGUAAGAGCGGUAGGGAAUAACUGAGUUAUAGGAUUAGCUUUAAGUGAACAUUGAUGGUAACAUGCAUGUGAAUGUUGUAUGUGUUCAGCGGCAAGCUGUAUGCCAAUUUGGUCUAUAUGGUUGCUUCGGUGGUAACUUAUUAAUUUUUAUGCAGGAAGGUUGCAGUCAUCAAUUUCGAUCCUGCUAAUGAUAGUUUGCCAUAUCCUUUGUCGUUGAACUUUCUUACAAAUGCUGUGGUUUGUUGUAGUACAAUUAGUUCAAUCAGAAACUUCCUUGAUGUUAAUAUAGAUAUGAGUGUGCUGUGAAUAUUGAGGACUUCAUUAGACUAAGUGAUGUGAUGAUGGAGCAUUCACUUGGUCCCAAUGGAGGUUAGUCAGCCCAUUGUUGUUUACUCUUUCUUGCUUUAUCACGCAAUGAUAUUCCUUUGCUUUACAACAAAUUUCGUGAAAUUAACUUCAAUCAAGUGGCUAUGUUCAUACGCUGUUGAGAUUUUAUGGACAAAGAUUUGGUAGACUUUAUAUGCCGUCUUCUUUCUUUUUGCAGUGAUAUGUUUGUCUUCAAUGCACUUGUACUUGUUCUAUGGUUUCUAAAGUAGGUGUUUUUAUGAUAAACUAGGUCUUGUGUAUUGUAUGGACUAUCUAGAGAAGAAUAUUGACUGGUUGCAGUCGAAAUUGGAACCACUUUUGAAAGGUAAGAAGUGGCCAUUUUCCUUCAUUCUAAUGCCAAUAAUGCUGUCAUGAGACUCAUAAAAAUUGUUAAAAUGUUAAUGUUUUUGGUAUUUUGCAGAUCAUUAGCUUCUGUUUGAUUUUCCUGGCCAAGUUGAAUUAUUUUUUCUUCAUUCCAAUGCCAAGAAUUUUAUAAUGAGACUCAUAAAGAAGUUAAAUCUCAGUGUAUUGUUACAUCUUACGUCUAUGAAGGCACUCAAAGAGUUGAGAUGAAUUCAUCAUUGUUAUUUUGAUGCCAGAAUUGUGCAAUUCUCAGUUGCUUCCUUUCACAUGCAGUUGACUGCAGUGCAUCUAGUUGAUGCGCAUCUUGGCAGUGACCCCGGGAAGUAUGUUAGUGCUUUGCUUCUCUCAUUGUCUACGAUGCUCCAUCUGGAACUUCCCCAUGUCAAUGUCUUUUCUAAGAUCGACCUGAUUGAGAAUUAUGGAAAGCUAGGUGUGGUUUUAAGUGUAGCUCUCCUACUUGUUUGUUUAGUUUGAAAUAUCAGAUAUUGUCACAAGCUCCUAUCUGCUACGUUUCCUCACCAUUCAUUUACUUUGGGUAUGUUGCAGCUUUUAAUCUCGAGUACUAUAUGGAUGUGCAAGAUUUGUCAUAUUUACAGCAUGCCUUGGGUCAGGACCCUCGUUCUGCUAAGUACAGGUUUGAAUUCUAGCUGAAUCAAUGAUGCAAAUUAUGUCCAUUGCUAUUUCUGACUAUUGUUUCUAUCAUUUUCAAUUGUUACCUCCCCUUUCCAUCUACUGCCACACUACAAUGCCCACACAAAUAUCAUGAAAUUUUUCAAUGGAAAUGCCUUUCUGUUUGUCCAGAGACAGCUCUUAGAUGCAAGUGACCAAUUUUUGGCUUUGGCCAUGUUACAGCCUUAGAUUUCAAUUUGCCAUAUCUUGUCUCGGAAGUCAAAAGAAAGCAUAUUUGUUAGCCAAAUUUUAUUUGAAUUUCUUGUGUAACAAUGAAUGGGGGAAAAAAAAAAGUUCCUCUUUUGUUUUGAUCAGACUCAAUGAAUAAGUGGUUAAAAUGUGCCUGUACUAGAAAUAUAGAUGUGAGGUUUCAUAAAAUUUUCUUAAUCUUAAGAAAGAGUUAUCUUGAAAAGAAGAUAACAUGGAGAAUUCAACAACUAUACAGUCAUAUUGAUGUCUGUCAACUUGGGUCAUAUGGUGUUGUUUGGAUGGAGAUGUUAGGUCCCAGAUGGUAUACUUGUUAUCAAAUUCCAGUCUACUUCAUUCAUGCUUUGAUGACAUAUGCGGUGCAGCUUCUUAUCUAAGACCUGCAUAUGUUACAGUCAACAUUCUGUUCUGUAACUCAACCUCAGGAAUCUGCUUGUAUGGUGUUCUUCUAAUUUCAAAUGGAGAUAAGUAAUAUCUGUUGUUCAAAUAUAUUUUAUUUACAAGCUGUUAAUAAGUCUGCUUGCAGAAAGCUUACAAAGGAGCUGUGUGAUGUAAUAGAAGUCUACAGUCUGGUCAAUUUUUCAACCUUAGAUAUUCAGGUCAUCAGUUUCUCUUGAAUUCUUUCUUGAGUUUCUUUGAAUUAUUUGUGAAUAAGAUCUUAGUUGGCUGCUUCUCUUCAGGAUAAGGAAAGUGUGGCAAAACCUGUGAAGCUGAUAGGUAAAAGCAAUGGGUACAUCUUUGCUGGCAUGGAUGCCAGUGCAGUUGAAUUCAGCAAGAUUGCCAUUCGCGAUGUUGAUUGGGAUUAUUUCAGAUAUCCUUCUGUUCACUUAUUUUGAAUCUUGUUAUUCUCAUAUUCAUAAAACUUUUUGGUUAUUAUUAUGGUUCAUCAUAUGCAUCUACAUCUUCUAACUUGUUCGUUUGAGAAACUAAUUUUGCCGUUAGGUAGGCUUCAAGCUUGAUUCAUGCUUUUUUCAAAAAUGUACCAAAAUCAUGGAAACUUCUUUUUCCCAGAUAUUGUAUCCACACUUUUCCCAUAUAAUUGGGUCAGACAAGUUUUGCUUAACAAAGAUAUCUACAGUAGCCGAAGUGCUGGAGAAGUACAUUAAGGAUGAUGACGAUGUUAACUAAAAUGGGACGUGAAGAUAUGUGGUGUGCAAACCGUAAGCCUGCCUCUUAUUUUUGUGCAUGUUUACUUGCUUGUGAUUCACGUUUGUUAAUCUAUUUUGCUCUCUUGCAGGAGUUAUAAAGUUUUCAAUCAAUCAAACAUUUUAACUUAAGUCCUUAGCUCUUCACGGCUUGAAUGGGUCAGAUAGGACAAGCGCCGAAGAGGUGGUUUUAAUCAAACCCCUCCUAAUUAUGAUGUAUGGCCCGAAUCUCGGACUUUUUUUACAAUAUCAAGCGAUUUUUUUUAGUUGAAUCGGCUAGUGUACACAAAUGUCGAUUAUUGAUUUUUCUUUAGUAUUGUUUGUAAUUACAAGAAACGAAGUAAUGAAAUUUAUCAGUGCGUUCAUAGUUACGCUUAAGCUCAAAGAUUACCGUCAAGAUCAUCAACCUGCUGAUGAUCUGAAGCUUCCAUAGAAAAAGGAACCGGACAAAACCCAAGAGAGAGAACAAAAAUAAAUUAAUUAAAAAAAAAGAAGAAAAAUUGCCAAAGCUACUGGUCAGUUGACAUCAAUCUUUUGCACGUGGGAUGGAAAUGGAACACUGGGCACUUUGGAUGACUCAUAACUCACAAGAGAGCAUCGAAUUUAGGCCGAAUCAUAUAAAGUACGCUAAGCCUUAGUGCGUGCGCUGUUGCGUUGCUGUGUCUGCCGGUGAGAAUAAUUUUUCGUUUUUAAGGUAAUUUUCAUUUAUUUAUUUAUUUUUUUGGUGCAUAUGGUCGAACACUUGGUGGGCACCUCAGUUUUUGGAAUGUUCUCUUCAAUGAAUACAGGGAAAAAGGGACAAAAAUUAAGAACUUUAUUUUGUUCGCGUGGAAUCGAUAUCUGGAUUGGGAUUGUAUGUCGUGUUUAAUUUGAAUUGGUUGAUUCCUCUAAUGAAUUAUUUGAUAAAUUUAGUAGCAGUAUUUGGUGGCAAAAGUAUCAUUAAUUUUUGGAAAUAUGAUUAUAUUAUUAAUUAUUUUAGCAUUCUAAAAAGUCAAUGGUUAUGUUGGAAAUACUCUAAGGUAGACUAGAGUACAAAUCACAAUCACACAUAAAAAGUGAUAAAUAAUAAAAAAUAUAUUAUAUUUUUGAUCAUAUGAUUAUGAAGAUGUAUUUUACCUUAAAGAAGUUAUAAUAAGCGAAUUCUUUUAAAAAAGAAUAAAAUUUCUUUUUUAUCAUACUCAACCGCUUCAAACUUCUAAGAAGUAGAUAUACAAUGAGUGGAAUACUGAAUUGAGUGCGAGCUGCGGAUAACAUAUAAAAUUGGGAUACAAGCUUCAAAGAAAGUGUAUUGCUAUUCAAAUGUAGAUUUCAAAUUAAGAAGAUAUGCCAGCAAAUUGUAUAAAAAUGUAUAAAUUGAUCAGUAACAUUAAUUCCAAAUGAUGAAAUGAGUUAUCUUGAUCAAAAGGUCAAGAACCUACCUUACUUCUCUUAGAGAUAACUUGCAUCAACCGUUGUGGUAUUGAUACUUGUCUUCAGCUAGUAAAAGUGAAAGUUUCACAAUUGAAAUAAAGCUAAGGGAAGAUGCUAUGCUCCAUUUAUUAUUAUUAUUAUUGACGUGGUCGAGAAGUAAAGCCGUGCAUAUGAUGAAGUAUAAAUAAGAAUGCAAUAGCCCGGAAUUCAUUUACACAAACACUUCAAUAUCCUUUUGAUCACUUUUGCAAACAUCAAUUUGUCUCCUCUUGUAUUCACCAUGGUUGAUGCCAUCGUUUCCACUGUCUUGGAGCAGCUGAUUUCCUUCGCUGCUAAAGAGAUAAAGCAACAGGUGAUCGAAGUUACACCCGCAUAUUAUAAACACUUCUAAUGAUUUUAGUUGGUUUCCUUUUUAUCGAAAACAUUAUUUUUGCUUUAUUUUAUUUAUUUGGCAAUUUUAAAUUUGGAAAUUUGAAUUGAAUUUAAUUAAAAUGUGAUGUAGUUAGUAACCACUUAUUUUUAUUUUAUUUCAUUUAUAUUCUCAAUAACUACUCAUAUUUUGGUAACUUACUAUAACUUCCAUAUCUAAGAAAUUAUCAAAACCCACAAUUUUAACUCAGCACGAAUAUUCAAUGGUGAUCUAAGCUUUUGCAGAACACUCAAGUUUGUCAAACAUUCAUUAAUUCAAUGUUUAGUGAAAAAAACUCUUCUCAGCACAGAAUUCCAUGUCCAUUACUUAGGCUCUCUGAAAAAUUUCAUAAUUUUCAUACAUUCUUUGAGUUUGGUAAGUGAUUUCAUAUAAUUUCUUUUCAAGUUAAAUUUUAAUUUGGCUUCUGAUAUAGUCUCUUUGUUGAAUUUGUAUCUCUUAUGAUUCUUAGAUUUUGGGCUCCAACUUUUGAGGAUAUGAUAGUCACAUUUUAUGCUAUGCUCAGAUUGAUUUUUAUGAUUUUUUGUUCCCGUUAAGUGACUUAGAAUUUGACAAAAGUUUGAUAGGAAAUCUGUUUCACGAUUUUGUUUUAAUUGACCUUUUAGUGGAAAUAAGAUGCUUAUAACUUAAUGUGGAUGGUUUGUAAAAUCAUGAAAUUUGGAUAAUAUAAAUUUGUACGAGACUCUCCAUAAUAUUUCAUGAUUUUUCAUUAGCUCUGGGGUGUUACAGGUGCUACUUGUGACUGGUGUCAAAAAAGAAGUGAAAAAAAUUACCAACCACCUUCAAGCCAUUCAAGCUGUGCUCGAGGAUGCAGAGGAAAAGCAAGUGACGGAAACAGCUGUCAGACUUUGGCUGGGUAGGCUCAAGUCCGCAUCCUACGACAUUGAAGAUGUGUUGGAUGAGUGGAUCACAGCAAGAGGCAAAUUGCAAAUUAAGGGCAGCGUUUAUGACAAUGCUCUUGUUGCUCCUAAUCAGAAGAAGAAGGUAUGUUCCUGCUUUCCUGCCUCUUGCUUUGGUUUCAAACAAGUCAUUUUGCAUCGUGACGUAGCUGUCAAGAUCAAAGAAAUCAAUGAAGAGCUGGACGAUAUUGCCACUCAAAAAGACAUGUUUAAAUUUGUUGGGAGUGUCAGUAAAAGUAGUGAAAGACCAAGACGUGUGCAGAGUACCUCCUUGAUUGAUGAGGAAGAGAUUUGUGGUAGAGUUGGUGAGAGGGAUGCACUCUUAAGCAUGCUGUUGUGUGAGAGCAGUGAGCAACAAAAAGGCCUUCAUAUCAUCUCAAUUGUUGGUAUGGGAGGCAUCGGGAAAACUACUCUUGCACAACUAGCUUGUAAUCAUGACAAGGUGAAGAGUCAGUUCGACAAAAUUUUAUGGGUGUGUGUAUCAGAAACUUUUGAUGAGUUUAGGAUUGCCAAAGCGAUGCUUGAAGCUUUGACUGGUUCAACUUCUAAUUUAGAUGCAUUGCAAUCUCUUCUUAUAAGUAUUGACGAAUCUAUUGCGGGAAAGAGGUUUCUUCUUGUCUUAGAUGAUGUGUGGGACGGAGAUUACAUUAAAUGGGAACCAUUCUACCGUUGCCUAAAGAAAGGUCUCCAUGGAAGUAAAAUUGUAAUUACCACACGUAAUGAGUCAAUUGCCAGCAUGAUGAGAUCCGCAGAUAUUAUCUCUAUCAAGGAAUUGGCUGAAGAAGAAUGUUGGGCAUUGUUUAAGCAGUUAGCAUUUUUCGGUCGAUCCACUGAGGAGUGUGAAAAAUUGGAACAAAUUGGUCAAAGAAUUGCAAGAAAGUGUAAAGGUUUACCUCUUGCUGCAAAGACAAUGGGAAGUCUCAUGAGCUCUAAAAAAACUGAAGAAGAGUGGAAAAGAAUUUUAAAUAGUGAUUUAUGGAAGGUAGAAGAGAUUGAGAAAGGUGUUCUAACCCCUUUGUGGUUGAGUUAUAACGAUUUGCCAUCUAGAGUAAAAAGAUGUUUCUCGUAUUGUGCUGUCUUUCCAAAAGACUACAAUAUAGAAAAAGACAAACUAAUUACUUUGUGGAUGGCUCAAGGUUAUCUUAGUGCAGAAGCAGCAGAACAAGAUGAGGAGUUGGAGACUAUAGGUGAAGAGUAUUUUGGCAUCUUAGCUUCUCGCUCUUUCUUUCAAGAGUUUGAGAAACGUUAUGAUAAUCGUAUUAUAGCGUGCAAGAUGCAUGAUAUGGUACAUGAUUUUGCCCAAUUUGUUAGUCAAAAUGAAUGUUUUUCGUUGGAAGUUAAUGGUAGUGAGGAACUAAACGUCACAAACUCUACAAACUCUCUUGAUGAGAAGGUCCGUCAUUUAAUGUUAAUCUUUAGUAAAGGGACUUCAUUACCUGUUUCCACUCGUAGAGUUAAAAGAAUGCGUACCCUCUUAAUUAACGAUAGUAGAUCUGAUCAUUCAUUAUUAAAUGGUGAGAUCCUAGAAGAAUUAUUUAGGGAAUUGACAAGUUUAAGGGCAUUAGAUUUUGGCAAAUCGUAUAACUCAAGUUGGUCUUCGACUGUGGAGAUUCCGAGAACCAUAGAAAAGCUGGUACAUUUAAGGUACCUGAAUUUGUUUUAUCAGGGAAUAAAGAAACUACCGGAGACAUUAUGCGAGUUGUAUAAUCUAGAAAAGUUAGAUAUUAGUAUAUGUUUUAAUCUUAAAGAAUUACCUGAAGGGAUUGGGAAGUUAAUAAACAUGAAGCAUUUACGAAAUAGAGGUACUAGUUCUUUAAGGUACAUGCCAGUAGGGAUUGGGAGAUUAACGGGUCUCAGGACCUUGGAUGAGUUCCACGUGAGUGGAGGAGGAGGUGUUGAUUGUAGGAAAGCAUGUAGGCUUGAAUCUCUCAAAAACUUGGAAAACCUUCGAGUGUGUGGUAUACGUAGACUGGGUGAUGUAUCAGAUGUGGGCGAGGCUAAGCGAUUAGAACUUGACAAAAAGAAAUACCUCUCUUGUUUGAGACUUCGGUUUGAUAAGAAGGAGGAAGAAGAAGGAGAAAGAAGGAAGAACGAGGACGAUCAACUUCUUCUUGAAGCCCUACAACCACCUCUCAAUUUAAAGGAAUUAGAGAUAGAGUACUACCGAGGCAACACUGUUUUCCCCAGCUGGAUGACGUCAUUAACCAACUUAAAGAGUUUAGAUCUCUCUUCCUGCGAAAAUUGCGAGCAGCUGCCUCCUUUGGGAAAAUUGCCAUCCCUUGAAGCACUCAGCCUAUGGGACAUGAAGUGUGUGGAAAGAGUGGGUGAUGAAUUUUUGGGGAUAGAAAGUGAUCAUCAUGGCUCAUCUUCAUCGGUUAUUAUUGCCUUCCCCAAAUUGAAAUCACUUUCAAUUGAGUUUCUGCGCGAAUUGGAGGAGUGGGAUUAUGGGAUUACAAGAACGGGAAACACCGUCAUCAACAUCAUGCCACGUCUUUCUUCCUUGACAAUUGCUCAUUGCCCCAAAUUAAUGGCACUGCCCGACCACUUUCAUCAAACAACAACAUUGAAGGAAUUGCACAUUUGGGAGUGCAGGCUUCUGGAAGAACGUUACCGCAAAGGGGAAGGAGAAGACUGGCCUAAGAUAUCACACAUUCCCAACCUCCGUAUUGGGCUUUGACAAGUAAUUUCUUCUCUUACUCUGAUUUGCUUUGUUGUUGUUUUUAAUCUAAUUAAGAAGCGUAAAUAGCAUUUUGAAUCAAACUCUAUAUCAGAAAUCUGCAAUACUUACUUUCUAAUAUUCUGAUUUUCAUAUCCUAUGAAUAUACAAUUUUUAAUUUGUGAGAUGGGUAACGUUACUGUAAAAGAUUAUUAAUGCAAUAUGAGUAAUUCUUUUGCAGGACAAGUGACCUACAUUUAGUUUGGCUUUGGAGUUGAAUAAUAACCUUUCGAGGUCCCGACAACCAAAAAACGAAGCUUAAUUUGCCACAGAUUGCACGUAUUGCCAUUAUUGACAAUUUUCUGCACAAGCUUAGGUUGAUUUCAAAAGAGGUAAAUUAUUGGCAUGCCUGACUAUUUUGACCAUUACAUGAUUCAUAAGUUUACAUUAAUUUUGAUUUUGAGUUGAGUGAUUAGUUUUUAUACCCGGAAUAUGCAAAAGUUUCUAAUAUUUUAUUUCCAUCUGUUACAAGAUCAAACUGAAGUAGAACUCAAACAAAAGUAUGCUACUUCUUGCGGAAAUCUUGCCUUUGUUCAGAUUAUGAAACCAUUUCCAUGCAGCAAAUUCAUCCAAAAGUUUGAAUAAGUUUCAUGGUUGGACACUGUUGGCUUCUUUUUCUUCUGGGGUGCAUUUAGGUGCUAUCAAGUGACAGCUAAGUAUGAUUGCACUAAGCUGCCGCUGGGAAAUUUGAGGUUUUGAUGGCUGCCCAUGUUAUUUUCAAGAAACUAUUGAUGUAAGAAGCUGUGGUUCUUUUCAUCAGCUUGAACCUGAAACUGUCGCUAUGGAUAACUCAGGUUUUUGUUAUCAACUAUGUUGAUGCGAGAUUCCGGUUCUCCUCGUUCUACGACCAGGAUCUCUGCUCGAUCAACUUCACCACGACCAGGAGGUCUCCUAGUAAUGCUUCUUCUCCAGAUGUCCCUGCACACACAGACAAGUCAGAGUACGCCGGUUGUUCUCCCGGCGCAAACCCUCCGACGCUCAAGUCAGAUAUGAAGGUUCGGGGAACGCUUGCCACAGGUCUUAUGGCUUUUUCGUGGUUUUCUCUUUUAUCUCAAAAAUGCUAACCCUUUUACCUUCGUUGGCUACCUUUUUAUAGGCUUCCUCUGAAUCCCAGUUUUCCGCUUUUUUCGAGACGGUCUGGGGCUCUGACUGCUGCGUUAUGGGCAAACGUGGGAUCUUGCGUGUUACGCCACGGUUCAGGGGAAAGCGUGGCUGUCGUGGUUCUGUGAGAUCUUGUGUGUUACGCCACGGUUCAGGGGAAAGCGUGGCUGUCGUGGUUCUGUGAGAUCUUGCGUGUUACGCCACGGUUCAGGGGAAAGCGUGGCUGUCGUGGUUCUGUGAGAUCUUGCGUGUUACGCCACGGUUCAGGGGAAAGCGUGGCUGUCGUGCCUAGAUUCUUGGGCUGGAGAGUAUGUCUUGCCAACUGCCGUCGACCGGGUCUCCUCGCCUCUCGACCUCUAGCCGGAAUGGCCUUAUGCCUCUUAUAGGAAAUUGGCCUAGCGGAUGACAACAUCGUGGACGAGCAGGAUACUUCUGCUCCUGUUCUGAUGGCUGCCCAUGUUAUUAACACACCGGUUCACAGAACUCCGCUGUGGUUCUUUUCAUCAGCCUGGUCUCGUCGACGUAUUUAUGGAUAACUCAGGUUUUUGUUACAAACUAUAUCAUCUUUUUCACUAUUUUGAAACUCUUAAGAUUAAACUUUAGUAAAGUUGUUUCAGCUAUUCAAAUGAAAAACUCAUUGAUUUGAGACUUCCUUCAUUAUUGUUUCUAAUUACAGUGCUAACGAUCCAGAUAAAAUAAUAUUUAAUCGGCGAAGGUGUCCCUUGGAAGUACAUCCUUCUUUUUCUUUUAUUAUAUAAAUUCUUGCAAUGAGCUUAGUGAAGCUGUUGUGCUAAUCAUGCCACUGCAUAACUUGGCCCCUAAUGUGGGUACUCUGUUACAUUGUUCUGCAAAUUCUCCAGAAGUUAAAAUCAAUAAAUUUUCUAUUAGCUCUAGUGCUUUGACCUAAAUGCUAUUCUAUAUUCUGAUUACAAUGUUUUAACCUUUAAAUUAACUACCCCUAGAUGUUGGAUUUUCUAGAACUUCAAAAUGAUUAAUGGAGAAAGAUCCCAUUAUCGUUAUUGCUAUAAGAAAUUGAUUUAUGCAUCCAAAGAUACAUUAUAUAUUUCUGUGUCUCUAUUUAUGGAUGACAUUUAAUCAUCCAUAAACUGUCAGACAGAGGAAGGGGGUUCAGUGCAAAGAUUCUGUUGACCUAGGGUUGACUGCAUAUGUCACUUGUUCGCAAUCUAUUAUUUAUUUUAUAUUUUGAAGAAUUUAAUGGGUAAUCCUAAUUGUUUGUUUUGGCAGGUUUGUGUUGUUAUCUCCUUCUAUCUUACAGUCGUACCUAAAUAGCAUAGUUUCAUCUGUGUUACCAUGUGAUGUACAUAAUUUCACAUUUGCCUCAGAUUAAGCUUAAUUUCCCACAGAAUAGAGCUGUCGCGACUGGACUUAGGUUGAUGUCCAAAGAGGUAAAUUAUUGGCAUGCCUAGAUAAUUUGGCCAUUUCCUAAUUCAUAAGUCUACAUUAAUUUUGAUUUUGAGUUGACUGAUUUCUUUUCAAGGUCUGCUUCCUUAACGGAGUGACCAAUGUUUUUCAACUAAAUUUAUCAUAUGAUGCAGGAAGCAGGGCAGGAUAUGAAAUGAGAAGCUCAUUGGUGGAAGUAUUUCCAGUAGCAGAACCCAAUGAAAAUGAAACUAUUUCAAGGCAGCAGUUGGCAGUUGCAAGUGAAUGGAGGCCCUGACAAAAUUCUCAAGCGGUUGCAAUGCAAUUACGAUCAUCCUCAGCCUCAGGUAAUUUCUUCUCCUGCUCUGUUUUUAUCUGUUAUCUAAUUAAAAAGCAUAAAGUAUCUUGAAUCACUUUCUGUAUCUGGAAUAUAUGCAGCAGUUUCUAAAAUCUUCAUAUGAGUGUAAUGAUGGUAAUUUCUGUUUUUUGUCUGUCUUUGAAUGUUAGACAACUUUCAGUGAGACUCUUGAACCGAGACAUUUUUGACAAAUGAAGGACAAUUGCUGAAGAGUGGGAAUGGUGCUAGAUUGGGGAAUAAAGACAAAGGAGGUAAAUUAUUUGCAGUUUAUUCAGCAUUAUUUGCUUUGGACCAGCGCCUGAUUCACAAGUCUCCAUAAUUUGGCUUUUGACCAGUUGUUAAUAAAUUUUUUUAUUCCAUUGGUGCUAAAUGUACACGUGAAGCAGGCAGAGCAGGACUGUGGAAAUGAGAAGGUUUUUAGUGAAAGCUUAAACUCAGGUAAUUCUAAAAAGUACAUGUUUUUGCUGAUUUAUCUAAAUCAGGAAAUUUUAUUUCCAUCUGUUACAAGAUAAAACAGAAACAGAACACAAAGAAAAAUAUUCUACUUCGUGUGGCAAUCUUGCCUUCAUUCAGACAAUGAAACCAUUUCCUUUCACCAAUUUCUUCCAAAAGUUUGAAUAAGUUUCAUGGUUGGACAUAGUUAGCUUCUUUUUCUUUUGGUGCAUUUAGGUCCUAUCAAGUGACAGCCAUAAGUAUGAUUGCAUUAUCGGGAAAUUUUAGAUUUCGAUGGCUCCCCAUGUUAUUGCCAAGAAAGUCCUCAUGUCAGAAGCUGCGGUUCUUUUCAUCAGCCUGAACCCGAACCUGUCGUUAUGGAUAACUCAGGUUUUUGUCAUCAACUAUAUCAUCUUUUUUACUGUUUUGAAACUCUUAAGAUUAAACUUCAGUAAAGUUGUUUCAGUUAUCCAUGUAAUCAGGCUAAGGAUAUUUAGCAGCUUAUUUAGGCAACUGCCAGAAUUCAGUUUGUUCGCUCGAAACUUGUAUGGUGACAAGGAUACUGGCAAGGAUAGUGAGAUAGUUUUUUGUGUGAGUGAAAUUUGAAAGCUUGGGUGUUCUGGGAUUUGCAAUUGCAAUCAUCCUCUGAGUCAGGUGAUUUCUUCUUCUGCUCUGUCUUUAUUUUCUCUCUAAUUGAAAGCAUAAAGUAUUUCAAUCAAAUUCUGUACCAGGAAUACGUAAAAGUUACUAAUAUUUUAUUUCCAUCUGUUUGCAUAGAUAACUUGGCGGCAUAUGUUCUAGUUAAAGAACAAACAGAAACAGAGUUCAGGAAAAAGUUUCUUCGGCCACCAUAUUUGAAAAUGAAACCAUUUCCAGGAAGCAGUUGGCAGCAAAUUCAUAUGGAGUGUAGACAAUGAUGAGCAAAAAGGUGAUUCGCAAUUUCUUUUUUUUUUUAAGUGAAAUUAUUUGUUAGAUUGAAGCUGAUAUUGUAAGAAGGCCAUUGAGCUAACCUAUGUCGCCACUUGCCUAGAUUGCAGGGGGUCAAGACUCAAAAGAAGCACUGAAAUUUAAAAAGCAUGCAAUAGUUCUUUUACCAUGUGUCAAUUAAUGCAAGUUUGAAUAAGUUUAUUGGCUGAACGAUGUUAGCUUCUUUUCCUUUCGUGCACUUUGGUAUGCUAUCAAGUGACAGCCGUAUGUAUGGCUUGCAUAUAGCUGCUGCUGGGAAAAUUGACGAUUUCAUGGCUGGCCGUGUUAUUGUCUUAAAUUAGUUGUGAUAAGCUGUUGCUUGGAGAUUCUGUUGCCAAGACUUUGCUCACAUCAGAAGCUGUGGAAUCUGAACCCUUCGUUAUGUAUCAUCUUUUUCAUUGUUUUAAAACUCUCAGGAUUAAACUUGAGCGAAUUUGUUCGGUUGUCUAUAUAAUCAUGUAUUGAGUAAACUCUCAGGAUACUGAGCAGGCAAAUGUUAUAACUCGGUUUGUUAGCCAAAAACUUGUUGAAGAUUCUUGACAAAGCUGCAUCAAGUGAAUUGUCGGAGCUCUGAGGGUGAGAGAAAUUAGAGGAUUUGGAUUUGUUAGGAAGUUAUCAUAUUUAUUUUUAUUUUUUUAUUUUUCCCAGAAAAUCUUCUGGUGGUGCUAUAUUUUCAAACGACAGUCCGAUUCAAAACUUGAUAUUCCAAUUAUAUUCAUAAGCUUCUAUAGUUAUCUUCAAAAAGACAAAUGGAAGGCUUUGAACGGCUUGGGUCUGAGUAUUGUAGUUUGAUUUAUUUUGAUGAAAGUACCUUUUGACAUUGAGAUUCUUUCUUGAGUUAAACAUUCUUUUUAAAACCAACUUAUUAAAAAAAAAGUAACUAACAUAUAUUAUUUUGUUAGUGCUUUUUAAAUCAAAUAUAAAAAAGAGAACUGUAAUUCUUAGCAACCAAUUUUUCACUGAGUACAGCUACAACAAACUAUUAAAAAAUAAAGUGAUAGAAAAUGCCUGAUUUUUCGUACUUUCUAAUUACUUUUGGUCCUAAAAUAUGGCGAUUUGUGUAAUAAUAAGCCCAUGUAUAUCUUUAUGCCAUUAGUUUGAUAAAUAGCUAUCAAGGAUAACUUAUUAAGCUAAAAAUAUUUGAAGGAUAAAUUGGUAAAACUAAAAGGGUGGAGUAAUAAAACAACAGCUGCAGAUCUCGAAUGCAUCUUCAUUACAGUAUGUUCCAAGGAAGUGUAAUGCCAUAGCUCAUGCUAUAGCAAAAGUGGCUCUGGAUUUUGAGAAUUCUGUUAUAUGGCUGGAAGAGUUUCCAGUCCAGAUCAUGAUGUUACUCUCAAAUUUUAUCAAUUAGAAAGCUUUACUUUCUUUUCAAAAAAAAAAAAAAAAACAAGAAUUUCCAAUUACCUGCAAAGUCAGCUGCGAAGUUAACUCCUGAGCUGAGAAGGUGGCCUAGCAAAGUCUCUGGGCCCAAUAAAAAUGUGCUUUUUGCAGUAAAACAGUGUGUCCGUGGGAGAAGGUAGCAGCGGAAAACCAAGCCUCUCACAAGACAUGUUUCAAGUGCUCACAUGGUGGUUAUUCCAUUAGCCCGUCAAAUUACGCAGCCCUAGAAGGCAUCUUGUAUUGCAAACAUAAUUUCUCCCAAUUGUUCAAGGAAGAAGGCAGCUACAACCACCUUAUAUCAAAUCUGCUUCCAUGAAGCGUGCUGCAGUCUCUGUUCAAGAAGCUUGAACAUGUUAUGUUAUCUUCCAUAAAUCUUAUUUGGCGUGGGUUUUCUCUGGCUUGAGGGUGUGCUUUCUAUUUUGAUCCCUCUUGUUGUUUUUGCGGGGAACUACCAAACCUUCGGUUCCCUCUGCUUCUUUGGAUCAUCUUUGUUGGGACAAAUUUCAUGUAAUUAGAGAUACUGAUUUAUGGGAGGCAUAAUCCCAUGGUCGUAAAUUGACCAUUUUCUGGCAAUGUUCUUUUUAAAAAGAGAUGAGCAGUUGUUUAAAAAAAAAAAAAAAUAGCUUGCCUUCAUCAUUGUAUGUUACCAAAGUGCUAUGUAUAGCUGCUGACUAUGAGCAUCCGAAAAUGGUGCAUCGUGAUUCAUGUAGUGCAAUAUGGCUACCAACGCAUCCUAAAUGGAGUAUUACUCAGUUAGGGUGUGUUUGGGAUUGAGGUUCUGUAGCUUUUAAGCUACAGCUGUUGUGAAAAAAAAGCUGUAAUUAUGAAACAAAAGUUAAUAAUAUAUAGUAAAUAUAAAUUUUAAAUAAUAAUUUUGAUAAGAUUAUUAAAGAUAUAAUAAAUUUUAUAUUAUACAAGUGAAAAAUAAUAUCAACAUAGCUUAAAAGCUACAGCAGUUAGUGUUUACCAAACACUUUAGUGCUGUAGUUUUUAAGCUAUAACUGCCCAACCUCAAUCCCAAACGCACCCUUAGUCAGCAAAAUAAGACAACAUAACUGAUAUUAAAAAAAAAACUACAUUAAUAAGUGGGCAAGAUCAUGCCAGUUUAACUUUUCGCGCGUCGCUGCUGGAGAUAAUCAAAUCAGGGCAGAGAAAAGGAGAAUGGAAUCAGAGGCUAAGAUUAAUAAGUGGGCUUCUGCUUGCUUUGCCCCUCUUUCUUAAACGAUUGGUAGACUGCUGCUUCCACCGAUUAACCGGGUCUUCAACCACUGCUUUUACUGCCUGCCAUCUUGUUGUUUGUCGAAGGGAUGAAUUCGAUUCGAAAAGAGAAAGCGCGCUGAAAAAGAUAAAUCACUAGUGGUUAACUGCUGACUCAGCCAAGUGUUGGCUUCACUUGAUUCACCGAUUGAGGUUAUUUUGUCUUCUAUCUAAUGCAGCGAAGAAGCUUUGCUGCUUAACAUGCUGCAAUGCAACUUUAUCCUUUGAAGUUCACACUUCAGGGCUGGGCACUUUAUGUAAUCCUAUGAGUAAAAAGAAUUUGUUUUCAAAUGUGAAAAAAGAAAAUGUAAGGUAGUAACUAAAUAUAUUAUAGCAUCCAAGCAAGAUUUGAUAUGAAUUUAGUACAACAAAGAACAUCAAAUCUGUGAUUCCUUGUCUAAUGUCACCAUCGAGCAACAAAUUUAAAAGCCUACCUAUCAAAUACACGAGGCAAUAAACGGAGAAAAAUUUGAAUUACAAGAACAAGUUUACAAUUCUUGUCAAUGGUUAAUGAUUCGUGAACUGAGAUAGCAUUCAAGAAUCCAAUUUCAAUACAACAACGUAAAAGAUAAACAGAUGAUGAAUUUAUGAGAUAAAGAAGGAGAUCAUGUUUUAUCGUAUCUCUAUUUUCUUUCUUUUUAAAUUUAAAAUAAGCUUUUCAACCGGUUUGUUAACCGGUUAUAAUAUUUUUUUAAAAUAAUUAAAUAUUUUCAUUAUUAAAAAUAAUGUGUACCGUUGAUUAUAUCUAACGGUACAUAUUUCUUACACUACUAAUACCGUAAAAAAAAAUACAGCAUCAUAGAGGGACCCUUAAAACAUUUUCAUUUGAAAUUAUUUGGUGUAGUAAAAAAGUUAAGAAAGAAAUAGUUGUCCCUUUGGUCAUUUCACAAAAAUGAAAGCCCCAUAAAAGAUAAACAGAUGAUGAAUUUUAUGAGAUAAAGAAGGAGAUCGUGUUUUAUCGUAUCUCUAUUUUCUUUCUUUUUAAAUUUAUGAGAUAAAGCGGUUGGUCCAGUUACGGUGUUAUGCUAACGGGUUUAAAGGUUCCGAUCCAAUGAGUUAGGGUGGAAUAUGAAUAUAUAAAUUCCAUAGCUAAGGACUAGGAUUUGUUUGUUCAUAUCAAGAAAAAAGAUCUGAAAAUUUGAUGAUCAGAAGAUAAAAACACUUAAACACGUUUAUUUCAGAGAAACAAACGACAACAUGAUACUAGUAGUAGUUAUUCUUUUCAUCCGAUAUAUUACAUUGUAAUAUCACUACUCGUUCCACUGGUUUCAUAUACACCAUCGACCAGCAACAUGAUAAUUUCGUGUCAGUUCAUUUUGUUUGUAGGAAAGAGCAGUGUAUUUCUUAGAGCUUGAAAAUAAUAAAAAGAUUUUAAAAUAUAAAUUGCAUAUUUGUUUAUUACUGUUGUUUGGUCUAAUUUCUUAUGUAGAAUUGCUUGUCAUUCUUUGGACGUUAUUGAUUAUAUUUUUGUCAGACUUGGCGUAUACAUUCACAUACGUUUUAUUUUGUCAUUUUGUAGAACAUUUUUACACGCCAUAUUAUCACGACUCUUCUGUGUCUGAAUAAGAAGAAAGCAUAAUGCGACCCUCCAACAGCUUAAUCUAUGGAAUUAUCGUGUUUUGUAAGUUGAGGUCCAAUGGCGUUUUGGCACAUCAUAUGAUAGACCACUAUAUUGCGUUGCUUUACAAAAGAUUAAUAUUUUUAAAAUUAUUAACUCAUGAUAUGAUAGUCCAGGUUUUCGAGGACCACUAUAUUGUAUUGAUUUUUAAAAAAAAUUAAUAUUUUUUA
rnacentral:lncRNA from 1 species